UUUUUUUUUAAAAUAAAAUUUCCUUAAAUUAUCAAAGAUAGAGAGACCUAGAAGUCCUAUAUUCACAUGUAGCUGCAAAACUGUCCGAAAUUCCAAGCUUCUAGUCCUACUUUUUAGACUCCAGGAAAAAAAAAACAUGUUGAUUAUUGACUUAUAUUACAGCAAAAAGGAUUACACUCCCAAAUCUCAUUCCAAGCUUCUAGUCAUUUUACAACCCUCUGGUUGUGAUCACGCUAAUUAAUGUUAUAACUAAACAGCUAAAACAAGAACAGAAAUGGAUUCCUAAAGCAUCUUUUAGAAAUUAAUGCCAAAAAUAUUAUUUUAAUCUCGAAUGCUUUUCACAUCUUAUUAUAAGAUUUAUUUUCUCAUUUUGAAGAACACAAUCAUAUAUUUCAUUGCCACAUAUAUUUCAUUCUUAACCCCAAUAUUUGAGUUCUCGGGGAUAACGCUUCACUUGUUCAAAAAAUCAGGAACCUAUUAGCAAACGAGUGGAUUGUCCGGCUUCAACAAGUUUAUUGAGAGGUGGUCUAUAAUUUUGGCUUACAUUCGUAAGCAAAGUUGAUUAAGAAUUGCUCAUCUAUAAUUUUUUUUAUAUAUAAAAUAAAGCGAUAACUAAACUUCAAUAAUUUACCCAUAUAGAAUGAUUUGAACUAUAUUUGUGUAUCUAGUAUAAUGCAUCGAAUCUCAUAAAAACUUCAAAGUUAAAUAUACUUAAACUAGAGCAGUACUAGGAUAUGAAUGAUCUCCUAAAAAUCAUCGUAUACAUUAACCCGCAUGCUUACGAAGCAUGUUUAAAUUUAGGCUAAAAAUGAUUACUUUAAUUGAUUUCAAACUUCAAUUCCAGGGAAAAUUUAAGCUUAAAACACUCUUACUUAUAAAUUCUACCACAUAUAUGAGUCAUCUCCUAGCCCUCUUUUCAGCUAGAAUUCUUUUCUGGUAAUUCUUUUACAAAGCAAAGCAGCAAAGAAAGGAAUCCCAGAUCCUUUGUAGAGAUUAUUUGCCAGACAUAUGUUGUAUGCAAUCUUUCUUCUUUAGCUACACACACCUUCUUGUAUGCCCUAUAAAUUUCAUUGCAGCUCAUAUCCACAUAUAAGCUGAUCACCCAUGCAUUUAUUUAUUAAUUAUACGGAGCUAAUUACUGGAGAUUCUUUUUGCAAUUUUAGUUACAACCACUGGGGGCAAACCCUACCCUUCCUUUUGCAUCAUCAUAGACCACUUGAUAAGUCUUCUGCUGAGUAUUUCCAAAAAUUGCUGCCUUAACAUCAUCACCAUUUCCUGCGAAAGCUAGACAAACCUUCUUCAAUCCAUUCACCGGAUACAAAAUCCCUGACACGUCAAUAUCCAUCUCGACUCCGCCUUUGAAGGACACACCGACCUUGGGUAUUUUAAUCGUUUCAUUUUUACUAAAAUCAUAGCACGUAUCGAAAAUAGAAUACCCAUCUGUGGAAGGAUAAUCUGUCAUCAAUUUUUGAAAUGCUGAGCUGAGCGCGGAGUAUGCUGUCGAAGGCAGUCUUGUGAUGACCGUGCCAGAGUCGAUAACGGUUCCAGAUGUAGAGAAAAUUGAUGCGUCUAUCGAUAGUUUGUUCCCUCCGACACUAAGUUCGGUUAUGUCCAGGCCGUAAAAAGGCGUGGAUUUGAAGUCUUCAGACAACGGAGUGAAUUUCACAGUCUUAGAGACUUGUCCGCCGAAACUGAGGUAACCUUUUGAGCUGGAGGAUGCUGGUAGGCAAUAAGAGAAGAGCUUUUUGUAUUUUUGAGCAGUUUGUGAUGGUAAGGAUAACUUGGUUCGACCAAGACCUAGCAAACCGGCUGCUCCUCUGAAUAGGCCACUGUUUUGUUGGCCGCAUCCAAAUAAGAAGUUCUUGAACACGUUUGAUGAUGAAAGGGUUAAUGUUUCUGUGGCGAAAAACCCAAUGGAGUAGGAGCCGUCUCCAUAUUGGACUUGGUAAAGGCAUGUCGGAGAAGAACAACUCUCUCCGCCUUCUGCAUAUAUAAUAGGCAAACAUAGCUAUAAUAGCAUAACACUAAAAUGUGGGCAAUAUAGUUAAAAGAAUUGCUACAAUAAAAUUAACUUUUUGGGCAAUCUUUGAGAACCAUACCAACAUUUUGAGGAAAAUGCCAUUAACAAAUACAUUUUAUAAACUUGCAAUAUCUAAAAUCGAGAAGUUCUCAGAAUAUUUACCUGUGUCGAGUAAUUUGCAAAAUGCCGAGGAACACGAAAUAUUUUUGUAUGAUGUUGACUUGGUAGGAUCUAGCCUUGGCUCCUUCUGUUUAUAGCAAGUCUUCGCACAUGGUUCACAUUGAGUCCAAGUGAGGUCGCUGCCAGUAUCGAAUAUGAGCGUAAAUUCCUUUUUUGGUGUGCCAAGUCCCACAGUAACAGCAUAAUCACCAGAACCGAUGGAUGCACCAGACUGGACCGGCAAUGUAGCCUGUUUCUCUUGGAAAACACCAUGACUUGAGAGCCUAGCAUGAAUUGAGUCCACUCGGUGUCGGUCUUGAAGGAGGAUUUCCAUGUUAGAAGGAGCAUUAGCUGCUUUUUCUUGAUUUAAUACCUGAAUGCAUGGGCCACUCCUGUGCACUACUUCCAGGGAUAAACUGUUGGAAACUGAAAUGCAUAAACCUUGAAUUAGUGUGAUUAUAUAAAAAUCAAACAAUUAAAUAUUUGCAAUUAAACCAAUAUAUUUUUUUUUUGAUGAAAAUUAAACCAAUAUAUAUAUAUAUAUAAUCAACAUAAAUCAAGAUAUGAUUGUUCAAAUGGAGAUUAAACCUUUAAAAGUUUGGUUGCAAGCUGUUGAUGGCAGAAGAGAUUUGACUUUAAUAAUAUGUAGAUAGCCUUUCGUAAUCUCAUCUUCUCCAACUGCAUGCCCCUUAUUCAAAUAGCACAAAAGAAGAAAAGCAUUGACAAAAAAUGUAAGAGAGAUGGAAGAAAUGGGGGUGACCAUUGGAAACAAGUAGUUCUUCUCUUAAUUGUGUCUCCACAACUUAUAAGCUCAUAGGGGCCUUAUAUACUAUAAACCAUAAGCUAUGGAUGAUGAACAAUAUACAAAUCAUGAAGAGUGAUCUAAUCAAAUGUGAUGAUCAACUAAAUAAAUGGAAGUCUUGUCUUCAUUAUCAGCAAUAGACCGUGUUUUUUCUUCGUACACCACUUUAGCUUCAUUGUGCAAUAGACCGUGUUUAGAACGUUUAGAAACGCGGUGUAAACUGUAAUUUUUAAAAAUUCAAUUAUUAUUUUUAUAAAAAUUAAUUUUUUUUUGUAUGUUUUGAAUCGUUUUAAAAAAUAAAAAAAUAUUAUUUUAAUAUAUUUCAACACAAAAAACAUUUUAAAAAGUAAAUCGCAAUUACAUUCUCAAAACAACACGUGCACAGACUGUGUUUUUUAUUCGUCCACCACUUAUUAGCUCCAUCGUGGGUGACAAGUCUACGCCAAUAAUAGCUUUUCUAGUUUCAUUAUAUAUCCACCUCCUUAAAUGUAUUUACUAAACCUUACCACCACCGAAGUAUAUAUAUAUUUAUAUAGACCCUUCUCUAGUGUUGCUAUGACUAAACAAACAGAUUUUAACUAUCUAAUGUCUAAGCUCUGGUAACCAAUAAAAUGGAAGCUUCACUCGUAUUUGAAAUUGUGGGUUCGAAAUAAAUAGAAUAAUAUUGAGUGAAAUGAUAGUUUAAAGCUACACAUCAUGAACAAAAGAAAAGAUAAAUAUAUAAUCUAAUAAAUUUUAGAGAAAGAAAAAUACAUUUAUAUAUUAAACCAAGUGUGACAAGUGCGCCACUAGCAUCCCAUUUUAUGAAUGUACGUGGAUGGAGGGAGUCCUGUACUUUUUAUUCAUUACUUUAUCUCUUUUGUUGUAAUCUGAAUUUCUACUUCUAUUUUUGUAUAUGUCUUGAAAAAAAAAAACAUUCAAAAAAAUAUAUUGAUAGGAUCCUUUAGGCGAAGUUGCGUGGAAGUUUUUCUCUCAAGUUGCCGAGUCCAAUUGUCAAAUAGUUCAAAUCAAACUGGACCAGCUUCUCAUAAAGAAUUGAUAGGAUCCUUAAAAUAAAAAAACAUUAGAAGAUAUGCAUGUUUACAUCUAUCAAUCAAAUUAUUUUUCAUGAUUUUUUAUAAAUUAAUUUUUUUUAGUAUUUUUAGAUCAUUUUUAUAUGUUAAUAUUAAAAAUAAAUUUUAAAAAAUAAAAAAAUAUAUUAUUUUAAUAUAUUUCAUAACAAAAAAAAUACUUUAAAAAAUAAAUAAUCACUAUUACAUUACGAAACAACCAUUAAACAGUAAAUGUGACCCUUUGAAGACGUUUAUGGCUGACAAUAAUUUGUUUGCAAUUUCUAACAUGACAAGUCAUGUUAGAAACUUUAUUCGCAAUCAACGGAUAAAGCAGGCAAAUACAUGGAAACUUUAUUUCCACAAAAUAAAUUUACGUGGAAAAAGCAGAUGGAGACGAGGAUCACGUUGCUCCUUUUUGGAUAAAAGUUGAUUACAGGAAAGACUUGAAACUAUUGAAAGUCGGUACACGGCAUUUCUCAAUUGUUGUUGAUCAUACAAGCUCCAUCGCCGAGGGCUACUAUAAUUUGGAUUUUCCAUGAGGGACAUGGAUUAUUGUAACUAGAAUAUUGAUGUAUCUAGAGUUUAUAAAGACAUAAAACAAGAUACAUAAAAAAAAAAAUAGAGUUUAUUUUUAUAUAAAGUUUAUAAAACCAUGUAACAAGAUACAUAGAGAAAUAAAAUAAAAUAAAUUAUAGAAAAUAUUCUUGAUUAUCUUCUUCGAUUGGAGUAUUGAAAAUAUUUCUUGAUUGCUCAAAAUUAUUGAAUUCCUUAAUAUCCUAUAUCCAAACUUUAUUUGUUUUUUAAAAAAAAAUUAAAAUUUUUUUUUGCUUGAAAAAAUAUUAAAUUAAUUUUUUAAGAUUUUUAAAAUGAUUUUGAUACACUAAUAUUAAAAAAAACAAAAAAAAAACAUUGUUUUAAUAACUUUUCAAUUAAAAAAUUAACAUGCAAAACCGAAAAAGAACGUUUACAUGCAAAACCGAAAAAGAAGGCAUAUAUAUAUGUCCUGUACAAAGUCAAGGAUUACGCGUGUAAGAGCAGACAAGAACGUUUACUUCCAAGUCUUCCACAUUUCUUGAUUGAAGUCACUGGAACCUACCAAGCCAAGCAUUUGCCCGCUUGACGGUCGGAGCGCUCUUUAAUGAUAUGAAGAAGAAGCGUGUAUAUUUUUUUUUUUAAUUUAACAUGGGUGUUCAGGUUAGCUUGCGUGCACCUGGACUAAUCCCACGAGCUCUGAAGUUAACGACCAUGUAAACCUCCGGUGGCCAUCAUAUAAGCAACCACAUGGCUUGAACCUGAGACCACAGAGAGAGCAAACCUUUUAGUUUCAAGCUUUUAUCACUGGGCCACCACCUAGAUGAUUGAAACGUGUAUAUCUUUUAUCUAUGCUUGGCUGGUGGAAUAUAUCAUUGCAUUUUUUGGAUAAAAGCUGGCGAUGACUUGUCAACUCAAUCGAGAUCGAUCGCUUUCAAGUGUUUUUUGUUUCCCUCCCGAAAGAAAAUUGGAAAGAAGAAAGAAGGCGCAACACUUUCACUGCCCGUCGCCUUGAAAGAAUUCACACGCGGGCACCAGCUUUGCCAAAAUAAGGAGAGAUCUUCUGCUCACUGCUCACGAAAACAUUCGACCUAUAACAGUCAAGUCGUCCGCGUAUCUUUCUGAUCUCCUUAUGGCCGGGACAAAGGGUCGCGAUCCCGCGAGGGUACCAAUGGGUCUAGCCCUACGAUACUGGACUCUCCGCGCGCGUGUAUCAUGAUUUUUUUAAAAUAAAAUUUCCUUAAAUUAUCAAAGAUAGAGAGACCUCGAAGUCCCUAUAUUCACAUGUAGCUGCAAAACUGUCCGAAAUUCCAAGCUUCUAGUCCUACUUUAGACUCCAGGAAAAAAAAUACAUGUUGAUUAUUGACUCAUAUUACAGAAAAAAGGAUUACAGUCCCAGAUCUCAUUCCAAGCUUCUAGUCAUUUUACAACCCUCUGGUUGUGAUCGAGCUAAUUAUGUUAUAUCUAAACAGCUAAAACAAAAACAGAAAUGGAUUCCUAAAGCAUCUUUUAGAAAUUAAUGCCAAAAAUAUUAUUUUAAUCUCGAAUGCUUUUCACAUCUUAUUAUAAGAUUUAUUUUCUCAUUUUGAAGAAUACAAUCAUAUAUUUCAUUGCUACAUAUAUUUUAUUCUUAAUCCCAAUUGAGUUCUCGGGGAUAACGCUUCACUUGUUCGAAAAAUCAGGAACCUAUUAGCAAACGAGUGGAUUCUUAAACCUUACCACCACCGAAGUAUAUAUAUUUAUAUAGACCCUUCUCUGGUGUUGCUAUGACUAAACAAACAGAUUUUAACUAUCUAAUGUCUAAGCUCUGGUAUCCAAUAAAAUGGAAGCUUCACUCGUAUUUAAAAUUAUAGGUUCGAAAUAAAUAGAAUAAUAUUGAGUGAAAUGAUAGUUUAAAGCUACACAUCAUGAACAAAAAAUAUAUAUAUAUAUAAUCUAAUAAAUUUUAAUGAAAGAAAAAUAUAUUUCCAAGGGUGACAAGUGCUCCACUAGCAUCCCAUUUUAUGAAUAUAGAUGGAGGGAGUCCUAUACUUUUUGUUCAUUACUGAUCUCUUUUGUUGUAAUCUGAAUUUUUACUUGUAUUUUUAUAUAUGUUUUGAAAAAAUAGAAAACAUUCAAAAAAUAUAUUUUCAGUAGUUUAGUUGAUUUUAAUAAUCUUAUUAUUUUCUUUUUCUAUUUAAUAUUUGUGUGUCAAAAAUUCUUGAAAACCAUAAAAAAAAAUACAAAAAUAACUGGGGUUUGAAAUUGGGCCAAUAAUUGAGCAUCAUAGAUGAAAAAAUUGAGUUUCAGAAUUUUCUAAGCUGUAAUCGAGGUUUUAAUUGGAGAGAAAAUUUAAAAAACGGUUUAAUUUGAAUUAAUUUGACUAAGAUUAAAAGAAACUUGAAACUAAGGAUGAUUCUGAAACAAAUAGAAAAGUUGGAAGUCAAUUAAAGGCCUAAUUAAAAUAAUAAUUUGAAUUUAAGAGUUAGAUUUAUUAAAAUUUCAUAACUUGAGGAACUAAGAAUGAGUUUGUAAUAAGUAGUUAAAUAUGGAGGUCUAAAUUGAAUCAAUUAGAGACACAAUCAAAGAAAAAAUUGAGAUUAAAGGAUUUUAGAUAACCAAAGACUAAUUGGAAAGAUCAAUUAAUUCAAUUUAGGGUUUAAAUUAAAAAAAAAUUCAAAAUUAAACAUCUUAAUGGAAACAUUUUAAAGCCAAGGACUGUCAUGAAAAGGAAAAAACAUUUUGAGGACCAAUUAAAUCUAUUUACAUAACUUCAUUUCGAUCCUAUUUUUUUUAAUCUAAUUAAUUCAAUCCAAUUUAUUUCAAUUGAACUGAUUUAAUUCAAUUCAGUCCCAAAUUAACUCAUUUCAAUUUGUCUUUAAUUAAUUCAAUUUAGUCCAAAUUAAUCAAUUAAUUAAACCAUAUUUUCAACUAUCAAUUUCAAAAUCUUUUUAUUAUUAAAACUCAGUUUCAACCUCCCAAUUAUAGCCAAAUUAUCCCAACAAUUAAACCUAGAAUCACAAUCCCUUAAUUUUAGCUUUUCAAAUCCUAAACAUUCAGCCAAAAUUCCAGCUUCAAAAAUCCCUUGAUCACAACCCAAAUUAUUUUACAUGAUUUAGCAUUGUAAAAAAAAAUAUUGUUUUUGCAUGCAUUUUGGACCUAAUAGCAAGUUUAUCAAGCCCAUUAAAAGGCCAAAUAAAUUAGUUUAUUGGGUCUACAUACUAAAAAAAUAAAAACACAAAUGUUUUCUUUUCAAAAAAAAAUGAAUAAAUAAAUAAUGAUAAAAAUUCUCAACUCACAAGAUUUUUUUAACAAAAGUGCCAAAACCUAUUUUUAUUACUCCUGGGGUCUAAAGUCCAAUUCUUUUAAUCUAUAUGGGUACAAUGCUUAUUUUUUUAGCAAGUUCAAUUUAAUCUCCCUUUUUAAGAUCAUUUUUUAAUGAGUCUGUCAAAUUUUUCUUAAAAUAAGUAAAAAUUAAAAUUAAGAAUAAGGAUAAUUAAUGACAAUCACAAAAUCAAUUUAGGAGAAAAGCAUGUACUAAUGGUAACCUUUCAUGAGAAAUAAUACUGUAAGGGUAAUGUCAUUUUUUCUUUAAAUAUAAAUAAUCCUCUUAUCUGAAUAUUUGGAAUAAUGUAUAUUUUAAUAUCCUUAAUUUUCUCUAAUUAUUAGGUGAUAACUUUUAAUUUUUUCACCUUGCUGUGCUGUGAUGUCCACCGAGAUGCGGCCCAUAUCAAGGAAGUUUCUUUAAGCAUGCCAAUUUACCUAAACAAGGAUAAAUUAAACCAAGUUUUGAGCUCUUUUUAAUGGGAGACUCAUGUUUUACAAAAUCGAGAUAAUAGGCCCGACUAAAUUUGCCGGUUGUUGUUGGACUGGGUUUCUCUUUAGAUACUAAACACCCUUUUAAUCCAAAAGAUAAUCAGAGGAGGUUAAUGGACAAAUAGCCACCCUGGAGUGGGCUGGGGAGGUGGAGAUGGUGGCGGCACUGCCACCCUGAGCCCAAAAGACAAUCGGAGUUUGUUACCUAGGUUAAUAAACAAAUAGCCUCCCCUGAGCCUAGACCCAAUACUUAUUAUGAACGAUAUGUAUUUCGUUGGAUCCAAUUCCGCUAACAUGUAAAUGGCCCGCACGUGACAUGCCUCUUUUAUUUGUUCAAAAUGAUAUUUUGUAUGAGAUUAGCAAUUUAGUAGAGUAAUUAUUAAAUUAAUGGUAUAAGAGUUAGUUUUCAAGGAUGUUUGUUGGAUUAAUAAGUUGAAGGGUAAAUUAGCAGUGGAGAGAGAGAGAUAAUUGUAAUAUCAUUAAUGAUUAGAGAGAGAGAGAAAUUAAGAUUAUUUAAGGCCCGUUUGUUUACUGGAAAGUAGUUUCUUUUUGGAAAGUAAAUUCCGGGAAAGUAUUUUCUGAUGUUUGGUAGUGUAAUGGAAAAUAAGUUGGAAAACAUUUUCCAGUGUUUGGUUAUGUCAUGGAAAAUAAAUUGAAAAAUAACUUAUUAAUGUUUUAUUUUCUUCAAGUUUAUUAAAAUAAUGAGGAACAAAUCUUACAAAUUAAAAAGUUGAAUGAGAAUGAAAUUGAAAAAAAAAAUAUAAUUUCAUAAAUUAUCUCAAAUAAAAUAAAUAAUAAUCAAAAUAAUAGAGAUCAAAUCUAAAAAAUUAAAAAAAAAUAAAAGGUGAAUAAAUUAAAAUAAUAAUAAUUUACAUUUCAUAAAUUAUUUCAAAUAAAAUAAGUAACAAUAAAAAAAAUGAGGACCAAAUUUGAUAGAUAAAAAAUUUCAAUAAAAAAAUGAUAAGAAAAAAGCAAAUAGCAAUUAUAAAAAUAAGGACCAAAAUUAAUAUAAAAAUUAAAUUUUAAGAGAUGGAAUUGAAAAAUAAAUAUUCAAAACAAAUUAUAUAUAGCAAUCAAAAGUUUGAGGAUCAAAUUUGAUAUAAUCAGCAAAUAAUGACAUUUCUAAAUUUUUCACAACUUCCAAAAAAUGUUUUCCACCCAAAUUUUUCAGGAAAAUACUUUCCUGAAAACCAAGCCAAAAUUUUUUUUGACUGGAAAGUGUUUUCCGUUGACCAACUUUUCUAAUGACAAACAAACACAGGAAAGUUUGGAAAGUGGUUUUCCGGAAACCACUUUCUGAAAAACAAACACAGCCAAAAGGGAAAAUAUUUUCCUGAAAACCAAACCAAAUUUUUCUUUGAUUGGAAAGUGUUUUUCGUUGACCGGAAAAUGUUUUCCGUUGACCAACUUUUCUAAUGGCAAACAAAUACAGGAAAGUUUGGAAAGUGGUUUCCCGUAAAGUGAAUUCCGAGAAACAAACAUGGCCUAAGUGUCUUUUAAUGUAAAAAGUAAGUGAGAGAGAAAAACGAAAUAAUAAAACUUGGAAGUUAAAAUUCAACCCCAUUAUGGUGUUUGGUAGAGGGUAAAAAAAUAAAAUUAAAUUGCUACAUGGGCAAUUGUUAUAAUAACAUUUUUUAAGGUUGUCAAGGUUUAUUUUCUAAAAUACUUGAUGUAUUAAGAAACCAGAGGAUAACAUGCUGAGAGGGAAUUAGUUAAGAUAUUAGUAAUAAUCGGAGAAAAAGAAAUUAAAAAAAAAUUCAAGAGAGGGAAUAUAAAUUAAAGAAUUGAGGGUUAAAGUUUACCCUAACUUUAACCCCACUUUUACCCAUUUCAAGGAUAAAUUUUACCCUCGUUUAUAAAGUCUCCCUGCCUUUUUUUUCACUAAACAUUCUUAAGUUGUACAAGAGUCCCCAUAAAAUUUAACCUGUGACAAAAAAGGAAUCAAACAAGCUUGUUUGGUAGAAGGAUGGUUUUUUAACCCUUAUCAUCCCUGUACUAUAUGUAUUUUCAAGGUUAAUAAUGUUAAAAAAAAAAAUUGAACCCCAAAACUUAAGCUUGUAAAUAAGAUUUUAAUAUAUAAUUUAUAUUAUUUUUCAAUAUCUCUACUCAAAUAAAAGUUAUUUAGGUUUAAAACUUGUAUAGGUUCAUAUUACUUUGUGCUUAAAUUUUAUUAAAUAAAUAAGGAUAAUAAAAUUUAAACUCGUGACUAUUUGGUUAUAAAGCUCGAAACUAAUUUAACCAAAAAAAACUUAAAAUAUAUAUAUAUAUAUCGAUUCUUAUUAGCGUUUGAGAAUAAAAGGAGGAGGCACCAUGUUCCUCGAUGGAAAAUAAAGAGCUGAAGCAUUGUGGAUGGAGUUGAAAUUCUUGACAAGAUGGCAUGGUUACAUACGAUAAGAAAGCAGAAGGCAUUCGGUGGACGCACCGAAUUAUUCAAGGUCAUUGAACAUGCGGUGUCAAGUGCGCUGUAAAAUGUUUGGCACCAAAAGGAUAUUGCAUCUUAGGGUUGCUGCCGUAAGCGUCAUCAUGGCAUGGUCGGUCGGUCGCUCGAGUGGAUUGGAUGGCGUUAGGGUCUUCUCUCUAGAGAUCACAAGAGGCGACCUUUCUUGUAGCACAGAAGAAUCACAAAAUUAUAUGAUUCGGUGAUUCAUACCUUAAUCUGUAUGUUUGUACUUCUGAUAUUUUCUAGCUCGACCAUUGAUUAAUUGUGAAGAAAAGGGGUCCCGUGCUUUCAUUAAAUUUCCAAGAAUCAAGUUUUUUACGCACACACACCCAACUAAAAAACCUAUAAAUCAUCAUAGAAUUUCACUGUUUAUAUAUUUUUUUAUAUAUAUUUUUCCCAUUUCCUUUCUUUCUUAUUUAAUAUUAUUUUCUAUAAUUUCAUCCUUAAACUUUUAUCACAAUUAUCCGGAUUGAUUAUGAAUUGAUCAAGUCGACUAGAUCAUUUCAAAAUAACUUUCACAUGGUUUUAUUUUAGAUUAUUAGGGCAAGAGAUUUUUUUCCUUUCAAUUUCAUCAUUUUUUUUUUAAUUUCAUCCUUACAUCUUUUGUACCGGUUGACUAGGUUACCUUUGUAUCAGCUAAAUUGACUGAGCUAUGUUGGGGCAACUCCCACUAGGCUAGUUAAUAAAUUAGGUCGGAAGGUUUCUUAUGUCAAUCUCAUCUUUAUACCGUUUUUAUCGAUCAGACAAAAUGUUUUUGGACUGAACAAGUUAAUUAGAUUACAUUGAAAUAAUUCUCAUAUAAUUUAAUUUUAAACUUAUACUAAAUAAAAAUCAUUUUUUGAGCUACCUAGCCAUAUAAAUAAAUAACACUCAGCAUAACACGGGAUUCAAAUUUAGCUUUUUUUUUUUUUUUCCGGUCGAGCUUGAUCAUGAUGUCAAAGUAAAAGUGAAGGUGCUAUUCAAUCACAGCACCACCACAUGAAUUGGAAAGCUUUCGAUACAUUUCAUCUAAUCACUUGUCAUUUCAUUAGGGGCUAAGGUUUUUCUCAUUGUAAAAGGAAUGAUAGCCUCAAAUGUCGCUAGCAUUUGUAUUUCUAGUGUUGUUUACCCUUCUUAAUAAGUUCCUGCUUCCAGCUAAAAAGGAUUUUAUACUCAAGAAAUUCCCUCCACCCACUCCUCCUUUCAUCAAUGGCUCCAAAAGCACAUGGUAUUUUCCCAGCUCCCAAUCACGUAAGAGUUAAAAUAUUGGUUGCCCAACGGCACAACAUUAUUGGGAGUAGAACCCACGAUUUAAUAAGCUACCAUAUACCUGCCCCAAAUCACAAGUCAACUUCGAUUAUCUCUUGCAAUCAACACCGCCAAUUUAUCCUCGAUGAAUGACGUUGAAGAAAGUCCCCACUCUCUACGGCCAUGAUUGUUUGAUUAACCUUCACGACGUGCAUGGCUCGUGUGACGGGUCCCUGCUCUAUUUCUCCAUGCUUGCUUCAAGGCAUUAAAAAGCAUAAUUCCACUCUAUAAAACCAGGAUUAUCAUGGCUCUAGCUUGAUAGGGUGACCAGCUGUUUGAAUCUCUCGAUGAACCUGUCUAAACUGUCAGAUGACUUGUAACUAACUCCAUGGAUUCAAGCUUUUAAAUUAGGGCAACAAGUUGGUCAAGGGUCAGCUCCCAUCUCUUUUUUUCAACUCUUGCUCUGGCGAGGGACCGAACAUUCAUUUAUUUUCUCUUUUUAAGUAAUGUAUCCUGACACGAGGAGGGCACACUGUGUAGAUUUCCACCAGUUGAGAGCAUGGAUGGGUCCCAGCCUUCUUGUCAUGAUGUUCGAAAUUUUCUUAAUUUUCUGAUAAAUCCAUGUCCCAGACAAAUCUGAUUGCUCGGACAGUGGAAAAGGAUGGAAAAACUUUGGCAAUGGCUUGUUAAUUUAGUUGGUAGAAUUAUUUGAUGUUAUCCCAACUUUUCUGAAUUGAUUUGGCACGACAUCUCUGCAGCUUCAUCCAAUUGUAUCGCCCAAUUUCAAUUAAUUAUCGUCUCAAUUCAAAAAAAUUAAAUAUGUUAGCUAAGGUUGUAAAAUAUAAUUUAUAAUAAUUUAUAAUAUUUUUCUUUUUAAAGCUUGAAAUUACUAGUAUUAUUUUUUAUUAUUAAUUAAAAAAUAAAAUAAAAAUGAUGAGAUUUAAACCUAUAACCAUAGAUUCUAAUAAAGUAUCAAAUAAUUAUCUCAAUCCAAAAAUUUAAGUUAUUAUAUGAGGUUUCAAAAUAUGAUUUAUAUUAUUUUUUAACGAGUAACACAAAUAAUUUUUUUUAAAAAAAAUUAAACAUCUAGCUCACUAAAAUAUGAUUUCAAGUUUUACUAGGGGUGUAUAAUAUUAUUUAGAGCUUGUUUGGUACUUUAUAGAUAUUGCUUUUUAGAGUAUCUUUGUCUUGAUAAUGUAUUGAAAUAAUUUUUUUAUAUUUUUUAGAAUUUAUUUUUAUAUUAAUAUACUAAAUCAAUCUAAAAAAAUAAAAAAUUUUAAUUUGAAAAAAAUAUCAUCUUUUUACAUAAUCGCUUUUCAACUGAAAAAAAAAAAACGGUGCCUUUAAUCUUUUCCUUCAGAUUCACCAUUUGGGUAAAGAUUAAAGAAUAGUUUCGCACUUGAGGGUCUAACUGCUGUGGUCAAUCGUGUGACUUGUUCCGUUCCCGUCCCGGGUUCGACCCUCUAUGUGCACGUCUGUCAUCCCUGUGGUGCCUUACCUGCUCCUGGGCUUGCAGGGUGUCUAGUGGGCCGUGGGGAAUAGUCGUGGUGCGCGUAAGCUGGCCCGGACACCCCACGUAAAUAAAAAAAAAAAAAAAAGAAUAGUCUCAUACAGGAAAUAGAGUGUAUUAAAACAUUAAUCUUAAAAGACUACACCUCACAUGGCCAUUUUAAAGCGAGUCUUGUGGUCUAAAAUAAGACCCAACAUUAAAAAACAGCGAAUUAUUGAGGUAGCUUGUGCUCUCAGCUCGCUGGGAGCCACUCUAAGCUUUAUAGAUAAUUAGUGUUGAGCUGACAGGCGCAUUCUUGGGUUCCUUAAAUUCAUGAUUUCGGAGGCUAUUCUAUUAUAUUCACAAGUCAUUGGACUUGUAAUAAGUUGGCAAGAGAAAUUAGAAAAAACUUGUGCAAGUUGAGAGAUGGGAAUCUGCAUAUCCUCUGCAUCUUCUGAGAUACACCAGGCAGAUGAUGGCCUUGAAAAUGUCAUGCAUGUCCAAGAAGAUAUUGUUUCUCAUGGAAUUGAGAAGCGUGGUUCUCUUUACUCUAAAGAAGGAAGCAAGGGAGUAAACCAAGAUGCUGCUGUUGUUCACCAGGUUGGUUCAUGCUAUUUAUUCUUCACUAGAUUUCACCCUUUGUUGUUUGAAGUCUUGUUGCUGAUUGGAACUUGCUCUUCUUACGAAGGGCUAUGGAAUGGAACAUGGAGCUUUCUGUGGAGUUUUUGAUGGGCAUGGAAAGAAUGGUCACAUAGUGAGCAGGACUGUGAGAAAUAGGUUGCCAUCACUCUUGCUAAAUCAGAAGAACGCUCUAGAAAAGAUAAAGACCGUUAGAGAUCACAACAAUGAGAAAGCAGAUGGUGGUUUAGCACCGUUACCAAGUGAAAGUUUUCAUAAAUGGAAAGAGGCAUGUAUUUGUGCCUUCAAGGUGAUGGACAAGGAGAUCAAGCUUCAAGAAGGUCUAGACUGCUCUUGCAGUGGAACCACUGCAGUAGUUGUCGUGAGACAGGUAAGAAAGCAAGCUAUUUUGAGCAUACAAAUCCUCUUGAAUCAAUCUUUUCCUUUUCAUAUGUAAAGGAAAGGAUGUUUAUUUAUCUAUUUUCUCAUUGUUUUGUUUGUUAUUUGGAAAAUGAAAACAGGGUGAAGAUCUUAUUAUAGCUAAUCUUGGAGACUCGAGGGCUGUGUUGGGCAGAACCAAUGAUCAGAAAGGAAUCAUGCCUGUUCAAUUAACUACAGAUUUGAAGCCUGGAGUACCAAGUAGGACAUCCUUCCUUCUCAAUUAAAAGGCAGAGUUGCAACAACUUUUAAUGGUAAUAUGGAAAUUGAUCCCCGCACUCAAUUUUUAAAACCGGGUCAUCUUAUAAUUCAGGUGAAGCAAGAAGAAUAAGGCAAUGUAAUGGCAGAGUACUUGCACUAAAGGAAGAGCCACACGUCCAUCGAGUCUGGCUACCACAUGAAGAUUCUCCAGGCUUAGCCAUGUCUCGAGCUUUUGGAGACUUUCUGCUAAAAAACCAUGGAAUAAUUGCAUUACCAGACAUCUCUUAUCACCGAGUAACUUCCAAGGAUCAGUUCAUUAUCCUCGCAUCAGACGGGGUAAGCAACUGCCUCAACACAUAGAUGAGUAGAAUCCAAUUUUUAUUGCAAAGGUGAAGUGAUAAUUACUGGUUUGUGUUACUUGUCUCGUGUUACUUAGGUGUGGGAUGUGCUUAGCAACAAGGAAGUGGUAUCCAUCGUUUCGGCGGCAGAUAGUGAACAGGCAGCAGCAAAGGCUGUGGUGGAGGCUGCUACAGCUGCGUGGAAAAGGAAGUUUACUUCUUCGAAAGUAGAUGAUUGCACGGUGGUUUGCCUCUUCCUACAAACGAGAAAAUAGCAGUCUGACUUCAUCUUUUAGCCUGUCUUGUAAUAGUUGAGCACAGCCUCUUCUCUUUUUGCUGCAGCUUAUGUUCAUAAUGUUGUGAUACUGUCAGCUAUUUUCAGAUUUCUCAUUGAGAAACAUAGAAGUCCCCAAUGAUAAAGAGUCCCAUUUAGUGUGUACAGGUGAGCACGGGAAUUGUUGAAAAUGCCUAGAGAUUUUAUAAUAAUCAACAAAACAACAGUUUAACACUUUGAGAACCUAAAGUGUUAAAAGUAUCAAACGAUUGCAGGCUCGAAUUAAGCCCCAAAGAAAUCGAAAAUCACAUGCCUUUAUUUAUCAAUCUCAUCCCAGCGCUUUUUUAUGUGGGACCAGAAUGUUUCCGUCCACACAGUCAUAAGAGGUCCUGCGUAAAAAUGGGUUCAACUUACAAGAGUGUAAAUUUAACAGCCUGAUUGUUUUUUAUUUUUAAAAAUAUUUAAUUUUUUCACUUCAAAUUAUUAUUUUUUAAUAUUUUUAAAUUAAUAUCAAAUUUAAUUUUUUAAAAAUAAAAAAAUAUUAUUUUAAUAUAUUUUUAAAUAAAAAAUACUUUAAAAACAACUGCUACAUACCCCAUAAAUCAGCAGUACCAACUUCGACCGAGGAAUCCUCAUUUAUAUUUUAGAGUUAAGAGGGCACCUUUAAUAUGAACAAUGAAAGAAAAGGGCAAUGCAUCCAUCGCAGUAAGAUUAAUUUUCUUUUUUAAUGGAUGAAGAAGCGAGGACAAUCUAUGUUCAAGAAGUAACACAGUUGCACGUUAAAAAUGGACUGCCUGCUGAAACUCUCCUUUCAAAAACUGGAAAAAGAUCCUGUCAAGUCUCAAGUGUAUUUCUGUAUCCCCACAUAGCCGAGUGCAAAACUGCUGCCAAGCCCCACAUUCAUGCUUCAGAAAUCAUGCUUCAUCAUUUUUCAAAUCAUCUCCAAGCAAGUCGUCAUAUGAAACAGGUACUCUGAUCCUCUCAUGCACAGAUUUGCGCUUCUCAUCAGCACUGGACUGUUCAUGCUGAUACUGAGGUGCUAGCUCUUUUUGAGAACUAUCUGGUACGCUGACUGGUGUGUCAUCAAUGAAUCCAGAGGCAGCUAUUUGAGAGGAACACUCGUUGUUUUGCUCCGGUGCUCGCCGAAUAGGUUGUUGCCUAAAUUGCUUCUGCAAAGGGGGGUCCAGAUAAUACAGAUUGUUAGUAUUCAAAACAAAGACAUAAUGCAACACAAGUAGAGGUAUAGUGUGAUACAAAGAUGGCAACAGAUACAGUGAUUAAUGAUUAAACUUAUACAUGGUUGUGUUAAAACAAAGACAUAAUGCAACACAAGUAGAGGUACAGUGUAAUACAAAGAUCAGCAACAUGCAUUGAAGCGACCACAGAUACAGUGAUGAAAAUUUAAACUUAUACAUGGUUGUGUUUUCACCGACAAACAGGCAUCAACCCAAAAGUUGCCUACUUGUUGGGGCAUAUGACAAAACAAUAGUUCAUUAAUCAAAUGCAUUUACGGGAACACAAUAGUUACCCACCUCAAAUUCCUUUGCUUUUUUCAUAAUCUCUUUGUAGGCCAUUGGUUCUCUUGUUUUCAUGAUAUUCCAUAAUAUCCCACCACCUGUUCGAAAGCGUCUGCCAUCAACCGUCAUCUGCCCUCCACAGGACUGAAUUGCAUACACCUGAAACUUCCAUUUUAGAAUGCAUGUCCAAAAAGAAAAAUCUAAACGGAACACACAGAAACAUAGCAAACACUUGGUAAAGGGAGUGGGAAGAGAGAGAGGAAAAGGCAGUAGUUAAUAUAAAACCAUGCUUUCAAGAGGCAAUAUAAAAGAUGGCACAAUGCAUUAAGAAUGCAAAGCAAGAAAUUAGCAGCAAAGAAAAUUAACCGUGAAAAUAAGAAAAUCAUUCAAGGAAUUAAUAUUUGCCAACAACCAAAAAGCUGGACAGCAGCAUAGAAAAUACCUUAAACAACCAUCAUUUACUAAUGAGAGCAACAACGCCAUCAGUUAUAGCCACAAAGUUGUAAAAAACUACUCAAAGAACAAGGAUUUAAGAACUUAUUAUGCAUGUCUAUAUGAUAUCCUUCACAUAAAAAGCACAUGUAACCCAGUUUAAAGAGCAUGAAAAAGGCACUGUCAAGAGUGGGGGAAACAUCGUUCUAAUUUUUCAAAUAACAUUGGGGAGGUUUAAAUAUUGAAGUGGAGGCUGUGGUGGAGGCUGCUACAAUCUCAAAACGCAGACCAGUCAAUAAAAAAAUUAAAAAAAAUUAUAUCAACCUACAUAAAGAGAAAAUGAUCAUGAAGUGGUUCAGCCAAGUUAUAUCUCAUCUCAGAGCACACAAUUUGAAACAGCAAAUGGCUUUGACAACGAAAAUCUGCAAGGGUAGGGAAACAAUAUUCAAUGUCAGAUUUUACGGAAGGCUUUAAAUAGAAUGGAUGAGCAUUGAUGGCUCAAGGCCAAUCCAGAAUCAUGUGAACCCAAAUUCUCACCUUUCCUGUCAAGCAGCAAGUACAACUUGCUUGCCCAUUACCAAAAUGAAUGGUGGUUUGUUUCAAGAUAAUAACCCUAUUUGAAAAGAAAAAAAAUUGAAGCAGAUCUAAGCAGUAGGUUUGCAUCAUCAUCAGAAAGCACAAUUGUGAUGUCUAGACUCAUCAUGAGAAAUAGCCAGUCCACAUAUAGAGAGACUUCCUAAUCAAAGACUGCAGGGCAGGUAAAAAAAAUUGAUUCACCAAGCACAAGGAGGGCAGCUCAACGGUAAAAUAUGAAAUGCAACAUCAGUCAUCAUGAUACAUAAACUUCAAAGACACUUGUCUAUUGGGUAUCUCAAAACAUAACAGAAACACAGACCAGCAUACACGGGAAUGGUAUCUACUCCACGAUUCUGAGAAGAAAGGAUCAUCAGGAAAGCACAAAUUGCACAGCUUAAUUUCAUUCGCACGGGACAUCAUUCUUACUGAUCAAACAAUAAACAAAUAAUCUUUUUAGGUGAAUAAAGGAACAUCACCUCUUUCACGAGAUCACUUAAUGCAGAAACCCCCAAACAACCUACAGCAGUAUAUACCAUGUAGGAUUUCUUCUCUUUCAAACGUCUACAUGUAUCUAACACAAACCUGCAAAGCAAAACAGCAUUAGACCUAAAAUCACGUAAUAUCUAUCAAAUUAGUAACACAUUAAAAGUAAUUCACCAUUAUUUUUUAAGACAACAGAACCAAACUAAAAUUCCUUCAUCUAACAUAAGACCAAAACAGUUUAUAAAAUCAAUGUGAUGAAAGAAUUUACUUGUUCACGUCAGUAAAACUAGACCCAGGACCACCUCCUCCCCUCUUCUUGCUCUUCCUCUUCUUUUUAUUACCGCCGCGCCGCCGCCUCUGGCUUUUACUUUGAGGCUCUGCGUUUCCAACAUUCUCACCAGCACCAUCGUGACUGCCAUUGUUCAAUCCUAAAUCAGUAUGUGAAUUGUCGUCCACCACAAACUCUCCUUCUUCCACAUCAACCAUAUCAACAUCUUCUAAGUUGUCAUCGUCAUCAUCAUCAUCGAGAAUUGCCUCCAAUAUAUUCUCUCCUUCCUCCAUCUAAAAAAAUUUAAAAGAAAAAAAAAUCAGAAUUUGUAAGAGUUUGGAAUUAAAUUAAAUACUUAAACCCUAAAAAAAAACUAGAAUAAUUAUCAGAUAAAUAAAUGGAGAUUAGAGAGGCAACGAGAUAUUAAAAAAAGAAAAAAAAGCUAACCUUUCGAAUAAUUUUAUGCAGGUAACGGAGAUGUCGUAUCGCGGUUUGAGCUUAGGAAUGCUGCUGCGUUUUGUGGGGUUCCAGGGUUUUUAGAGUGAAGAACUGUGACGUUACAAGUCGGCUUGCCUGGCUGGAAGGGGAUUUAUAAGCUAUGGCUAUUUCAGACUUUUCAAGAUUUUGUGGGUUGGGUUUUAGUUGGCCCAUAAAGAGAUCGGCCCCGUAUACGACAUUAUGUGGGCUGAGAGCUUCUGUAAUGGGCCUUCCGUCGUUACCUUGCUUAGAUGCUUAGAGCCUGGAUCAGUGAGUGGCAAUGGCAUAAAUUUCCUCAUGCUUUCAAGUUCAUUACUAGCAUUUGUUUUGCUCAGUGACUAAAACGACGAGAUUUCGGGAGGAAAAAAAAAAGACACGGGCUCUAUGAUGUUGCUUUGCUUGCACGGGAGGCGAAAGCUCGUCCAACCGCCCGACAUGACAAACUUGUGAUCAAAUGAAAAUCAUGGCAGCUACUUUUUUUGUAGUGAAAGACAGAGAGAUCAGUCAACUAGGCUCUCUGAGGCUGAUUUUUUAUUGGGUUUUACCUUAUGACGAGGAAGCAUGGCGGUAAAUUGUGGGUGUGUGAAAAAGCUGUUCGCUGCACACUGGAUGAAUACAAAUUUUAGGCCUGCUUAUUGUCCGAAUCCUUGACGGGCAUCCCCUUUAACUCUCCGUAUUUCAGGUUGCUUCCUUCCCACUGGGCUAGAGGAGUUUUUUUCCUAAGUUGUUUGGCAGGAAGGUUGAAAUAAAAUGUAUGUACAAACUUAUCACCGUACUGUGUUUUGAGGGAUGGGGACAAAAGAAAAGAAAAAUAUGAUGUUGGUCUAAGAGUACUUUUUUUAAAAAAUAUAUGUAUUUUUUUUGUUUUUACGAUAUUUCUUUUAUAUUUUCAAAUUAUUUUGAUAUAUUAAUAUAAAUUUUUUAAAAAAUAAUAUAUAUAUAUAUAUAUAUAUAUAUAUAUAUAUAUAUAUAUUUAUGCAAUUUCAAAUAAAAAAUACUUUAACUAAAAAUCACUACUAUAAUAUCAAUCAGACUAUAAGUUUUCAACUGGUUAAGCUCAUUAACAUACUUUUUCAUGUGUUAAAAAAGUAGGUUGAGAAACUUAGACAAACUAAGCCUUAAAUCUCCCAAGUUUUUUCAAGAGAUAUUGUUUUAGUUUUGAACUCACGCAAUCGAAGUUGAUUUUAUAAUGAAAAAUCAUUUAUUAAAAAAGAAGAAGGUGAUGUCUAAGAUUUAUAAAUUGUACAGGCUUUCAAUUGCUGAUCAAUUUGAAAUAUUAAUUUUUUAUACUGGCAUCAUAAAAAAAAAAAAAAAAGGAAAGGAAAUGAUAUCUCAUCCUCGAUGAAUCGGAAUCUUGAUAUCCAUUCACUUGUCUCUCCUCAUAAAAGUUGAGAUUCUUGAGAAGGAAAGAAGCAACUGGAUCCAUUCAUUUUCAGACGUUGGUCCACCGCCCGCAACUUGGAUCCCGACUCCAAUGAUUUACGAGACAUCAGCCGUGACGAAAGAAGCAAGAAAAAGUUCUGGACACUCCCUCUCCUUGUUUUACGUAAAUAAACAAAUGAUAUCUUGUAACACGCAACGUUGAAAAUCGCAAUUAUAUCAUUUACUCCGAGAGGUGACACGACAACUGCUACCUGGCACCGAAAGCAAUAUCAAACUCGGAGCAUAAAAAAAAAUAUUAAGUUCCUGCUGAGAUGAGGAAAAUGAUGCCGAAAAGAACUGAAUUAAAAUAAGCACACUGCUUCUCUGUGGCACUUCCUAUGUGUAAUCCCCUCUUCCACAGAAGGAUUUGGCCAGGAGAGAAGAGGAGGCUCAAGAGAGGAACCCUUCUUAGCGAGGUAAUAAGCAGAAGCAUUAGCUUCGUGAACCCUGAACAGAAGGCCUAAAAUAACGUUAAUCAGCUUCCAUAACACAAAGCAUCACUGUCCGAGAGGAUGUCUAUUAAAAAGCCAGGGAAAACAGACGAAAGGAGCAGUGAGGAUGGAAAAGGAGAUCGGGUAGUGUGAGGAAGAUGUUCCUUCUUGCAUCAAAAUCACUUGCAUCUGUAAUAUUCAGUUUUGUCUGCUUGCUAGUUAUUGAUACUAAUAGAUUCCAUGCCAGCCUCCAUCACUGCUAAGGAUCAGACAGCUGGGGUCCUCAAGCGCGCAGACCAUGUCGUCAAUCAACUAAUUCGGUUGAGAGAUAUUUCCAUCUACAGCUGCUUUCGUGAAUUAGGCCCAUAAAAUUAGUUGCUUGAAAGGUAGCUUGGAAUUAGCCCUUUAGACUCUCUAAUUGGUUCAUUGAUUAACACCCUUCCUAGCUCUCUGAACCAACUAUUUUUUAUUAAAAUAUUAUCAUUUUAUUUUAAAAUAUAAAAAUUAUUGGUGUCCCAUCACAAAAGUAAAAACUCAACUUGAUAAACUAAAUUUUACUCUAUUAAUACUCUAUCUAAUCCAGCUAAAACCCAACACAAUGAUUUUGGUUAAUUUUCUUGGAGAGCCGGUUAAAGUCAAGGAUCGAUUGAGUAACGAUUUAAAAUUCUAUUUAAAAAAUAAAAUGUAUUUAUCAAUUAUAUUUUAUAAAAUAAAAAUUACUUCUAUUUAAAAAAGAUUCGAAAUACAAAAUGAAAAUGGUAUAAAAACUUCCUUGACAACUAUACAUUAUUAAAAAAAAAUUAUAUAUUUCUUUAAUAUUUUUUUAAAAAUUAUUUAUAGUUUUUUUCAGGCCAUUUAAUUUAAGCGGGCUGAGGUUUAUUUUCCAGUAAAGCUUUCUACGGGGAUGAGAAGGAUUUAUGGACUCUGAAGACAAACAGCCUCGAAGAAAUAAAAAAGAAACACGAAAGAGGGAAAUCACGAGGAGAAUCAGAACUAAAAUCCAUUGGGAUAGCACCACAUUAUCAGAAAAUAUAUAUAUAUAUAAAAAAAAAAAUUAGCAAUCUCAUCUCAUCGUCUAUGUUAUUGAUCUACAUAAAUAAACUAAAAAAAAGAAAAACAAUAUAAAUUAGCAAUCAUCCAGUAAUUCAACAGACAAGACUUCUCCACCUAACAACCACUCAAAAUACAAAUCUCCUUCUUCUCGGAAACCGCCACGACAAGCGCCGCCGGCAUCGUGAUUUUUCUUCCCAUUGCUCUCUUAGGUGUUUCUGUCGGAACGUUCUGCGGAUGCCAUCGGAGGUUUCAAGGUUUUUCCGUCCGGGGGAAGCCGGUGAUGAUAAUAGAGAUGAUGAUUCUACUGGGACUGGAUGAGCCGUCCUGGUUGCUGGAUCCAAUGGAAACAGGAAUUACAGGCACCAGGUGAUAAUUGAUCUCUAAUUUUAUUUUUUAUUUCACAUCAUCUACAAAUUUUUAGUAUCUGUUUGUUUUUUGUUUUUUUGGUAAAAUUAAACAAAUGAAUCGGAAAGGAAUAUCUAGUCUCCAGUAGGACCAGCGCAUUUAUGCUUCUGAUUUUGAAUAAUAACUACCAUUUACUUGUUUUAAUAAUAAUAAAAAAAAAUACUUUACUUAUUUGAUAAUUAAGGCACUUGAAUCUUCUAUAAAAGAACGCCCACAAUAUUUUCAGCAGCGUGCGAUGAGAAAUGUGCUGUAAUUAUGAUCAUUUUGGGGGGGAAGUUAUUACACAGUAACCUUUUUUAAAAUGUAAUUCUAAAUAAAAGUGCAUAACUCGCACGCACUAGAAAAAGAAAAAAAAAUAAAGGUGCAACAGCAUUUCCUAUUUCAUGGCAGAAUAAUCUUAAAAAGCAAGGGUAUCUUGCAUGGUUAUUAAACCCGAACCGGCCCCGUGGGUCGAACCGGGACCCGGCCGAUCCGGGACUUGGACCGGUUCAGGUUUGUUAAAAGAUCGGCUGGUGCGACCCAUGACCCGGGCGAACCCGGACGAGACUCGGUUUUUUUUUCCCUUUUCAAAUGUGGUUUCUGUCCUUCAUCCUCCCUUCUUAUUUCAUCAUCUUCUCUACAAUGAGUUGUUGUUAGCAGCAGUAGAGAGAAAAGGAGAGUGAGGGACGCUGUCGUUGGAGGUUGGUCGAAGGAGAGGUUGGUCGGGCUGGUCUCCUGUGUCAGUGGGCGGCGGUUCUGGUUUGGCCAAGAGAUGGAGACGGGUGGGAAAGAAGAAGGAGGGGCUCUCUAGUUUUGGCCAAAAAACCAGGGGGAUGACUGAGAGAGGGAUGAGGGAAGUUGUGGCCGGGGUCUUCAUCCCAUGCUGCUUGACAGAAUGCCUUCUAGAACGAGAGUGAAGAAAUAAGGGAAGAGAAUGUCUUUUAUCUUCUAAUUUUUUAUAGUCAGUCGCCCAUGGCAGUUGUUUUGGCCAAGCAAAAAGGGAAGCUGUGGUUGGUUUUGGGAGAGGCUGAUUUUAGGAGAGAAAAUCUAAAAGCAAGGGGCGGCGACGGCUUGUUGUUUUAUUUGGUAGAGACAGGGAAAAGUUUAGGUUUUGUGUGUCUUUCCUUCAAAAAUUUUAGUUGACCAGGAAAUAUAUUAAUUUGCAACGUGAGGCAUUCCCCAUAGCUUUUGGAGCCAUUUGGCUAGGAAAGGUAAAUUACAAAGUUGUGAGAAUAUUAAUUUUCUUAGGUGUUGUCAACAGCUUUCAAAAGAAAGAAAAAUGAGUGAAUUUCCGAGUUGAUCCGGGUUGACCCGGGUUAAUCCAUAAAACCCGAGACCCGGCCUCUUGACCGGGUCAACCCCCGGGCUGAGUUUAAUAACUAUGGUAUCUUGUUUUAAGUAAUUUUCUCCUUUCAUGCACAGCGGUCAAACCUAGAUAACGUUCCGUGAAAUCUAGGAUUCCGUGUUUUUAAGUUAAAUUAGAUAAGAUAUUUAUAUAAUAAAACUUAAUUAAUCCUACUAAAUCGGAUUAAUUUGGUCUAAUUUAGUGGAAUCAACACUAAAAAAAGUGAUGUAGAUUUAACAAUAUUGAAAAAUUAAUUCAAUGAUUCAAGCUCUUAUUUGAUUUGGGUCUAAUAACUAUGAUUUUUGUUGUACUUGAUUAAUAUUUCUACUUGAAAAAUGUAAUAUGUUCAAAAAAUUAUUAAAUUUUAUUAAGUUUGAAAAAAAAACCUUAAUUUUCUUAGAUUAAAAUUCAAUUAUGUUAGGAUUGAAUUGAAAUGGUUAAGAACUCGUUUGUUAUUGUUGUAAUGAUUGCUUUUAAAAAUGUUUUUUAUUUUAAAAUAUAGUUAAAUAAUAUUUUUUUAUAUUUUAAUUUUAGCAAGUCAAAACGAUUUAAAAAUAUAUUUUUUUAAAAAAAAACAAAUAGUCAUUAAGGCCCUGUUUGUUUUUGUGUUUUAAAAGCGUUUUUGAAAAAAAUUAAUUUUUAUUUAUUUUUUUAUUUGCUUUAAAUUAAUAUAUUUUUAGUGUUUUUUGAUCAUUUUGAUGUGUUAAUAUCAAAAUAAUUUUUAAAAAAUAAAAAAAAUAUUAUUUUAAUAAUUUUUUUUAUAAAAUAAUUAUAACCACAAUCCCAAAUAUGUAAAUAACCAUUAGUCAGUCAUACCUUACGCAGUUACACUACGUUGCUCCAAACAUGUCACCGGAUUCUAGUGCUCCCAGGGAGGGUAUGAAUCAAGGAAAUACUAUCAGUAGCUAAGUUGCUAGAUCGAGUCAUGCCGUGGGUUUUUCAAUAAAUGACAUAUUUAGAUAUUAAAGUAUUUAAAGUAUUGGUUAGAUAGUCAAGAACUCAACAUUAGAAUUAAAAAUAAAUUACUGAGUUUUUUGUACGAAUUAUAUUAGAUGUAUCUUUAAAAUUGUUCUAAAAAAACUAAUAUUGAUUAACACGAAAAUUAAUCCAAAAAAUCCUUCUCUUUAAAUAAAAAAAACUUCAAUAACAUGUUUAUCUUCAAUUUAUCACAUUAAUAUUGCAAGUUUUGAUGCCAGCACAUGCAAAAUCAUCAACAAAUAUGUUUUAGCCUAAUAAUACAUUGUCUAACAAUGCGGUCCAAUUAUGUUUUUAAAUUUUAUAAUAUCUUUUAGCUUCAAAUUAAUUGUUUUUAGUGUUUUUAUAUUAUUUUGACGUGUUAAUGUCAAAAAUAAAUUUUUAAAAAAAUAUUAUUUUGAUAUAUUUUUAAAUAAAAAACAACACUUAUCAUACUACUGAAAAUAUUUAAAUACAUAUAUCAAACAAUUAGAAACAAACUAUUAUAAACUAGCAACUCCUCACCGCGCCAUGAAAUUCCCAACAACACAAAUAAUGCAAGUGUUUUUAAUACUGUGAUAAUUUUAACUAUUAAUGUAUAAAAAAGUGAUUAAAAAUAUUUAUAAAUUAUAGUUUUUAAUGAAAAUUUAAGAAAUUUUCUUAAAUUGAUUCGUGUAAAUAUUCAAUGUGUAUUAAUUAAUCAAAUAUGAUCAUACUCUUGAAGGCAAAACGCACCCCACCUCUUCCCUCCACUUCUAUUUUGAAGCAAAGCAUUUUACAACAUUAACUUUUUUAUUGAUGUAAAGACUAAAAGCGAGAGGUGCAUAGCACCUUCCAAUGAGAGUACUUUGCUUUACCGACAAUGGCCCCACAAGUUUUCCACUCACCCAAGCAACUAUCACCUACCAUUCAUCUCUUACUUCAUCACCUACCAUUCAUCACAGGACCUUCCAUCACAAGCAUGGAUUUUGCAAGCCGCGGUCUCUUUCUGUGUUUGAAAAUACGUUUGGAUAUAUUUUAAUAAUAUAUUUAGCUUAAAAAAUAUUAAAUAAUUUUUCUAGCCGUUGUUUUAGUGAUUUCUAAUUUUUUUACGUGCUGGAUUCAAAAACAUAUAAAAAAGUAUUCUUAUAUAUUUUUAAAUAUAAAUUAUUUAAAAAAAACAUGUUACAUCACAAUAUUAAAUAUAUAAUAAAAAAGUGAUAGAAAAAUAUUUAAUUAAAAAAAAAUACAUGAAAUAAUUUUAUAUUAAAAAUAGUUAGUUUUUGUCAUUAGUUAUAUUAUAUCUGUCUCCAAUAAUUUCAUAUCUGGUAUCUCAAAACAGUGACAAAAUCAAACUAACUGUCAGUCUCUGCAGCCUCUGAUCAAAACCUCACAAUAAGAUUAGCUACACGCUAUAAUUCCCUAAGCAGGAUACAUCUGUAAUUCUGUCGAUCGCCCUGGCCUCUACUAUAUCCCUAUAAUGAGAUUCCUCCUUCAUAGGAACAAAUUAAAUCCUGGCCGUUAGAUUCACAAGGACCACCCAAGUAUGAACUAUGAAGAAUCCAAUCCACUUGAAUUACCAAUUUACCCACUAUCUAAUAAUAUAAAUUCAUGACCUCGCCCCAGAUGCUUUGACACCAACCUAUCAAACCCCUCCCUUUUUUUUCUAACCGGAAAACCGAUUAUGACGCGACUCAUUGCCGGCGUAAUUUUUCUUCUUAUUUCUUUCUGUGGUAUCGCCGUCGGUGUCCGAGACAUCGUUGGUGACGUUCUCCGGUUGCCAUCGGAGGCUUCUAGGUUUUUCCGUCCCGGUAAAUUUAAUGAUGAUAAUAGUGAUGAUGAUUCUUCCGGAACUAGAUGGGCCAUCUUGCUUGCCGGAUCUAACGGUUACUGGAAUUACCGGCACCAGGUCUUAAUCACUAUAAUUUUUUACUGAACAGCUACAUGUAAUUAAAUGGUUUGAUCAAUUAGAUUUUUUUUCCUAUUAUUUUUACAGGCAGAUGUUUGUCAUGCAUAUCAACUGCUGAGACAAGGUGGAUUGAAAGAAGAAAAUAUAAUAGUUUUCAUGUACGAUGACAUUGCUGAUAACCCAGAGAACCCAAGGCCUGGAGUCAUCAUCAACAAUCCCCAAGGAGAAGAUGUUUAUAAAGGAGUUCCAAAGGUAAGGGUUUUUUUUUUGUUUUCAUGUAGAUGUAAAUUUUGUGGCUUCAGCACUCAUGGGUUGAUUUUGAUUUUGUUGUGUCAGGAUUAUACUGGUCCAGAUGUCACCGUUGGAAACUUUUUUGCGGCUAUCCUUGGAAACAAGACAGCUCUUACCGGGGGCAGUGGAAAAGUUAUUGAUAGUGGGCCCAAUGACCAUAUUUUCAUUUAUUAUACUGAUCAUGGAGGUCCUGGGGUGCUAGGUUAGUUUCAUUUUCUAUAUACCGAUGAUCAUGGUGUAUUUCUUAUUUAUUUUGAUCUCUUAUUGGUUUUUAUCUAAUUAUUGCAUGCUUAUGCACGUGACAGGCCGCGCCAUAAUAACAAAAAUUUCUCUGCCUUAUUUUAUGUUCAAGAAACCGAAACUCUUAGUUCCAGUCCCAGAUUCUAAAAUGAAAGUAUAACUUGUGAUCGAUGAAGUACUAUUUUGGAAACUGUUCCAAAAAUGUUAUUGUCACUGUAUUUUAUCAUCGCUAGUUUGUAUUUAUUGAAAUACAUGUCGUUUAUAGGAAUUCUUAAGGUCUUAUAUUAAACAAACUGCUUGACGUUCAUGUGUGGAUGGAUUUUUAUCAGGGAUGCCUACCAAUCCUUACCUUUAUGCGGAUGAUUUGAUUGAUGUCUUAAAAAAGAAGCAUGCAUCCGGAACCUAUAAAAGCUUGGUAAUUACGAGCUGAACUUCCACUUGCAGCACUAUUAGUUAGUUUAGUCAACUUCAAAAUAAAAGAAAUUUUGAUGGGCUAUAUCUGUAAAACUGUAGGUGUUUUAUCUUGAAGCCUGUGAAUCCGGAAGCAUCUUUGAGGGUCUUCUUCCUCAAGGUCUAAAUAUCUAUGCAACCACAGCAUCAAAUGCAGAAGAGAGCAGUUGGGGAACCUAUUGUCCUGGAGAGUAUCCUAGCCCUCCCCCAGAAUACGAAACUUGUUUGGGUGACUUGUACAGUGUUGCUUGGAUGGAGGAUAGGUAUGAACGGUGUUAAUUUUGAAUUUUAUUUCUGUUUAGAUGUGAUGAAGUAUUGAAUUGUCAUAAGCAUCAUUCAGUUUUACCCACUCAUCUAAGUAUAAGAGAAUAGCAAUACCUAGUAAAUAAGGGAAUCUAUCAGGCUUGAAGGAUUUACUUCUUGUCAAGGCAGAAAUGUGGCGUAGGCUCUUGGAUAGAUUCUCUUCACCUAGUAAUCACUGUUCAUUUUUUCUGCUGGGCUGAAAAAAAAAUGUUUUCGAAAGUUCAUGGAAACAUUCAAAUGUUGUUUCAUUGUCCCAAGACAGAUAUUUUAUAUACAAAAAAUUAAUAAUUUGACCUUGUGAACAGUGACAUACACAAUUUACGGACAGAAACUCUGCACCAGCAAUAUGAACUGGUAAAUGUUUGCAGGCCAUUCUUUUUAUUUUGUACUUUUGAAUAUAUACUAAGGAGCAAACAUGGCAUUUUAUCUGCCUGCAUAAUCAUAUGAUUUCAUUAUGGUGCAUGUGCAGGUAAAAAGGAGGACUUCCUAUGACAAUUCUCCCUACGGUUCCCAUGUCAUGCAAUAUGGUGAUGUUGGACUUAGCAAGGACGACCUCUUCCAGUAUAUGGGUACAAACCCUGCAAAUGAUAACUACACUUUCGUGGAGGAGAACUCCUUGAGGCCACAUUCUAAAGUUGUUAAUCAGCGUGAUGCUGAUCUCGUCCACUUCUGGACUAAGGUUUGUCUUAUCUUUUUUGUUCCAUUUCGAAUUAAAAGACUGCUAUUAAUUUUUUUUUUAUGUAUUCAUGUGUUUGUAAGUCAUGCCCUCUAUGGAUUGGGCUGCUGUAAUAAGAAAGAGAGCUAUGAUAAUUUUGUUAAAAGAUUAGGAGGGUUAGCCCAAGAAGUAAAGGAAGUUGUAUGGUAAUAGUAGAAUCUGAUCCUGAGCUCUCGAAUAAUGAGAGGUGCUCAUUCGGUGGCUGUUGAUAUUGCAUGGUUUAAAAAACAUUAAGGUAGGGGAUAUUCAGCAAAUGAGUCUUCUCGCAGGAUGUUGUGCAUAAGUUGUGACAGUGAGCAGCUGUGGGUCAUAACUGCUUUUUAUAUAUAUGAUUAACUGGAUGCCACAGCGAGGAGAUGCACUUAACUACUACUUUUAUAUACCAGUUUUUUCGUGUAUUUUUUUUUAUAAAAAAAAACUGCUUUAGUUCCAUCUCACUCUAUUUGUCGUCUGUUCUUUAUGCAGUACCGCAAGGCCCCAGAAGGCUCUUCUAGGAAGGUUGAAGCUCAGAAGCAGUUUGUUGAAGCAAUGUCACAUAGAAUGCAUAUUGACCACAGCAUAAAACUUAUUGGGAAGCUCCUCUUUGGAAUUGAAAAGGCCUCAGAGGCAUUGAACACCGUACGUCCUGCUGGGCAACCUCUUGUUGAUGACUGGGUCUGCCUUAAGACACUGGUAAAAUUUUACAGUUCUCAGCCUCUGCUUUAUCACCUCCUAACCUGUUUGUUCUCAAAGCUCUGCUGGUGACAUUGAAAGACUCAUCUUCAUAUUUGAGAAUAUUUUCUCUCUUGUUCUUCUAUGCAGGUGAGGACUUUUGAAACACACUGUGGAUCCAUAUCGCAGUAUGGGAUGAAACACAUGCGAUCUCUUGCAAACCUUUGCAAUGCCGGAAUUGUAAAGGAACAGAUGGCCGAGGCAUCAGCACAAGCUUGUGUAAGCUUUCCUUCUGGUUCAUGGAGCUCUCUUCACAAAGGGUUCAGCGCCUAAUUGAAGCAGAAUGUCCUAUUUAAAACAAAAAAAAUACUAGGAUUGUGUUCUAUUUUCCAAAUGUGAUCCACCUGUAUACAAGUUGUUUCAGGGAUGUAUUUUAAUGUUCACUCUCAUGAUUGCUUCUUUGUAAAUAUAAAUUAGAAGCACUUCUCUGCCAAAAUAUGAUUUGUAAUGAAGGCACCUAUUCCUAAUGUAAGAUUUCCUGUAAAAUCAGGCCUUUUCUUAAGCAGUGUUUACACUAAGAUGCAUUGUAAAACUUUCUGCUCCAGCAAAAGCAAGUUAAAGGGGGGGAGCAGGUUCGCCCGCUUGGGUAUGCUAGAUUCGAGCUUUUCCAGUCUUUCCAUUCAAUACCAUUAUCAUUGAGUUGCCACUCGCCAUAAAUAUUUUGUUGCUUUGCCAUUAAGUCUCUUAACACUUUCGGCAACUUUCGGCAUGUUUGGUAUGAUAGAGUAAAUUACAAGGUACUAGUUCAUGGUAGCAAAUUUGCAAUUGAAGAUGAUCUAUAUCGCCAUGUUAUUGGACUCCCUUGUCAACAGAAUCUAAACUUUACCUGGCAAGGUAGCCUAAAGAGCCACUGCCGGUUAUUUUUUUAAGAAUAUUUUUAUUUUUAUUAAAAUAAUAUAUUUUUCUAUUUUUUAAGAUUUAUUUUUAAUACAAACAUAUUAAAAUGAUCAAAAAAUAAAAUAAAAAUUAAAAAAACAAUUACAAUAUAGCAUUCCAAACAAAACUUCAAUUAUCAGUGUUUGACUUUCAAAAUGUGACAACAAGUACGCAAGAACUAUAGAAUAAAUAAAUAAAUAAAGGUUUUCUAAGAUCACAGGUUAUUAAUAAAUUUAGGAAGUUGUAUUUCCUUGACGGCAGAGGUUAAAAUUCUUAGUUAUAGAUUUUUUAAAUGUCAAAAAUAACCUCCUGUUAAGAUUUUUAAAAACCCAGAGAUUUAUUAGCCAUCAUUUUGUUUAAAAGGAAAAGGAGAGUGUAUUAAUUUUUUUCAAGAAUCAACGGAUAAAAGGAAAAAAAAAAUAAAACAGACACAAAUUUGGCUUGUCAUAAUUAUAUGGACAUGUGAGAUUAAAAUAGAAAAUUGUGUUCAAUUAAAAAAAAUUCAAUUAUCACAUUUCUUGAAUCAUGCAAGAGAUGGGAUUACUCUUUUUAUUGGCCCGAUUCUCUACUAAUUAUGAUCCAAAUAAAAUUAAUACUAGACUUUAAUUUUUUAUUUUACAAGUUGGUAUAUGACUUGUUAGUGGCACUCAACUAAAGAACAUGGAUAAUUUUUAUACAAGUAACUAUUAGUGUGUAGUACAUAAGUGUCAAAUUUUAAUUAAACAAUUUACUAAUAAUUAUUUAUUCACUCCAAAGUUUUUGUUUUUUUUUAUUAGAUGAUAAAAAUAAUAAGAUAAAUUUACAUAACAACUCAAACUACGCUUCUCUCUAUCUCUAUAACAUAUUAAGAACACCCACUCUAUAUUAGUAUAUAAUGCAUUUAAGUUCUAGUCUCUAUAUUUAAAUCUAGAAAAUUAAAGAAAAAAAACAAACCUCCUUAAUAUAAAAAUAAUUCAUUCACCACAAGAACAGACAACAAGCAGAGUUCACUCUCUGCUGCUUGCUGAAAAUGAGCUCAUAUUUUCUUCGCUGAAAAUGAGCUCAUAUUUUCUUCGCUCGCACUUCUACGAGACCGUUUCGCAUUGUAUUUGUAACUGCGUUUCAUCAAAUUUUGAAAUUUUUUUUUUUACUAAAAUUGAAUGUGGUUUGUACCUUUUAAAUCGUUUUGAUGUGCUGAUAUCAAAAAUGAUUUUUAAAAAAUAAAAAAACAUCAUUGGCAUAUAUUUCGGCACAAAAAGCUAUUUAAAAAACACCCGCAACCACACUGUCAAACUAGCUCGUAGACUAGACAUGGAUGCUUAUCCUAUUUCCUGCCUGACCUUAAAUAAAAGCAAAAUAUGGCUACUUCCUUUUCGACAACUGCAAGAUGGAUUUUCCAGACAAUUGUACCACAUUGCAUUUUAAGAACCGAAAUAAUAAUAAUAAUAAUUUGAUGAUAUAACAAAAUCUUAUUGGUCAAUCUGAGGGCACAGCAUUCACACAUGAUAGAGGCAUUGCCUGUAUAUAGGCAAGCAUGCAUCCCUAUAUCAAAGCUACAAGCAUACAAUCACUAGCAGUCAAAUAACCCAAUCCUUACCAACGGAAAUAACAAGUCGUAACAAACACUUAGGGAGGAUAUUCUUCAUUGAAUCAACAAAAUACUACUACUCUUCAAGUAUUGAGCAAUCUCAAGGAGCAGACUUCUUUCCACUUUCUAGCACCCUGGCUCCAGUAACGAUUUUAUCCGGCUAAGAUUCUCCAUGGCUUAACCUGAAACGAGUCUUCAAGAUGAGUAUGGGAAAAAAGGAACUCCAUGGACAAUCAAGCAAACUGUGACUGACAGAGUAGUGUAAUUUCAUACGGUGAAGAAACUCUAGCAGGUGUUUUCUAAGCAAAUGAAGCUAGCAAUAAACAUUAAAAUACAUCAGCAGUGGGGUCCAUCCCGGCAACAUAUUACUGUUUGUAUAAUUGAACUGCAUAAGACAAUUAGAAAAAUUAAACAUCGUAAACUCGCUCAUACGAAAUAUGAAUAGCUGGAUCCUCAGUGGUCGAGCUUAGCCCAAUGAUUCUGGUAACAUAAGAAGAGAGUGGGCGGGCACAUUAAUAAUCAAGCAUGUUGCCAUAAACAAAUUCAAAAUGCUAGCAUGUAAUAAUCCUGGGAUAUCAAAUGACAUUGAUAACAUUUUAUCAGGGAUAAUGCUGAGUUCCAAGUCAACCUUAAUGUGCUUUUCUAUUUACAGGGACUUCAUAUACUGUUUCUUGCGAUGAAGUUUAAAUCUCCACAUCACAAAUUUUCCAUGCUUAUUUGAAAGGGACCAUCGCUGAUAACUAUUUGAGUUUUUUUGGUUACAGAGAACCACUGCCUUUCAGGUCUUGCAAAUCUAAACCUAAAUCUCACAAGUUGCAAGAACAAAUUAACACUCUGAGCGGUGGCAUGUUUUGCAUUAAAUACAUUUUUAUUCUUCUCUCUAUAUCCAACAUGCAUAGCAUAACAUAUAUUUUUUCAAGGUUUUCAGAACAUUUAAACAAAAAUUCAGUUCAGGUUGUACACACAACCAAAGCUUUAACUCUGUAAGAGAAACUGACCAGUUAUGCGCUGCCAAAAGAUGACCAGUUUUUAAUCUCUAUAUCUGACUCGAUCAUCAUCACGCUUGUCAUUUUCAUACCGUUUCCCCUCACUAAAACGAGAAUCGUCAUAUCUAGACCUCUUGGAGUGAUCUAUCUGCUUGUCCCUCUCAUGACCUCUACUUCCUUGCUCUUCUUUCUCCCCUCUUCCGUGCCUUCUACUUCCAUAUCGCUGAUCUACCUCAUUCUUUCCAUGCCUUCUGUAGUCAUCGUCCUCUUCUUCAUAUCUCUGGUAUCUUCUCCCUCUAUGAUCCUCCUCAUCCCUGGCAUGUCUUUUCUCCCCUCCACGCUCUUUGUAUUCUUGAUCAUUCCUACUUCCACGUCGUGGUUCAUCUUCUUUACGUGUAUCUCCAACAUCAUCAUCAUGCCCUCUGGAUCUAACCAAUUUAGAAGAAUCACCCCUCUGAUCAUCCUUACUUUGAUAUGCUCUACGAUCAAUGUCAUGCCCUUCCUCUUUUCCAACUGUUCGAUUUCUUGACUUUGAUUCAUGCUCCUCAUCCUUAGUUGAAUCAUCAAGUUUCCUUUUGUUCCUCCCCGUUGCUUGAAUAUCAAGGUUGGUUUUGUCCACAGCUUCUCUACGAGAUUGGUACAGUUCUCUGGGUCUAUCACCACGGCCAAGAUCAGCAGGUCUAGAACCCUUCUCUUCUAGAAAGGAUUCACGACCACUUCGACCACCUUUGUUAUAACCACCAUCCCCCCCUCCACUUCUGUUUUUAUCAGCAGGAGUCUUUUUCACAGGUUUUCCAUGUCUGUAAUCACUACCACUGCUGCCAGAAUCACUGCUUCUCCUGCUAUCCUCACUGACAUCAUCCAGAGAAUCUAGCUUCUUGUCAAUUAUCUGCCUGUGAUCUCCACGUCCACUUUUGUCUAGGAGAUUUUUCUUCAUGGCUUUCCCAUGCCCAUCAUCACUAGCACUGCUGUCAGAAUCAGUGCUCUUGCUAUCAUCACUAUCAUCUUUCAGAGAACCUCGCAUCUCCUCAACAAUUUUCUUCCCUUUCCUACCAUAAACUGUAUCAGGAUCUUCUUCAUCACUAUCAUGCCUCCUCCUACUUCUAAUUUUCUCUAAUUUCUCAUCACCACUACCAUCAGAAUCACUAUCAUUCCUUUUGUGACUCCUACUUGUCAAUUCCCUUCUAUGCUUUCCUACUUUGUUGAGAUCGGAUUCACUAUCACCUUCACUGAUUCUGCGACCAUUCCCAUGUCUACUGCCGUCACCAUUCCAACGAUCAUUAAAACCAGAAUUAUCAUCAGAGUCAUGCCUUGCACGAGAUUUCUUGUGUUUCUCAACUUCCUGAUGCAGAUUAACCAGGCCAACAUCAUCCGCAUCAUCAGUAGCAGAAUCAUCACUAUCACCAGAUCUUCUGCUUUUCUUGAGUUUCUCAGAAAUUCUGCUCUUCUUCUUGCCAUGGUCGGAAUCGGUCUCGUCAUCAGUAGCAGAAUCAUCACUUCCACUGUCAUGUCUUCUGCUUUUCUUGUGCUUCGUCGAUGUUCUCUUCUUCUUGCCAUGGUCAGAAUCACUUUCAGUUUCAUGAUCCCUUCCUCGUCUACCUUUACUAUGCUUCUUGCGACUUCCUUUAGCAUGCUUCCCACAGCUAUCUGUAUCAGAAGAAUCAUCCCGAUGCCUUCUCUUCCUGCUUUCUUCCUUCCGGUGGUGCCUUGACUCGUCAAACUCAUCUUCUUUCUUCUUAUUUUUCAAGGCUUUAACACCCUUUUUAUUUUCAUCCUUCUCAACUUCAAGAUCUUCAGCCACAUGUUUCUUGCGGGUGAACUCUCUAUCCAAAAAGGCAUGUUCAUGUUUCUCACUCCACUUGCUUCCUUCACCUGGGUCAUUCUUCCGACUAUUUCUUAGUUCAUCAUCAGUCCCAUCAAUGCCUUGUUCAUCUGGUUCAGACAUUCGUAUACCAAGAGCAGCCCUUAAUGUUUCCAUUUGUUUUUCCUUCCUAGCAGCAAUUUGAUGGGACUGCGUAUCUGAAACCCUGAUUAACACAUUAAAGUCAUUAUCACAUCACUAGGACACAAAGUAGUGUGUGUGUGUGUGUGUGGAUUUGCCAACACACCCAAAGAGUGGGCAGGUUAGCAUUGUGUCCAAUUUGUUAGGUUAUGACAGCAAUAUUCCUUUAUGUUUCUUUAUGUAAAUGAUUUAAACAUGGAUAAUUUUGUAACUUCAAAAUUGUUUCCUUCAACAUCUAUCAUCUAUAGUCACUUUCAAUUAUAUAUGUAUCUACGAGUUCUUCAGUAAAAUAUAGCCAAAUGCUAGAGGCCGAACAACAUUUUUUGGCUUGCUGCUGCUGAAUUCAAAUGCUUUUUUGUCAAUUUUAAUUGAUAAGAGCCAAAAGCUCAAAAACCAUUUUCUAUAUCCUUCAUGUACAUGCUGCUAAAUUAAAAGCCAAGUUACAAAAUCUAAACUAAGAAACUAUAUUUUCUGUGUUAAGCCCCAUUCUAAGGAUAUCCUCUUUGAAUUUUCAAAACAAACAUUGUAAAUAUUAAGUAUUCACAUAGUUGCAGAGUUGGUGCAAGAUAGAUUUACAGCAAACCAAACUUAAUGUGAACCUUGGCUAUGAACAACAAAAGAAAUAUGGGCUGUUCUUAAUCAAACCAAAUAGAAACCCAAAUAAAUCCAGUUUAUCCAUAUUCAUGGGGUUGAACUCGAUACGGAUAUGAACGAUAAAUGAACAAGAUAAAAGAAAGGUGAGAUGGGACAGUAGGAGAUUCUAUAGCGUAAGUUAUGAAGUUAUCCUCACUUCAUUAUUUAAAUAAAAUGAGAUAUGGGGAUAUUUUUGUCCCAAAAAAACUGGACACAACACUAAACUGCCCAAAGAAUGGGCAGGUCAGCAAAUCCAACGAAUAUAAAUGUGUGAGGGCGUGUGUGCAUUUCAUCAGAAUUUUUAAAAUUUCAACUACCAAGAACGGCCUUAAGCUGUCCCUAAAAUCAGUUCCAAUAACCAUAAACAGGCUAUAGAUGGGGUUAAUGUGCCUAUUCCCUUCAUAAAUUUGUUUUUUCCAUUAACAGCAUAUGAUACCGGCACACUUUCAAUUAAUUCCUCACAGCAAGAUACAAAUACCUUAAAUUUUAUAACAUCAAUAACAUAUACAGGACCAAAACAGUACCAUAAACAACAUAAUUUACUCAAACACGUCCAAACUACAUAUUAGCAUCUAACCAUACACAACACUUGUACAAGUAGAACAACUAGACCACACAAAUUCCCAGUCAAAACAAGACAGUGCCAAAUGCAACAUUAAAACUGAAACAUAACUCAAACCUGCGACCAUCAAGAAAAACACAAUUCCUUAGUUUGUCUCCAAAACAAUCCAAGCACCUAGACCCUAAAACGAACUUGCUUUUAUACAUGUUUAUCAAGUCACCAGCACAUCCACCCCACAUAAAACCAUCAAACUUACACACAGAGUCAAUCUUAUAAUAGAAAUUAUGCAUAAAACAAAUUGACAAAAGAAUGAAUGGCAUCAUAAGCAUCAAAAUUAUUGGAAAUCGAAAAUAAAACAAAACUAAGAAGUCCAUAGAUUCAUUACUUUGUGUCAGAGGCAGUAAGUCCCCCACUCUCUUCGGAUGCAGCUUCCAAAGUCUUCCUAGCUUCCUGAAGCUUCUCUUCAAUCUCAGCAUCAGUAUAUCCUUGUUCAAUCAGCUUGUCUUCAAGCACAACAAGCUUGAGCUGAAUUUGCCGCUUGCGAUCAUGCUCAAGAAUUUCCUUAUUGGGUUUCUUGGUAAUCCCACCAGUCCCCUGAUCUCCCUCGAAACCCUUAGUAUCAUGUGCUACCUUGCCGGUUCUCGGCCUCACGAAAAACUUGUUUGUUUGGAUAUAACCGUUUGUACCCGACCCCCUCGGGGUCUGUAACCCGAUCCCGUUAUACAUCUGUCCAAAUUCAGUAAUUGUAUUAAAAAUCAGAAACCUAAUUAGCCACACACGAAAAAAACUGACGAAUCUAAUCAAUUUUUCAGUAAAUUGAACAAGACUAAACCAAACCCUAAGUAGAGAGAGAGAGAGAGAUUUGGAUGUUUCAUUGCACAAAAAAAAGAAAUUUAAAAUUAGGGAUUUAAAAGGAAGUCAUGCCUGGAGCAGUAAUGAGAUGGUCGCAGAUGGGGUCUCUCCGUUUUCUGUGUUCCGGAGAAGAUUGAGACAAGCGGGAUAUAGGGAGAGAAGAAUUUGACGAAAUACAACAAGGAACUGAAGAAAUUUUCAGCACUUAUAAGUUGUAAUCUUAAAGCUCGUGCACUGAACCAGUGCACCUCUAGUCUCUUCGGCUAUUUGAUCUCAGCCAGAUGAUGUUAGAGAGAGAGUCGGAGCAGGAGGAAGAAGGGUCUCUUAUUAAUUUAAGGGGAUACGGCUGCCCUUGUUACAACGUGGUAAUGGGCCUUUUUCUCAAGAAAAAAAAAAGUGGUAAUGGGCCCAGUAGUAUGGAUAAUUGACCUAGUCCAAUAGCUACAAACCCAGUGUUUUUUCUAUAACGAUUGCGUGGAGUAAAAUGGUAUAUAAGUCAAAGAAGGCUGAGAGGCUACUAGAGGUGUGAUUGUUGUUAUUUUUAAAAAUAUUUUUUAUUUGAAAAUAUAUUAUAAUAAUAUUUUUUUAUUUUUAAAAAUUUAUUUUUGACAUCAACGUAUCAAAAUACUCUAAAAAUACCAAAAAAAUAUUAAUUUCAAGUAAAGAAAAAAAAAAUUCAUUUUUUUUCAAAAACGCUUUUGAAAUGUAAAAACAAAUAGAUCCUUAGCAAUAGUAACUCGCCCUGUAACGAUUGCAUGGAGCAUCCACAUCCUUGCUAGCCCAAUCUAAUCCUUAGAUAUAAUAGCUAUUAGGAGCAAGGUUGUAAAUUCUGUUUAAUUCCGUUUUAAAUGACUACUAUAUAUUAUAUCGGUUUAAAAAAUAUAAUAAAUCAAAAUAAAUUUUAUAUCUUUUAGAAUCAUGAAUUUUCCUAAUAAAUCCAUUCAAUUCUCCCUAUGUAGGAGUGCAGGGGGGCAUGGAGUUUCAGAUCCAAUAACCUACACUCCACUAGUAGCAGCUGCGUGUGAAUCCAUUCGCCAACAGUGGUGGUAGCACGUGUACAUGCGCUAAUAAUGAUUCAAGUAGCUUAUAGACACGCUAAACGCCUUGAAAGAUCGAUUUAUGAACUCAAAUCAUUUUUUGAACCAAAUGCUUGUUUUUUGUAUAAUAUUUAAAUUGUUUGGAUUGUUAAUUUGUGUUUGGAUUUCAAAAUAAUUUGAUUAUUUGUGUUGAAUUAUGAAUUUAUUUGUUAGGUUUGUGAUUGUUUUGUGUACAUUAAAUAUUGAUGCAUGAGUUAUGUCUAGAUCGGUUUGAUUUAUUUGGAUUAACAUAGAAUUUGAAUAAAAUAGGUGAUAUUAAUAAAAUUUAUGUUGAUGUUUGGUAUUUAUUUGAUUUUGAAUCAAUAAACAAUAAUUUGAGCAAUAGCUUGGAAAAAAAAAAAAAGAUUAUUGGCUCCAUCCUCUGCUUUUGAGCCUGUUCUGGUUUGACUGGUUGUCUUUCUCUGUCCUCUAUUCAUUUUCUUCACUGAAGUGUGCAUACGGGUUCGGUGGAAUCUCUCUAAUUCCCUUGCAGAACAUGAAAAUAAGAACUGCAUACGCAAUUUCCGGCAUGUGCCCUGCUUUCACCGUUCCACUUCAUUAAUUACUGGAUUCUUGUUUUUUAAUUGAUUUAAAAAUUAAUAAAAAAAAUACUCAAUUAUUUUAGAAAUAAAAUUUUCUAUUGAGCUAGCUAAAAUGAUUUUUUUAGCUAAAAAUUAAGUACCGUGAAUAUGAAUGUGAAUGCCUUCCAGGUGUUUUUAAUUCAUUUCGUAAUUGUUCUUGCAUAGAAAAAAUAAAAAUAAUUAUUUUUAUUUUUAUCUCGUGAAAUAUUUUUAAUUAUUAUUUUUUUUCAUUUUAAGAAGAGGCAGAAAAGGAUUAAGAUAAAAAUAUAACCAAUUUCUUUUCUCACAAAUAGCCCUCUCUCUAUAUAUUUUUUUAAUAAAAUUUUGAUAAGUGAAAAGAUUAUCAAUUUAAGCUGGUUAAAAAAAAACUAAUGCUAAUUAUAAACUAAGAUAAAAAUAAUAAUAUUUAUUUAUUCAAUCAUUUUAAAUUUAAUAAUAAUAUACAUCAAUGAUAAAAUAUAUUUUUUAUAUCUUGUAUUGUAAUAUUCCUCAUCAACAGAACAUGACAUGUGAAUUUUUAUUUUAUAUUGUAUAACACUGUCAAGUAUAACUCCGAUUUCUGUUUUAUUUCGUCUCAAUCCUUAUAUCUCAACUUACUUUAUUUCUUCAAUCCCGAAAUAAUAACCCGACAUUAUCGACAGAGCUCAUUUUCUUCACUAAAUUUAACCAUGGUUAGCUGACAGGUGUUAAAUAAAAUAACACCGUGAUCAACUUAUAUUAUAAUAAUUUGACAAAAAAGAAAACACAUAACGCGCUUCAAGAUUCCGUUGGACUAGUGAGAGAACCGUGAGCCCAAAUGCAACAGCAGCAACACAGAAAAGGUUGUAACGUGGCAAGGAAUGGACGGCCUUUGACGGUUAAUACGGACCGUCGAUUAUGAAUCAAGGGCUAUUUAUACUCGGAAUUGAAGGGUUGGAUAUAACGGAGAGGUGGAAAGGGUAUGGAAGGCUGGGUUUGAAGGGGAGAGAAAGAGAGCAUUCGUUUCGUUUUAUUGAAGAAGAAGACGAAGCUCUCUGUAGUAUUGGUCGGCUCUUCUUCACAGUUUCCAGUACCAGAUUUCUUGCACUUUCUCUCUCUUUCUAGCUAACCAAACAUGGGAUUUUGAAUGGGAUUGAAGAGAACUGGAUAAAUGUCGAGGAUCUGUAACUUUUAAGGAGACAGAAGAGUUUUAGGUGUGUAAUUAAGAAAACGUAAUCUGAUUUUGUACAAGUGUUACGUGGUUGAACCUGAAAACGUAGUUAAUAACUUGUUGGAUUCUCUCUUCUACAGGUACAUUUGCAGUGAUUUGCAGGUGCUUUUCACAGGGAGUGAGUUCCACGCUGGAUUCUGAUUUACGAAACUAAUUUUGAGUUUUGAAGAUUGGGCUUCGUUUCAUUGAGAUUUAUAGGGAGAAGGUAUCAGAAUAUUACACCUUCGGAGUUCAAAACAUAACUCGAUUUCUGUGGAUGUUUUUCUGGCUAAUUCCCUCAAGUAAUCACGACUUUGUCUCGUUCUUUUUUGUUUUGCAGAUACAUUGUGAAAGAUUUAAGCCGUUUCAGAGAGAAUUCGGAGGACAUCUUCACACGGUGUACUGUUAGAGGAUACAAUUUUAAAUCAGAUUUCUGGAUACACAAAGAUCGGAAUCUGACAUGAAAGUCCUUUGAAAUGUCAUUCAGUUGAAAAUCCGAUAAAAGAUUUGAAUACUGCAAAGACAGAGAACUAGAAAAAGCAAAGUGUUGUGAAUCGGUGAAUAAUCAUAAGAGACAAUUCCUCAAAAUCUGAAUGAUAUUGAAAGGUACGAGAAUCCAAGUCUUGAUUAUGCAGUUCAACUCUAGAUUGUCAGUUUCGUAGCUGCAAUUUACUAGGCCUCCCUGUUUUUUUCCGUUCAGCAUCAAUUGAUUUCUCUGUUUUUGCUUGUGCAGUCUACAGUGUCCCAAGAACAACCAGUAGUUUCUCCGGUAAUCAGCAGAUUUCUUCAACAAGUUUGAAGUUUUUAGGUAAUGUGUCUAUCUUUCUCUUCACAGGCUCUCGAUUGCUCUCCCUCCCUUCAUGGUUUUCGUAUUGAGGCCAACCUUUUUCUCUCCGAAGAAUUCUUACUUUGACCUCACUUUCUGGUCGGUUUUUUAUUUUUCAAUUGUUCUUGAUGCUUUCUUCCUUUCUUCUCUCUGAUUUUGCGUGCAAUCAAGAGAACUAGCUUUGCUUUCAAUUUUUGUUCUCGCUAUCAUUUUCUCAGACAACGAUCUCCAUUUGUGUUACCAAGAAAACUUCGGCCGAAACAAACUGCUACUCAACAACACCACCUUCGCUUUUGUCUUUUCUACUUUUAAGAGUUUCGACACUCAAAGGGGAGCUAAUUGAAUUUCUUCCUCUGAACUUUUGAGAAAUUUCUUGUGUGCUUUGUUUCUCCACGCGGAUAAAGUUUUUAAAACUUCACAGAUGCAUUUAUAGAUUGAAUCCAUCUCUUACAUUUCCACUCAUAUCCACCUUAAGAGAUUCCAAUCUCACGGCCACUGUUCAAUUGUGAACAAUCUAACCCGUAGUAUUCACAUCCUACGCCAAUCUUUAUCCCUUUUUUUUGCUUCAAUUUCUUCUUUUCCCUUAUUUUCUCGCAAGCCAGGGCCGGCUUCUUUUAUUUGAAUUUUGUGGAAGUUGCAGGAAGCCACGUUAAUAGCUUGAUCUCCCUCUGUUUUUUUUUUUUGGUGGGAUGGGACAGGUGUACAAAAAGUAAAUGGAAAAGGAUUCAUUGAGGAGCAAUAAUAAUGGUAGCACGAGCAACACCACCACCCAUAGCAGUGCCCAGAGAACCAGCUUAGAUCCCAAUGGACAAACGACGUCGUCUGAUUUUGUAUUGCAGUGGGGGAACCGGAAGCGGCUCAGGUGUAUGAAAGUCCAAGUCAAGGACGUCUCGACCGCUCUGGUUCAUAAGACAACUGUUCGGGUGGACCGUCGGGUUGUUAGAGCUGAUAACAUCGACACCUCUGAUCAUCAGCCAAGAAGUACAAACAACAGCAGCAGCAACAACAAUAAUCCCACCAAUCACAGUAACGGAUAUUUUAAUCUCCGCCAACGUCCGCCUACUCCUCCACCGCCGCCACCUCAGCGGAGUUUAAGGUACAGAUCCAUUCCUUUUACCAUACAGCACGUGAAUUUUAAAUGAACUUUUUACUUGAUGUGAUGGAGGAAAUUUUGAGCUUAUGUGAUGGGGGUGUUGAUUCUCUUGAGGUUGUCGGGAUGUGGUGGUGGAAUAUGGAUCGGGUUGUGGGCUGGGCCCACGAUUCUUACUGGGUCGUGUUUGUCGUUUAUUUUAUUCAAGCGGCAAAUUUACAGUUUUCGUUCCUGAAUCAUAUCUUAGCAUUUUUCACCUUCCCUUCAAGGCUCUACAUGGUUUAGAAACUUUUUAGUUAGCAUAUGGAUCAUAGAGUGACAGUCUUAGGAGAUUUUAGGCUUUUCAAUAAUUGAUUAGGGAGGAGGGUUUUGGGUCCCACCGUUUAUGUGCACGAUUUGGUCCAUUCCCUCCCAAAGUAUCCUUCAACUAUUUUCUCAAUUUUACACUUAAAACCAAUUUUUUUAUAUCAAUUUUACUAUCAUAUUUUUAAAAAUUCUGAAUUAAUAACUUCAAUCUAUUUUAAAGAUUUCUAUCGAUAUCUUCAUCCAAAUUAUUUUUUAAUAUUAAAGAUAUUUCAUUUCUUAGGGAACUUAUUGUUUUUAUUAAUUGAUAAAUCAAGAUAAUUUAAUGAUAAAAUUGAUAUGAGAAAUAGUCUGGGUGUGAAAUCGAUACCACCUUAAUAGUUUCAUGGUAUAUUUGGGAUUUUUCUAUAUUUUUAUACUGAGUGCCUUAGGAUUUAACUUCAACGAAAAUCAGCCCAUAAAUUAGAGCACUACAGAAUAAUUUCAAUGACUUUUUUUUUCCCCUUGUCCAUGAUUGAUGGUGUGGUUUUCAUUGGAAGACUACUUUUCCUUGGGAAAUUCGGGGCUUUCGUAGUUUUUGGAGGCAUUAUGGUGUGGACUGGAGUGGUUGAAUAGAGUAGCAUUCACAGACGUACAUGUGCUGGUUGAGUGGUUCCAGCUGCGGCAUUUUCUUAAAUGCACCAUUGUCAUGGUUGGGCCUUAAGAGAACUCGACACCUUACCUUAUCUCUACAGUGCUUUUGAUGAUCGAUCAUGUGUAUAGGACCCUUCAGUUCUGUGACUUGCGAGCAGAAAUAAUCAAAUGCGUUCACUGUAGGGAUAAGGGUACGAGUCUGACAUGCAUUCUUUAGGUGGGGUGGACAUGGCUGUUCUAGAAAUGGAUAAGAAGGCCACACGUCGUGGGUGCCCUUGACUUUUAAACCCCCACCUGGCCUGACUGAUGCUGUGAUGGCAAAUACAUGGGCCUCAUAAAAUAUUUCAUCUUCAACAUGCAACUUGCUACUUUAAUGUAACAGGUGCUUAGAGGUUUGAUCAAAUUCUUGAAAAGAUCAAACAAUUUUGCUUGCUUGGGUAAAAUAUUAUAUGAGGCUUAUAUUUGUCCACUUUCCGAUUGGUCAGGUGGGCGCAUGUGUAUGGCUCAGGAGUAGAGCUCAUGGUAAGUGCAUGAAAGCGCCUUCUCUCUAGCCUUUCUUCCGAGUCAAAAUUGGGUUCUCGAGUAAAAUAGGCUGCUCCUCUUUGCUAUUUUAAUGAUCUAGGACGGAGUCCUCAAGAGGGAAACUCCAAGAACUUGAUUGAUGGUUUUUAUACAGAAAGGUAAGAAUUUAGGAAUUGGUCAUCACUUACUCUCUGAUUUGGCUGAUACAACUUCGUAGCAUCGCCCCCCAUCUAGGGUUGAUCCUUCUGACUGCCAAAACCUUAGUGAUAGCUAUGGUGAUUGUUGAAGAACUAGUUGCAAUUUCUCUUAACAGAAUUCAGGUGCAUGAAAACAUUAGAAAUGUGACAUGAAUUGUAUGCUUUUAUCAAGGAAUUCUUUGGUCCAAAUGACUGUCGGAAUUAACAUAUUAUAGUACAAAGACUGAAUUAGGUUCGGCUUUUCCUAUUGUAGUUUGGUCUGUAGCAGGCCUAUCAAACUUGAUCGUAACCUCUCAAAUUCUAAUCCACAACGGGCAUGGGGCGAGUCGAUAACAUUGAAAAGACAAGCCCCACCCGAGUUACCGUAAUUGAAAAAAAAAAAAAAACACCAUCCACCGUUCGAUUACACAUAGGAUUAGGAAUCUGGUCCACUUUAUCUUACAAUUGAAUACGUAAUCUUAACCCCUAAAAAGGAGCAAAAACAAAAUCCAACGGCCACAAAAAACCAGCUAAAAAGACCAGCUGCUCACGUUGGUUGGAAACCCGAAUAGAAAUAGAAUCUCCAUUCUUCUUUCUCUCUCAAACAUCAACAAAGGCGUAUAUAAGAAAAUUAAACAACACCUCCCACUAGCACACCCCUCCAUUAAAGGCCUAUAUGGUCCACGAAAGAAGCGAAAAAACCCACAACCCCAUUUUCUACGCAAAACCCGUCGAGAUUCUAGCCAGUCACACCCACCGAUCUAUGAUCAAUCGAAACUCCUCAAAGGGUAUUCUUGUAAUUUCAUAAUUACCCACUUCAAAUCUUUAUUUUUUUUUUACUACUUUACAUAAAAACACUUCAGAUGUGUUACUUUUAUUGUAUUUCCUAGUCAGUCGUGUCGCAUAUGGUCUAAUUUUGUUUGUUUGAUGAUGUUUGUUCCAUGCUUGUGUUGUUAAUUUCAAUAGGAACUCAGAGAAUUCAAGUGUCAUGAGAGGAGGCCAGAGUAACGGCGGUGGUUUGAGAAGGAUUGCUUCACCGGACAAGGGUGCGCACGAUGAGAGAAGCAACCACCACCACCACCACCACCACAGCAGCAACAACCAUGAGAACCACAACCAUAAUAACAAACCCGCGGCUUCUUCGGAUAGCAAGAAAGGAGGAAGGUCAUCUUCUGGGGGGAGUGGAGAACCGCCGCCGCCACCACCACCACCAGUUUGGCCACCAAAGUUUGUUAUUGCUUUAACUAAUAAAGAGAAAGAGGAAGAUUUCUUUGCCUUUAAAGGGUCUAAGUUGCCUCAAAGACCCAAAAAGAGAGCCAAGUUCAUUCAACGCACCCUCAAUGUAAGACCCUUCUACUUCCUUGUUUUUUUAUUUCAAGUUUUUAUUCUAGCAGUCUAUGUUUGAUUAUCUUCUUAAUUGUUAUUUUACAAUCUUAUUUGAAGAUUAGAAAAAGUAAACCCAUAACUACUAGAUGAUCAGUGUCUUGUCUCAUUACCUAUUUCACCCAUUUUGUAGAUCUUUCAAAAAGGAUAGAAUUGUAAAACACAAAAAAAGAUCAUAUGCAGUGUAAGGUACAAGCAUUUAUAUCACAAGGUACAAGUGUGAUGGGUGGCGGUGGAAAAAAAUAGAACACAAAUUUCAAGGAUACCGUCGUGAAUUGCAAGUUUAGAGAGUGUACGGAUUGUGGAGUAGAGUCUUUUUAAAAUAUGUUUUUUAAUAUUUAGUUUUUUUAAUUUUAACAUUAAAUUAUUAAAAAAAUAUGAUUUUAAUAUUUUUUCAAAUAAAAAUCUUUUUAAAAAACUUUAAAAGUUGUGUCAAACAAUAUAUCUGGACCUUGUUUGGGGCAACACAAUUGCACUAUUGUUUUUUUAAUUUUUUUCUUUAAAUAAUUUUAUUUUUUCUUUAUAUUAAUUUAAUAUGCCGAAAUAAAAAAUAAACUUUUAAAAAUAAAAAAUAUAUUUUUUAAUAUGUUUUUAAAUAAAAAAACACUUUUAAAAACAAUUAUAUAGAAACACGGCAUCUAUUUUGUUCUGCUUUUUGGUGUUUUUCUUUGCCUGUAAAAGCUAGGAAAGCGUGUAAAGCGACAGAUGCACUUGUUGUACGUGUCAAUCAAGCCGUGGAUGUCUACCUGUUAACCAAUAAUAACCUAAGUUUGUUAGCACUAACCUUUUCUCCUCUUUUCUUUCUGUGUAUUUCUUAGUUGCUUACUACGAGAAAUUAGGGGUACGCACUGGUAAUUUCGAAUGUUAAGAUUAUUUUUAAAUUUUAAGAAUAAAUAGGGCAUUUACCGAAAAGAAACAAUUAAUAGGAAAUUAUCAUGCGAAUAGUUUAAUGCAUUUUCACAGGCCAUUAUUUUAGCAAUUAAUAGGUAGGUGUGCAUUCCUUUUUUAUCCCGAAUAUGCCGGGCACUAGAAAGCCAUUUGAUCAGCUCACAAUCUGAGUGGGGUUUGGCUGGCUGAAUCAUCUGGCACGUGCUAGGUGAUCGAAUUUUCAACUAAAGAUAGAUUUAUUGAUUUUUUUUUUUGACUAUUUACAUGACGAUGACGGGGAGAAUAUUAAAUUGAUUUGAGUAAAAUAAUAAUAAUAAUACGACUGAUCACCCAUUAUUGCUAUCAGCACGAUUGUCAUUGUGGACCGCCCACACUUAGACAGAUAUGUUUUGCCAUUAUUGUUCAUGCGAUACUAUAAUUUAUGCUUCGGUUAUAAGCAACAACCCAUGAAACUUUCCUUUGAAAAAAAAAAAAAAAACCUAGGGAACUCCAUGAGGGCAUACAGAUAACAAGGGUGCGCAUCUGGUGUUGAAGUUUGUCAAGGCCCCAUUUUUUUUUAUAUUAUAGUUUUGAAAUGAUAAUAUUAAAAAUUAAGAAAUAUAUAUUUUAAUAUAUUUUCAAAUAAAAGUUGCUUUUAAAAAACAUAACCAUGCAUCAUGAAAAUUUAGGUUUGUGACCGAAUUGUAGUAAAGCAUUAGAUUAAAUUAGAGUAAAUGUGUCGGGUGAGGAUUUUAAUGUACACCACCAUGCUUAUCUUUAGAGUAGCCGACAAAAGUGACAUGAACCUAACGGCGCCUUGUCAAUGACCAACUUUUGUUUGGCCCAUCUUUUAAUCUAUUUUCCAUUGUAGAUUAUCUAUGUAUUUCAGAGUUGUUUUGUGCGAUAUUUUGGGAAUAUUUUUUACUUUAUAGGCAAAUGGUCAUUCCUUCAUAGCUAAAACUUUUUUCUUUUUUUUAAGUGGUGGCUCUUGGUUAAAUCGAAGGGGGAGGGAAAGUCCACAAUUAAAAAUGGUGCUAUUGUUUUUUAUUUUUUUUAUUUUUUUGUCCAUGAACUGUGUUGGGUUGUGUUUGAAAUUUCAAUUUUCUAGAGGGAACUCUGAUUCUGGUUUAUGCUGCGCAGCUUGUGAGUCCUGGAGCAUGGCUAUGUGAUUUGACACUAGAACGGUAUGAAGUGAGAGAGAAGAAGAUCACCAAGAAGGUACUCUAAACGAUGAACCAUAAGUAUUUAUUUUCACAUCAGCAUGAUUGUUGCUGUAAUGCCGGGUCUAUUAUGAGCUUGACAAGUAGCAUCUUUGUAUUUUCCAUGUAGAGACCGAGAGGGUUGAAGGCCAUGGGAAACGUGGAUUCUGACUCUGACUAGGAAAAAAACUGUGGACAAAUCACAAAUGUACCUGGGAGGAAGAUGGAUGUUGAUGACAAAACAUCGUUGGAAUUUGUUGGGUUUUUUUUCUCGGAGGAGGUAAGAAAAACGCUGGCUCCCCCGUACUGUAUAAAUCAUGACCUUUCACCUCCUGCAAGAAAGAAAAGGAUAAAAUUUCAGUCGUAUAUGUUUUUUCUUAAAAACAACUCCUUCCUAUUCCCUAAGCCUCUAACCUUCGAUUUUUUUCAAUUGAGUACUCGUCUUAUAUAGUGAAUUUGAUGGGUUAUUUUAGGUCAAUUGAAGCAUUUUUUUUUAAUAAAACAAAAACCUGGAAUGUUGUUGUUUAUAGGAAAGGAAAAAAAAAAAACUAGGUUUUUACACGAAUUCAGGUCGAGUCCGAAUCGGUCAUCGAGUUGAUCUAUGCCUUGGAUCUUAAGCAAAUGGGUGAUGCUGGUCAAUGUGGAUUUUGCAGUGCAUCAAGAAAUAUGUGUUCCUAGGGAUAUGUGUAUCUUGUGAAAGCAUCACGACUGUUUUUACUUCCAGGAUAAUUGAAGAUUAAAUUUAAAAUACAAUAAUUUGGCAUCCAGAAUUAAUCAUCGAUUAAAAUGAGGAUAAAAUACACUGGUAAGAGGAUGUUAGGGAUAGUGUUAACGAUUAAAAGCAUUUUUUUUUAAAGAAAUAUAUUAUAAUAAUAUUUUUUAUAAUUUUUAAAUUUUAUUUUUAAUAUGCGAACGAUAAAACGAUUUAAAAAAAUCAAAAAUUAAUUAAUUUAAAAAAAAUAAAAUUUUAAAAAACUCUUCGCUCCACUCAUUGCCCUCUUUUCGAUCAAAUUGUCAUAUUUUCUUUGGAAUUACUUAAAUUCUAAGACCUUUUUUUUUUAAGAAAAAAAAAAGACGAUCAGAACUUGAUAUUUUAAUAAAACGCCUCAGAGUUAGUAUGGAGUGAUUAGCUAAAAUAAAUACUCCAUUUCCGUAAGUACAUGUACAGUGGAUGGAAAAUGGUGUGAAAUUGGGAGUGUAUGCCAAGCAAGUAUACGAUACGAUCAGAAACAACGCAAUGAAAUGCUUGCACCUAGUCACAUACUCGCGCGUGGAUUUUAUUUGAUAUCAUUUUCCUUCCCUUGAAAAUAGAUGGGGCUGAGCAAUAUUUUUUAAAUAAAAAACUGAAUUAUUCAAUCCAAUUCGGAUAGAAAAUUCUUUGAAAUUUUGAGAAACAAAUAAUACGUAUAGUUACCCAAUGUUUUUGAUGAUUAAGAAAGCACUAAACCCUGUCGGUCCUUUAUUGAAGGGCAAGACACAUUGCACUGUGAAUUGCUAAAGUACAAUGGUGUUCUUACAUUUCAUUAAAACAAACAAAUGGCCUUUCAAUGAAGGUAGUAUGGUAUUUCUUAGGGUGUUCAUUUGAUAUUAUGAAAUUAAUUGGAGAUACAAUGGUCUCUUAACUAUUUUUUACUUAAUUAAAUUACAUAAAUAUCCUUGAGAAGUUAACAAAAAAAAACAAAGAAAAAGAGGGUCUUUUCCAUCAUUUCCUAUUUUUUUAAAGACAAUUACUUCAUUGCUGAACAUGUAAAAAAAAAACUAAAGAAUGGGGCGAGGCGUAUUUUGAUAUUUCUAUCAUGUUUUUAUGUUAUAAUCUAUUUUAAUUGGGGCAAGUCAGUCUUUUAGAAAAGAAAAAUAAUAAUAAAAACUAAAAAGUAGCUUUUGCAUGCUAUGUACAAGCCAACUAAGUGAAAACCGCCUGCAACUUUAGAGCAAUGCAUGCGACAUCUUCUAACAGCCAAAAAAUCCAAUUGUUGUGUUGUCCAAACAUCAUGUGGCAGUGAAGCUGAUGGUGCGAUGCAUGUAAUCCAAUUUGCGGUGGUUUGACGCGGGUAUGGUUUUUUCUUCUCCCCCUCUUUUCUUUCUCUUUUCUUAAAAUCCGUGCAGUCAACCAAAUUUCAAAGUUGACCUCCCAUUUAUUUUUUCUUUCAAUUGUGAUCAUUCUUCUUUCAAUUGGUUUUUAUUUGUUUUGUAUUCUUUUUUAUAAUUUCUUUCUUUCAGUUUUAUCUUUUUUUAUAUUGUUUUAUUUAGUUUUAAUAUCAAAUAUGAUACUCAUUCUCUUGAUUGUUGUUUUUUUUCCUGAUUUGUUUAAUUUUUUAAUUUUAUCCCUCAACAUUUUAUUUUAUUUAUUUUCUUAUCAAAUCUUGGUCCCAAUUAUUUUAAUUUCUCUUCUUCUACCAUUUUUUUUUUGUUUUUUUUCCUUCAAUUUUGUCCCUCCACAUCUGAAUUCACUUAGUUUUUUGUUUAAUUCUAAUUCUCAUUCCCUGUAUCUCACUUUUUUACCCCUUUCUUAUUUUGUUCUUUUUUCAAAUUUUCCCUUGACAUUUUAUCUCAUUUAUUUUCAUAUCCAAUUUUGAUUCUUAUUCUUUUAAUUUCUUUUUUUUUAUCAUUUUUUUAUUUUUUAAAAUGAUUAUGGGUUACAGAUUAAUCAAGUUAACUCGAGUUGUUUCAGAUUUUUUUUCAAUAUUUGUUUUUCAAUUUAUUUUUCAGUUUUAUUUCUUGACACUAGGCUACUGAGUUUCAAACUUUCUUAUUUUUUAUGUUUUUUUUUAUAGAGUUAUCUUGGAUCGUGAGUUAGCCAAGUUAUCUUAAGAUGAGUCAUGUUUUUUUUUUAUUUGAAUUUGAUAUUUGAAUUUGAUAUUUUUUUCUUGAUUAUUUUUUUAAAAAAUAAAAUCUUGAUCUCAUAUUCUCAUAUUCUGAUUUGCAGUGGGUUAACUCAAAUUUGUUCUUUAACAUUUUUUUUUUAAAUUAAUUUUGUUUUUUAGUUUUAUCAUUUGAGAUUAGAUAUUAAACUUUAAAUUUGAUGAUUUUUUUAUUUUUAAUUCUAUAAAAUAUCAUGAUCUCAUAUCUCACAUAGUCAAACAAAUUAACAUCUAUUAACUCAAGUUAUCAUCACCUUUACAUCAUUUUCGACGUUUAAAAAAAUAUUGUCUUAGACCCGUGGUAGUAUAGUGAGGACAAAAAAAAUCUAGUACUAGCGACAAAGGGAAAGCAGCAGCCUUGAGGAAGACAAGCAUAAAUACCAAAAAGAAAUGGUGUCAAUAGAUUCUAUAAAAUGGGACUCUCUUCUCCACAGUAAUCUUUCUUUUCGACUGUCUCAUUUAUUUCUAAUUAAAUAUUACAGGUAUGAAUGCGAUCAGAUCAGUUCAAUCCUGCAUUGGAAGAUUAACUUCCCUCAUAACUUUUGCAGCAUCCUCGGGCAAAACAGGAUUUAUGUAACAACCAGUUCCAAUUUCAAAACCCCCAACCCCACUUAAUUGAGGGACUAUCUGUAAGAACCAGUGAGUAUAACAUGAUUCUGAUUCUUUAAUCUGAACGGGAGAAGUCUGGAUCAUGAAGUUAAAUGGUGGGUUGUUCAACUGUAGAGAAAUCUUCCUAAGCAUGAGCUUCAGCAAUCCGCCGAGAUCAACCAUCUGCAGAAUUGCAUAUAAAUCAGGAUAAAAUGAUAAUCACAGAGAAGGACCCUACUAUGAGCAAUGAAAAUUACAGAAAAAAACUAGUAUCUAUGGCUCAAAAGCAUCACAUGGUUUACAGGUUACAUAAAGUACAUGAAUAAAAUGUACAUAUCUUAUACUUCACAGAGAAAAACAAGUCGAAGAAUUUUACAUGCAGAAUCAUAGUCUAUUGCUUUAUCAUAAACUAUCAUCUAGCAAGUUAAGUUAUCCUUAAAUAAACAUCCACAUUAAAUCUGCUUUUAUCUCAUUAAUCUACUUCUAGGUAUUCCAUCUGAUGAGAUCUUAGUUUUUUCCCAGAUAAAUAUAAAGCUUAUUAGCUUUAUAAUUGUCUAUGUACUAACAAUAGUUCUUUUUAUUUCUGAAGACAAAAGAAAAAAGAAAAAAUCUUCCUUUUCUUUGGAAAAAUUAUAACAAUAAUUAUCAAAACAAAAGGGAUCCAAAGACACCUUUCAAACAUAUCCUGUACUUAUUUUAAGGUUUGAGGUCUAAACUGGCACAGGGCAAUAGUUGCUCCAAGCUCAAGCCACAAACACUUAAAAUCAAAAUUCUGGGUUCAACAAAAUCAAGAAAUACCACCCUUGUUUCUCAUUGUGGUUUAAAUUUGAACUAACAAAAUAUUCUAAAGUAUCACACAUGUAUAUAAUGAUUUUUUGAUGAAUGUCUUCACACCCUUUUUCCUCUUUAGAAGUUGUAACUACCAAUAAUUGUAGCAUAGAACUCAUCAAAAAUGAUAAUUAUAUCUCUAUGAUCCUCAAAAUUUGAAAAUUUAUGCAAAAUAAAAGAUCCGAUUUGUAGAAAGUAGAACCAAUAACUGAGAAUUUACCUUCUCAAAAUCAAAUUCAUGGAAAUGAGAAGAGUGAACCCUGGGAAUAAUCCAUAUCUCAAAAGGGAAUGUGGCAGCAAAAGGAACAAUGGAUAUAAAAUGGGAUGAUUCAUCAAUCAAGAGUUCUUUUGCUCGAACUUCACAGAGACUGCAUUUUCCAGUCUUUUCAAAGUACUCCUUCAUGCCCUCAAGUCGAGCAGAAACUGAUGAAGGAAUAACGGGAAGAGCCAGUAUCUGGCUAUGAGAAUGACUCAUCGAUGCUCCAGCAGAUGCGCCGUGGUUCUUGAACACCUUAAAGUGGAAAGCAAAGACCGUUGUUAUAGACAAACACGAAAAAGAAAACCAUAGCUCAACUUGUUUUGCUACAAAUUUAAGAUUCAAGAAAAAAAACCAUCACCAAAAGCACUGAAAAAUCUACUCAUACUUUGAACAUGACCAAAAACACACACAAAUUCACUAAAAAGAAGAAGAAAAAAAACCUGCACGUAUUUAAUGGAUUGAACACUCAUAAUCUGCUGAAUCCUCUUCUUAUGAGCCAAAAAAACUUCACCAAUCUCUCUCGGCUCCAUAUCACUUAGCUGGACCGAAUGAACUGGAUUCUCUAUCACCACAUCGUGAAACCCAAAACCUCCAAUGACCCGACCUGGAAACUCCAUGCCCUGCUUUUCCUCACAUGGGCACUCAAGAUUUCUGCUCAGGGCAGGGUAGAGAUUCUCAAUGACCCGGAGUUUCCAAUUCGGGUCAUUCAGGUCGGGUGGGACUCGGAAGAUCUCGGGCGCACACUCAUGCUCGUUGCCGAUGCAGAAAGGGCAUAAGGAAUUGUUGUUGGGGUUGGGGUUUUGAGGGUUUUUUGAUUUAAAAUCAGUGGGUCUUUUUGCACGGGCAGGUGAGAAAAUGACCCAUCGGUUUGUUACUGGAUCGUGCCUAAGUUCGGGGCUCCGACCACCGUUUUGAUGUUGUGAUGCCAUUUCUUUCUAGAUCACUUCUAUAUUCUACUUGUUGAGGUUCUUUAUCCCCACCGACUCGGUUUGCUCGGCUUGAGUGUUAUCUUAAGAGUGUGUUUGGUAUUGCGGUAGCUGUUGUGGUUGUGGUUUGAAAAAAAUUAUUUUAUAAAAAGUAUUUUUAAUUGAGGUUGGUUUGAAAAAAUAUAUGUUUGGUUAAAACUGUGAUUGAAAUUAAGGUUGAACAAAAAAUAGUUUAAUGUGUUUGGUUAAAAGAAUGCUUUUUAAACUGAGGUUAUAUAUAUAUAUAUUGUAAAUUUAACUAAUACUAUUACAUCAUGAAAUAAAUAAUAUUGAUAUCAAAUAUUUUUUAUUGUUCCAUUAAACUAUAUACAAUUUCAUCACGUACGAAAUCUAUCCAACAAGGACUAUAUUUUUCAUGGUUUCUUAAGCGCGCAACAACAUUAGGUAAAAUAAAUAAAAUUGAGAUUGCGAUCAAAUUCUGCAAAUGCUACGUUAUCAAAUGAUCUUCUUUUAAUUUUUUUGAAUAAAACACAAUUAAAAAUAAAAAUAAAAAUUGAAUUUUUUUACUGAAUCGGACCCGGCAAGAACAAAAUUGGAAUUGCGAUCAAAUUCUGCAAAUGCUACAUCAUCAAGCGAUCUUCUUCUAAUUUUUCAAAUAAAACACAAUUAAAAAAAAUAAAUUUUUUUUACUGGGUCGGACCCGGUUCAAUGCAUUGCUUUGAACCGGACCCGGUCCAACCGGAAACACUCCACUGUUCACAUAAGUGAACAGUGGAGAGCCAACCCCAUUGUUCACUUAUGUGAACAGUGAAGAGUGCAGCUCUUCACUUUUAAAAAACGCAGAAGAAGCAUGGAAAUAUUGCUUCUGCAAAACCGCAGGUGAAACAUCAAAUUUUCGUGGGUUCCAUGGCUAAAACACAGCCGCUGAAAAUAACCAAACGUUAUGUUACUGAGUUUGACAAAAAACACAGAAGCUAACGCAUAGCCAAACACUCUCUAAAUAGGUUUGUUUUAAUAAAACGAUACUGUUUUAAUUGUUUUAUAUAUAUAUAUAUAUAUAUAUUAAAAAAAAAUCUAAAACAUCGUAGAAAUUGACUAGUUAAAUUUUCGGAGUAGGCCUUCUGUAUGACGUACGCAGGCUCUGCUGUUACUUCGGAGCAGCUGUAUAAAGAUGGGUGAUUUUAGAAGAUGUGACUAGGUUUUGCUGUGUUUGGGCCUUGGCCUCUGAAGGUACCCACGAAAAGACAACCUUAUCCUUCACCCAUCUAAUUCACCGGCAAAGUUAAGAUUCAAUAACCAUGCGAUGAAGUUUGUCAAACAAGUUUUCAGCAUUUUUAGAAGAUUCUACGAUUCAUCUAAAUCUAAAAUAUUAGUGUUUGUUUUUUUGCAUUUUAAUGUCUAUCUUUAGAGUAUUUUUUAAAUUAUUUUUAACUAAAGAUAUUUUUUAUAUAAUUUUGAUUUACUAAUAUAAAAAAUAAAACAAAAUAUUUUAAUAUAUUAUUAAUUAAAAAAUAAUUUAUAUCACAGUAUUAAAUACAUAAUAAACACGUAAGGGAAAAAAACUCUACUUUUUAGCCCUUAUCAUUUUUUAAAAAAAAACUUGUGUCUAAAACUACAUCACAUACACAUCUAAUCUAAUAAAAAAAUCAUUAACAAAUCUAGGUUUAUAUAAUUAUUAAUUUUAAAAUCUGUUAAUUAAUUAAAAUGUAUACAAACUCAUUCGAACAUCAUAAAAAAAAAAAACAUCACCGAAAUUUCCAGAUCAUUACUGUUGAGGAAACAGAAUCUAUUGUCCUUUGGUUACAGCUGUCCAGUUUAAUGACGCGGCGAAUGUGAGAGCGUAGUAAUCUAACAAUUCCCUAUUGCAACCACAUACUAUUGAUUAAGCUGACAAUAAUAUUCUUCUUCUAAUAAACAAAUUAAUUCUUCCCAUUUCACAUGGUUUUAGAAUACGUGGACUCUGAUGAUUGGUUCGUUUAGCAUGAAGCAAGAGGAAGGGGGAACAUAGUUUUAGUGGGAGCAGGUACAGGUGCCAUGCCACAUCAGAUUUUGCGUUCCGCUGGAAUAAUAAUAAAUCCAUAAUUAAUUCAGCAUAAACUACGGGGAAGAGAGCAGCUGACUCAUGGUCUCCUGAAUUCAACGAUGGAUUCUUAUGUGUUCUAGACAGGUGACAGCAAAUAUUAAAUCAAGCACUGGGAUAUUUUUGUCUCAGUUAUUACAAACCGUUUUUAAAUUGCUUCUGUUACGUUUUCAAAAUAUAUUUUAUUUGAAAUUAUAUCAAAUUAAUUUUUUAAUUUUAUUUUUUUAAUUUAAUAUUGUAAUAUUAUAUAUAUAAUUAUAAAUAUAUAUAUAUAUAAUAUUUUAAUAUUUUAAUAUAUUUUCUUCUAAAACUCACAUUAAUCCACAACAAUAAACACACGAAUUAUUCCUAAAUUCUUUGUAAAUGAUUUAGAUGGUGUUUGUUACAGUGAUAGAUACUAUUUUUCAAUGUGUUUUUUUUAAAUGUAUUAAAAUAAUAUAUAUUUUUUAUUUAUUAAAAUUUAUUUUUAACAUAAAUACACUAAAACAAUACAAAUAUACAUAAAAAAAUAAUUAAAAAUAAAAUUUAACGAAACAGUGGUAGCCCAAACGGUGCCUUAAUUAACCCAAGCUUUAACAUUGGGGAAGCUUUUUAUGGGUGUGUUUAAUAGCAAUAAUCACAACCACGUUACAAUGGUUAGCACAAACUAAUAGUGAUUAAAUAAACAAGAGGGUUAUCAUUAAUUGAAGAGCAUUUAGGACUUGUGACUCGCAAGUUUUCUCUGGUAAAUAGGAGAUCUAAAUUUCUAGUAAUCCCAAACCCAAGAGCCUUACACGGCUCGAACAAAGGACAUGCUCAAUGAGCUAUCCGGGGACCAAUCACCAAGCACACAGCUUGCGGUGGUUUGUGACUUACAAGUUAAGCAUUUCUAUGAACACAUUAAAGUGGCGUGAAAACGUGGUCGGCAUAAUAGGGAUUCUUUUCCCUGGAAAGGAAAGGCAUAAUCGGGAUUCCUUUCUCUGGAAAAGGUAGGCAUUAUAGGACUGUUUCAUGUGGAGCCAGCAUUGGUCAAUAGACCACUAAGCUUAGUGGUUAAGGAAUUCAAAUUAAUCUGCAUUACCCAUUAAUCACAGAGGAAUUAAAAUUACUCGUAAUAUAGAAUAUUUACAUUUCCUUACUCUCGUGACUGUUUGGCUUCCAGAUUGUUCCUUGUCUCUUUUCAUGCCCAGUUUUAAAAAUUAAUUUUAAUAUAAAAUGACAGAAGUUACAAUCGCAGAAAAAAUAAAACAAUAAAUCCAUAAAUAAAUGAAAACAUAAAUUAAAAAGAGCAUAAAGACUAAAAUAAACCAAUGAAUUUAUUCAUAAUAAUAGUGAAAUCCACAAUAACCAACUGUGCACCACCAGCCAUACGAUAAAAACCUCAAACACUAAAUCUCUAGAAUACUCAUAUAUACCACUCUCACUAAGCAACCCUAUAUUCUCCACCCGUAAAAACCCUCGUCGCUAAAUAAAUCUCAAACCCACACCCAGUUUCCAAGCUCCAUGUAGCUCCUUCAGAUCUUGAGUCCGUAUCCAAGGAAGAGAGACACGAUGGCUGCGACAAAGACCGAGCCCAAGGAAGGAUAGAUCCCGGCGGCAGCGGCGGUUGGUGCAGGAGCUGGAGCUGACAUAGGAGCAGCGGCGUGAACGGAGAGCACAGUGAAGGCUAAAGCCAAAACGGCAAUGAGAGUUGCUUUUGAGAGUGCCAUUUGUUUGCUUGCUGUGGUUUUUGAAAUUUGAAGAAAGGGAAAGUAAAAGAAAGUUUUUGUGGUUUUUGAAGAGAAGUGAUUGGUAGAGGCAGGUAAGGGGCGUUUAUAUAGGGGAGAGAGGGGUGGGGGAGGGUUUGGGCAGUGUUGCGGGUAGCGUGGGAUGCCCGAAUCUACAGGCUGGCAUUUAUUGGUUUUCUGACAGCUUGCAAAUGAUGGUUUUUCGUUCUGUAAUUUGAAGUGAGUGUUUUGUUUACACGGCGCCGUUUAUAGCAUGAAGUGGUGGCGUAUAGCCGUAUAGUGUUCUUCUAAAAAAACGCCUAUAUAUAAAAAAAUAAAACAGAUACUUUCGGCAUGCUAAAAUUAGGUAAACUCACACUGACGAAGAGUUUAGAGCGUGUAAAACACUUCCGGAUAUUUUCUAGCCGUUUUUGGUGGGUCUUGAUUGUUCCAUUUGUAUCGUAAAUGUUUUAUGGAUUUUUUAGUAUUGAAAUUUCUAAAUUUUCCUACACCAUUACUUCCACAUUAAUCAUCGGUAUUUUUUUCAAUAACGGAAAAUAAAUUCAAACCCGAAAGUUCUAGAAAGAAGAGGACAAAAAUAUCUACGGUUAGGUCUUUGAUUUCAUUAAUAAUCGUUUUAAAGAGACGUGUUAAGAAAAUUAAAAAAAUAAAUUAAAAAUAUAUCUAAUAAAACUGAAGCCAACUCGUUCUUUUAAACUCGUAACAGAAUUAUAAAAUCAGAUUAUAAUAUAAAAAGCAAAUCCAAAAAAUAUUAAUCAGGUUUUUAAUUUUUAAACAGUACAGUAACAAAUAAAAGAAGGCAACCAAUAUAAUAACUUGAAAAAAACCAAAAGAAUGGAUCAAGCGUGCUAGACAGCUAGAGAGCAUCGAAUAUCGAUAUUAAUGGCAGUCUACUCGUCGUGAUAGCUGGAGUCUUGUAUAAAAUGCUGCUUAAACUCGUGCAAGGUAUAAAGAUAAGGCAAGUCUAUGGAGAAGCAGUACCGAAGGAGUCAAUAUUACUUUUAUAAUUGAUUUUUAGAGGAUUUCAUAGUCGAAUGAUCAAACCAUCUAGAUCUCUAUUUCAUUCUUAUUCAAUUUGAUUGCUUGUUUAAUUAUUUUCAUAAUUUCAUAUCUUUCCCUUUGAGUUUGUACUAUGUAUAAUUGAUAGUAUUUUUUAAAAAAGUGAAAAUAAUUAAUAAUAAAUAGAUUAAAUAGUUUUAGUUAAUUUAAUAAUAUGAUUAUAAAAUAAAAAAUAAUAAUGACUAAUAAUGAUAAUAAAAAAUGCUUAUCAAUAUUAUUUAAAAUAUCUUAACGAUGUUAUUUGAUAAUAAAGUAAAAAUUAAAUAAGAACGAGAUAACCAUAUAAAAAAAAACAAAAUAAAAUAAAAUUUGAUGCUUAAUUACCAGCAAAUCAAAUAUUGAAUAGUAAAACGAAAAAAAAUCAAUUUUAAAAAUCAACAAAAAAAACAUGACUCUAUUUAGCACGAUAAAUUCACAGUCAGCUUCCAAAGAUGAGACAACCUCGUACAAAAAAAACUAAAAAAACAAUUAAGAUCAACUCCUAGGCAGAUAAAAUAAUUAAAGAUGAAAUAAAAAAAAUACAACAACAAAAUAUUCAAGUCAACCUAAAUUAACUAAAUGAAUCUCUGAUCUAGAAUGUGAGAUCAAAAUUACCCUAUAAAAAAAUUGAGAAAAAUAAAAAUAUAAUAAUAAAUAAUAAAACUUAAAAAAAAUUAAAUUCAAAUCGAUGUACUAUUCAAAAUCGAUGGCUUGAAUAAUGAGAUCAUGUUAUACCAUAUAAAAUAAAUCAAAAAAAUUAAAAAGUAAAAUUCUUAAUUAUCUAGAAAAAAAAUUUAAAUAUAAAAAUAAAAUAAAAUAACAAGAUACAAGAUUUUAAGAAAGAAUAAAAACCUAAAAACGUUUUCAAAAUCAUUUGCCAAAAAAAAUGUACAACGCAAUUACCAUUGGCGAGGGUGGAUUUCUAGCCUACAACGUGAGAAAGACUUUCAAAGAUGUUGAACAAGAAAGCAGCUGUCAUGGAUAUGAUUAAAAUGUGGUACCUUACAAUGCUUAUUAAAUUGGACCGCAAUGAAAACACACUGGCACAAUACGGCGGGGUUUUGACUAGUUUCGUGCGAGACAGCAGCUGAGGGUGUCGAGUAUGAUUUCUGUGCGCGUGGGAUAUUUAUUCGGGAGGGAAUGUUCAGCGCAAUUAAUUACGGGAUUCCGUGAUCGCUGGCUCCCACGGGGACCACGUACCCUGCAAAUAAGGCCAAGUGUUAGAGGACACGUUGAUGACCGUUUUGGUUUCUGUUUUGAUUGUUUUUAUUUUAUAGCGAGCAACCGCGUUGUCGUUAUUGAUUUCCAGCACUUACAGAAACUUCUCUUCUCGUGGCCUCCUCGUUGAACCUGCAUUUUAAAGGUGUGGUUCUCGAAAACAGUAUGGGGAAGCUUGGAUUAGAUGCCAAGACUCUUCUAAGAAAAUGUAUCUGAAUUGACUACAAACUCUGGCCGCUAAUUAUUUUUAAAAUAUUAAAAGAUAUUAUUAAAAAAUUAACAUUAAAAUAAUUUAACAAUAUUAAAAAAUAUUUAAUUUUCAAAUUUUUUUAAAAAUAUUUUUAAAACACAAAAAUAAAUAGAAUCUAGAAUAACUAACCCUCUUCAAAGCAAAACAAAUUGAAUUGGAGUGCACGAGUUAUUUCUAUUUUUCUCCUUUAAUUGCAUAAUAAAAUAAUUUAAUUAUCCUUGAUUUUAAAAUUUCUUAAACUUAUACAUGGGAGUUCUUUGAUCUUUUCAACAUUUUUUUUUUGUAAUCUUCAGUUGGACUGCCAACAAAUCUAGUUCUUUCCAAGAGUCAUGAGUUUUAGUAUAGGCUAUGAGUCUGAGAUUGAUUUCCCAUCGUAAUUCUGUUAAUCAAGUAAUUUUCUCACAUCGUAAACAAUGUGAGCAGUAAAAUUAUUGUAAAUUUCAAACUUUUAGAAUAGCUUAGGAUGCCACGUCAUUGUUAAAUCUUAAACAAAUGAUAAAUUUACGAGUAAUGUUAUUCUUUUAAAAAUUCGUGAUCAUAAAAUAUAGGUAUUUUGUAAAAUUCUUUAGUUUUAGUUAAAACAGCUAAUCUCAAGAGGUUGGUAGGAUGAUAAAGUAAGUUUUUUUUUAAUAAAAAUAAAAAUAAAUUCCUGGAUAUAAAUCCUGGACCCAACAUUUAGUAUACUUAUGAUUAACGUGUAUGCUAAUUCUAGUACACUUUUAGGGUAAAAAGAGUCAGCAGCUAGAUUACUUGGAGCGCAUAUAUAUAUAUAUAAACACUAGUUAUUUAACAUAUGUUUCAACGCGGGUUAUAAAUUUUUUUAUUAAAAAAAAUUAAGUAUACAAGCUAUUUUGAUGUAUUUUUUUACGUAAAAAAAUUUAAAAUAUAAAUAAAAAAACCUAUAAAACAUCUAAUUAAAUAAAUUGAUAAUCAUUUAUGUAAAUAAAUGAAAAACAAAUCGUUAACAAUAACUAAAAGAUAAAUUAAAAGAAUUGAUCAAUAAAUAUAGAUUAAGAUAUUUAAUCAUAUAAAAUAAAAUAUUUAUUUACUAAACUUGUUUAUUUAAAUUAAUUAAAAAUAAUAAAAAUAAAAACACAAAUAAAACUGAUCAAAUAAACCAAUACUUUAAAAAUAUAUUAUGUAAGGCUAAUUAUACCAUAAAUAUUAUUUAAAAAUAAAUAUUUUUUAUUUUUAAAAAUAAAAUUCAGAUAUGUCAAGGAAUGAUAAGCUGUUUAAAAACGUUUUUGAAAAAAUUUGAAUAACUUUUAUUUUUUAUUUUGGUUUAAAUUAAUAUGUUUUUGAAAUUUUUAAAUGAUAUUAAUGUGGUGAUGUAAAAAAUAACUUUUAAAAAAUAAAAAAAUAUUAUUUUAAUAUAUUUUAAAAUAAAAAAUAUUUUUAAAAAUAAUUAUAACCAUUCUUCCAAACAAAGACAUCGCAGCUCAUGAUUUCAACCUCUGUAACCUUUCAGGUGUCAUUUUCGACGAUACCAUUACAGUAAAAAGAAAGGAAAGCGUCCUCAAAUUUGUCUCUGGAGAUAAUGGUAAUUUCCUUUUUCGAAGAAAGAUAUAUUAUGAUGUAUCUGUCCAUUUAUGUGAUUGAUUACCUUAAAUUUAACUGGAAUUGGAAGGUAAGAUACCGUGCCCCGAUGCCAUUAACGAGUGAAGUUGGUGGCGAGCUGGGAUCAUGAUCAUACCAUCUCCACAAGGCAAGUGACAUCACGCUCCUGUUAGCGAGUCUGAUCCAAUCCAAAUAGAGAUUUCCAAAAAAACUUUUAUUUAUUUAUUUAAAAUUAAUUUUUAAAAUAUUUUUAAUGUAAUAUGUAAAAAAUAAAAAAUAUUAUUUUAAUAUAUUUAUAAACAAAAAGAUAUUUUUAAAAACAAUUUCUACUAAACUGUUUAGAAAAGCCUACUUAUAUUUUAGGGGUGGGAUGAGAGGAAGACUGUUCUAGUAUAGAUUCUAUAGAAUUCAAUUUCGACAACCAUAUUCUUACUGCCCGUGCCCUAAGGCGUUUUUUCCUUAUUGCUCUCUGAUGUAAUUGGAGUGGCCUUGACCCCGUGUGCGAACCGUGUAAUUGUUCCUUUAUGGACUCGGGCCUAAGAAAAGAAAACAACUGAUCAUGAGAGGAUAUAUAAUCUUAUUUAGCCAUAUUAGGAAAUAAAAUAUUUAGAUACUAUCUGUUUCACAUAAAGUAUUUUUUUUAAAAACAAUUAAUUUUUUUUUUGUAUUUGUUUUCCAUUAAAAAAACUAUUUUUAGUCAAAAAAAAUUUGGCUUGGUUUUCAAAAAAGUGUUUUCCUUUUAUUUUAGACGGAAAACACUUUCCAGAAGUUAGGAAAAAUUUAGAAAUAUCAUAUUAUUUCCUGAUUAUAUCAAAUUUGGUUCUCAAACUUUUGAUUGCUAAAUAUUUUGUUUUGAAUUUUUUUUUCAAAUGUAUCCCUUAGAAUUUGAUUUUUAUAUUAACUUUAGUCCUCAUGGUUGUUAUUUGUUUUUCUCUUAUCAUUUUUUUAAUUGAAUUUUGUUUCCUAUCAAAUUUGAUCCUUAUUCUUUUGAUUGUUAUUUAUUUUAUUUGAAAUAAUUUAUGAAAUUAUAAUUAUAAUUAUUUUAAUUUCAUCAUUUUUUUAUUUUUUUAACUUAUUUUUCAUAAUACUACCAAAUAUUUAAAAAUAAUUCACUUUCCAAAAAAACCAUUUUAAAAAAAAUAUUUUCCAACAAACAAACAGCACUUAAAAAAAAUUCUUCUUCUUUUGUUUUGUUUAUUCAUGUAAUGCGGUGAAAUGGGAUUCUAAUCAUAAAUUUUAAAAUAUUUACUAAAUAAGAUGAUUAAGUAUUGUCUCAAGUCGUGAACUAGAAUAAUCUUAGAUGAAAUGGCUAAAAUCCAAAGGUUGCUAAAGGAUUAUACGCCAAAAAAAAUUUAUGAAAUUAAAUAUUAAUUUCAUAUCAUUAUCAGGGAGGCAGGGGAGGGGUGACCUGGUCACGAAAUGAGGCAUAGAAACUAUUAAAAUCAAGCACGUGGCAUUAGCUAUACGUACUCUGUACAUCUAAUUUUGCUUUGGACAUGAGCGUUCCUACAAGGGAACAAGCUUGAAAGCACACCACAUCAUCCAAGAUAGCGCCUGAAAAGGAACCAACAUAAAAUGCAACGAAUGAAAGUAGCAUGUUCCUCCCAACCAUUCACAACUGCUAGAACUUGGCUGGCGAUUCCAUUUAUCAAAAUCCCAAUACGUUUUGUGAUACCUGUAACAGAGGUUCCAAAGCGCUCGGCGCAAACUUCCUCGCAAAAAGAAAGCAAACCGGGGAGGAUUGAUUAUUGUAAACGCAAUGCGUAUCUUCACGAAUCUUUUUGAAGAACUCCUUGGUUAUGUCCGCUCUUCCGAAGGUGGCUGGGUGAGCCCCGCCCCUUGACCAGUCCACCCAAGUAAGGGUUCUGUUAGCCAAGAGAGGUGCUGCUUCAAUGGUUAACAUGGUGGGGAAAUAAUGUUCAUCAACAUAACAACUUGGCUUACAGAAUUCUUCAAAUUUUGGGUAAUAUCUAGCAUCUUCCACUACGUUGACUGCAAGCUUUCGGUUGAUCUCAAACCAUUGAGAUCCUUUGCGCCACUGGGUAAUAUUCACCUCAGGUGCCAUGUUCUCAUUAUACCGUCCUCUCCCAUAUGGGCCAUGAUCAUCAAAUGCACCAAUGAAGCUAUACUUGGAUCUCAUCAUGUAGUCAUAGAUGACACUGAAAUUAUAGAGAGGAAUGCAAGAUUCAGAUACGAGAACAAAUCGCUCAUUGGAGAUAUCGAGCAAUGCAUUUGCCAGGAGUCUUCUUUCCGCAUCACACAUACUCAUCCUACCCCAUUCAGCAACCUGUGUUGGGAAAUAUCGGGAUAAAAUGUAAGCUUCCUUGUAUAACAAGAUCAAAAUUCAAAUGGUCAAUAAAACUUCAAGUCUUGAUGAUAAAACAGAAAACGUUAACUGAAAACCAAAUGUAUAGCUUUGUGGCAUUCUUCAAUUAUAUAUCUUGCUUGUGUAACAGUGAUUUAAUUUCCUGGACACGUUGACAUUCACAUUUUCAAUGAAGGAAAAAAUUUGAACAGUUAAUAGGGUAAGAAAUUAUUCCAAAGGCAUAAUAACUAAGAAGGUAUGAAGUGGCUACCUUCAACAAGCAAGGAACAGAAGCUAAUAGACAAUUUGAAACAGGCUCAAGUGAUUUCAUGCACAUACUUUGUCUAACAACACAACAACAUCAACAAGGUCGUGAAUGAGCAUGCCUCUAUCUUUUAGCACUGCUGCAUAUUCUGUCUUAAAUUCUAAACUGGUCCAUCACAAGCUCCAGACUGUACCCCAGAAAUUCAAGUUAAUAAAUUUAACAUUCUUCCUCCUCCAGCUCUGAAGACUCUAGCUUCUUUUACUCGAGAAAGGAGGGUAUUUUUCAAUUUGUGUAUCAGAGCCAAAAGAAACUGCAGGAACCCAUCAAUUGGACAGCAGUCGAUCAAUGGGUAUAGCCAGUUCCAUUCCAAUAUCAACUAUUGCUCUUUCAAAUCUGUUGUCAUUAUUAGCUUUAGACAAGGUGUGGGCUUGAAACAAAGACAUGGGCAUCAUGGAAGGAAUGGGUAUGGAGCGGAAAAGAAUGAACUUCAAGCAUAAAGGUGUGAGAUAGCAGUGUGAUGCAUGGACUUGAAGCAAAAAGGUUGCGAGUUAUCAUGAGUCAUCUUACUAAAAUACUAUUUCAUGUAUAAUGUAACCUAAAGAAGAUCUCUAAUCUUUAAUUAACUACCUAAACUAUUACAGCCUUCUAUCUUUACUACAAAAUUCCAGGAUAUACAUCUCCUUUUUUACCAGCUUUAAGCACUCCUUCAAUCCAACUUUAAACAAUGAAAUGCCAUCAAAAUACUUCCACAAAGAUUUCAAGUAACGAUACCAACUCUGUUGUUGAACACUUGUAUAUGUUAAUUCUAAACCUUAGCAUUUUCAAGCCAAAUUUUAACCCAAACACUGACAUCUAAUAGUAGUGCAUUAAAAACUGCCCAGAGCCUUGUCACUUAAGAUAUUCUAUGUAUCUUAACACCAUCAGAACCCCUUUUCCUUACUAUAUGUCAUGCUUUAAUCCAGCUUUAAUCCAUUUCAAACAUUCUCCACACACCCCUUAUUGUCAAGUCAAUCUCACCUUCAACUGACUAAUACACCAGUAAUGUCUUGUUCCAGAGUCUUAUAUAGUUUUGCUGGAUAUAAGUUGUGCAAUCACAUAAUAUAGAAGUACACGAAUUCAUUUACUUGUGUAUUUUCAACCUUGCUAUUUGGUAAAAAAGAGCAAUUAUUUAGGCAAUUCUUUCAUGGUGUUACCACCACAGGCUUUCGCACAAGUUAAUGGAAAUUCCACACACUCAGUUAAAGAGAAAAAUCUUGCAGUACAAAUUGUUUCAAGCACCAACAGAACCAGAAGCGCCCCUUGUUUCAAAGACAGGAGGACGGGUUAUUCACAUUUCAUUGAUGGUCAGAGGCAAAUUGAAAGCUAAGCAGUGGUAAUUCUAAAGGGAGAAAAAUAGUUUUUCUUCGUGUGCUGUCCCUACCUACUGAAAAAAAAAAUUCCCAUCAUAAAUGAAUAAGACCUCUAACAAAACUUCUAAGAACGUUCUCUAAAGUGUGCCUUCAUAGAUUAUAGUCAUCAAAAUUCCCUUUAACCUGAAAGAACACAAAAUUUCCUUAAAAAGGGAAGACUAAUGACAAGAAUUCAAGUAUAAACAUAAAUUGAAAGUUGGGAUGACAAUGAACCUUGAAUUAUUUUCAUCUUCCAACAGCAAGUAUAUUUGAUGCGCUCAAAUAAAUGUUAGAGGAAACAUGGACAUAACACAAAUUCAGUGGCAUGAAAAACUGCAUCUGUAUCUCAGUAUCUCUAACAUGCAGUUAUUCUCAGGGAAAACUGCUUCCAGCAGGGGAAAAUUUUCCACAUUCAAGGAUCUAUAUAUAAGAUGCAUGCAAGUCCAUAUAAACAUCACAAUUGUCAAAGCACACAAAAAACUCCCAACAAACUAAGGUAGCUAUUUGCAGACAAUGGAAACCUAAAAAUAAAAUACAAAAAUAGAGCACUAGAGCAAUGGCAUUUACAAAUAGUUCAAUCAUCAAACAAAUGUCAAGACCAAAAAUCUGAAAUUAAUGAACAACGAAUGAAAAAAAUCAGGGUGUUAAAUAUAAGCAUAUACACACCUGGCUUGGGAUUUGUCUCCGAUGGAAAACUGAAGAAGAUGGAAAUUUGGCUUCAAAUGUUGGCAAUGGAUGAAUGUAAACAGAAUAUAACCCUUCAUGCCCCUUCAAAAACCUUUCCCAAAGAGGUGCCAGAGGCAAUGGCCCCUUUGUCAAAAACAUAAAUGCAAUCUUUGGAAUUCUCUUGAAGGGAUACUUCUUUAUUCCAGGAACAAAUGAAGCCCUCCAAAAGAGCUCUUUAUCACUCAUUUUAUGGAGCAGAUUAGAUGGAGGCCUAAUCCAACGAUCCAAAGUAUCAGGUUCAUCAAAGCAAGGCUCAAAGGCAGGCUUAACAGUUGUCCUUGCAGUCUGAACUCCAAAACGCUUGAUUGUAUACAUACUGAUGAUCGAAAAGGCCAUACAUAGAGCUAAAAACAGCAAAAAUAAUUGAAGUAACCUUAUUGGAAAGGGCUUGGAUUGGCUUGCUUUGAUUGAAACUGCAGGGUCCUUCCCUUCCUCCAAUGGAACAACUCUUGACUGCAUCUUUAUAGUCAGAAUUCACCUUCUGGGUCUGAUCUAAACACACCCUUUUGGCAUUGAAAUUGCUUUAAAAUCUCGAAAAACUCGAAAAGAAAUUAACUUUUAUCUCCAACUAAGAGCCCCAAAACUCCAAGAUUGUAUCUUUCAAGAGAAAUAGUUAGCUCAAUUUAUGGUACCAAGCUAUAUCACACAAAAACCAACACAGAUCUAAAACUUAAUGCUAAGGAAACUAACAAGAUAAUGCUAUGUUGAAAUCCGAGUUUGCAGCACAUGGGGUUCUAGACAUUCAAAGAAGGCUGUGAACAUACCAUGUUGCUAUUUAGGGGUGCAAAAUGAAGCAGAGUCCAGGGGAUUGUUUAUUACUUCGUUCAGUGCUUCAAUUACGCCAAUAUUGAGUUUUGAUAGAGAGAGAUCGAGACUGGCUAACGGAGUUGGACAAAAGGAAAUAGAAAGUCUGGUGGCAAGAGAGAGAAGUGGGGUCUCUCUGACUCCGGGAGAGUGAGUAGAGAGAGAGAGAGAGAGAGGGAGGGAGGAAGUUAUGUGUGCAUGGGAUUGAGUGAAAUUGAAGGAAGGAAGGGGAGAUUGAUGAUCUGUGAAAUCUGGGAGUUUUAAGAAUGUUUUGUCACGCGAAUGGUUGUUAUAGAAGUGAGAGUGUUAGCUUUAGCUUCGGCUUCGUGCCUAUCCUGAGCUGUUUGUUUUUUUUGAAGUAUUUGUUUUUUUUUAAUAAAUUAAAAUAUUUUUUUUAUUAGUAUAUAAAAAACUUACAAAUAUUAAAUUAAACUUUUGAAAAAAAAUUCAAAAUCUUUAAAUAAUAUAUUCCAACCACACUCACAAAUAACACUUCAUCGGUAAUCUUUUCUUUGUUGUAAGAGAAAUCUUUGUAUUUGAGUUGGUCAGUGACAAUUAAUUUCGGUUUUACGACUGACAAUUGGAGAAAUUAAUGUCAUAUUUGAUAACAACUAAUCUCUAAAUUACAGCAGAAAUAUACCCGAGAUUUUUUUCCAAUUCGUUCUCAAUUUUUUUUUUAAUUAUAUCUUUCUGCGCUCAAUUUAACAUUUAAUUUGUCAACAAUUAUUAGGAGAUAAAAAUUAAAUGAUCGGUAACCGAAAUACAAAACAAGGAGAAACUCGUAGUCAAUGUAAAAUUAGGGGAAAAGAUGUUUUCAUCCUCACACUUUUCUUUUUCUAUCUUUAUAGUCCCUAUAAUUUUUAUCAUUUUAAAUUUGAUAAAAAAAUUUAUUUUAUAAAUUUCAAUCCCCGAGAGGAGAGAGAGAAUAGUUGAAUUACAAUGAAAAUCAUCAAUGAACUGAGUUGAGGUUUGCGAGUUAAGCCGCGAAACACGGGGUGAUCUAAAUAUUAUCAUCUUAAUAUUUAAUUAAAAAAGAUAUUAUUUUAAAUUUUUUAAAGAUAUUUAAUUUAUUUUGAAUCGGUCUUUGUGAUAUAUUUCGAUUUGAUUUAUAUAUGAUUAAUUUAUUUCAAUUUAUUUUUUAUUAUGUUAUUAUAAUUUUAUAAUCUAAAUAACGUAUUUUACAAAUAAACUGGUGUUAAUUUAAUAUAUUACUGUUUUAGUAUUUUUAAAAAUUCAAACCAUAUAUUAUCGUUAAUCCAGAUUAUUUUUUAAUUUACAUACUAACCUAGUAUAUCUCUGAAAAUGCUAACAGUUUCUACAAACAAAAGAAACAAAAUGUCCUCGUUUUAGAGAGAAAAUUAAUCAUUUUCUUGAAAAAUAGUGGUGAUGUAAAACAAGAAUCUCAAUACUUUACCAAACCACACAUAUCGACAUCAUCAGAACCAGUUCAAAAAUAUAUAUUAUACGGGUGUGUGUAUAUAUAUAUCCAAGUAAAAAUUAAUAUGAUCAAACUUGAAUAAUCCAGCAGGAUAUUUCACUUUAUAGUCAAAACUAAAUCUAAACUAUUUUUUUAAAAAAUAUGUUAUCUUAACUUUUUUUUAUUUUUUUAAAAAUAUCAAUUUAAUUGAGAUAGAUAACGUAAGGAAGUUAUCCCAUCCAAGUAGCCAGCCGGGUUGACCACACUUUAACUGCUCACCAGUCAUCAAUACGAGUGGCUGGAUGCAUUAGAGGUACAGACUCGUGUCACGUUGCCAUCCUAGCGUUUUAGGCACGGAAGGUGAGCUAAGCUAGGUGGUGCCAUGCCUAUGUCUGCCACUCGAACUUGACUUUCUUCAGCCGUCUCAAAAAAGCAGAAAGAGACGCCUAACCUAUUUUGCUAGAGUUGAUAAUAACACUGUUUGCUGUGACCAUAAUCCUUGUAUGAAGAAUUGCCUAUCCUCCUCACAUUAGUGCAUGAAUUCUUCAAAGCACCUCACGGGAAUAUUGCUGGAACAAGUCGACCAUUCGUAUAAAACCAUCCUUCUCGAAGCUAAUAUAAUUGCAUACAUCAUACAAAAUGCUAAAAAGAAUUUACUGGUCCAACCGUGUUUUUGAACUUUUUAAAUUUUUUUAGUUUUAAAUAAUUUUUUUAAUAUUUUUAGAUCAUUUUGAUGUCUAUUUUAAAAAUAAAAAAAUAUUAUUUUAAUAUAUUUUAAAUUAAAAAAUAUUUAAAAAAAAAUCUCUAGUACACUAUCAGAAAGACCCUAAGUCUUUCGGUACACAUGCACGCAAUUUACUGUAUUUUUCACAAUAAAUUUUUCAUUUUACCCAUGUUCUAUAAAAACAAUUUGCUUUGCUGGGAGGGUAAUUCAGUAUUUUCAUAAAGAUUCAAGAGGCAUUAUAGUCACCGCAUAUUUUUAUAACAAAGUAAAAUUACUAAAUGACAUGUUUUCAUUUGAUUACUUUAAGGGGCAUUUUCAGUUUUUUAUUUUAUUUUAAAAAUUGAAUUGACUAAGUUCCCACUAAAAUCAAAAUUUUUAAGCUUUGUGUUCAGGGGUGUUUUUGUUAUUUUUUAUAGGUUUUUAUGUUAUUAUUAAGUUAGGUUAUAGGGGAUUUAGUCUUUCUCUAUCUUUUAAAAUUAUUAAAAAAAGCUGCUAGCACGCACCACCGUGUGAAGCAGCUUCGUGCUCUUUAAGCAGCACAUGAGCUACCGUUUGAUGGAAUAACGCUAACUUUUGCUAUGACCUUUGAAGUUACACGACGCCCCUUUUCAUGUGGGGCGACGCAUGUGAUGUUUGCAGUUAUAGUUUGUCGUCGACCGCCCAUUCCUUUUCUUUCCCUUCUCUCUCUCUUCUCCCCGUUGACUUUCAUGCCGACAAUUAAAAAAUCAACUUUAUCCUUGUAUUUUAUGACAUUUCAUAUUUGACCCUUAAUGUUUUGAUUUCUAAGUUUGAUUUUUAGCUUUUUUUUUUUUAUCAAAUUUUAAUUUUUUUUCAAUCUUAUUAUUGGAUCCAUAAUCUUGAUUUUUAAUUUCUUCAAGUUUGGUCCUCAUUUUCUUAAUUUUUAUUUUUUAUUUGGGUUCUUUUAUGGAUUGGAUUUUUCUUUUCAAUUUUACCCUUUAAAUUAAAGUUCGAUGAUAUUUAAGGUUAGACCCUCAAUGUGUUUGAUUUUAAAUUUUGAUUCUUAGUCCCUUUAUCAAAUUUAAACUUGUUUUAAAUCUCAUUAUUGAAUCCAUAAUCUUGGUUUUUUAUUUUUUCAAAUUUGGUUAUCACAUUCUCUUGAUUUUUAAUUUUUGUUCAGGGUUCUUUUGUUAAUUUGAUUUUUCUUUUCAAAUUUUUCAUUUAAUUCAAAAUUUUAUACUAUCUUACUUUUUCGGGGGUUGGUUCAAGAGUCAAUUCAUUGUAAGUACUGGGUUACAUGUCAGGUGGGUUGACCCGAGUUAGCCUAAGUCAAGUAUUUUUAUUUUAUUUUAUAAAAAAGUAAAAAAUAACAUCAUUUUGAAUAUAAAAUAAAACAAAAAAAACAUUCGAUGAGUUUUGAUAUGAUUUUAACUAAGUUUAUCCUAAAUUGACUAAGUUACAUGUCAACCCGUGUUUUUGACAUUUCAAACUAGAUCAAUUCUCUCCAAAUUAUUUUUGAAACCCAACCUCUCUACGCCUCAGGUCAACCCACCAUUUUACCUUCUAUUGAUAUAUCCCUUUCAUAUGAUCCACUCUAUUGAGUUUUAACAACCUCACCGAACUUUCUAGUGCUUUUAUUUUUUAUUUUUAUUUAUCUAUUUUUUUUUCUUCCUUUUGGAUUCUUGAGAAUUGGCUGUUGUAAAUUUUUAUAUAUAUAAUAUCAAAUUAUGAAUUUUUUUCUAUACACUUGAACAUUUUCUUUUUACAAUACAGAAAAUUCAGCCCGACAAACAGCGAAUCUUUACAUUACAGAAACUUCAGCCCGACAUGCAGCGAAUCGUGGAUUCCCCAUCUAGUGAUGAACGUAAGAUAAUGAUAAUAAAAAUAUAAUCCAGUAUGGGAUAAAAUUUCGGCAAGACUCUUAACAGUAACUCAGCGAUAGAAUUAAACAGUAAUCAUUUCUCACAAGUCACAAGCCAUGCCACGGAUUCCACAUGCCUUUCCGCACUCAACAAAAUAUGGUGCUGAGAAAAUUUGUCACUCUCGACAAUUCAGCAGAGUUUCCAUGCCGAGUUAAGACCCAAUAAAUUUUGAUGGUCCGCAUACAAGAUCAAUAGGCAUCAAAGCAAAUCAUAAACAUUAUUGGAAAAUAUAACCAAAAAACGCAUUCCACAAAAGUCAACCAUGGUGUGAUUCAUUGAUAAUUUGGCAGAUAAUCAACCAUCAUUCAGAAACUUGAAAUAGAGCAUCAAUCCACUGCCAGACAUCGGUCUCAUGGCCUACUAUAUUUACCGCAGUCAAAUGAUUUUUCUACCUCAUCAGCAAGAGAUCAAUUACUCUUAUUUACCGAGACUGUGCAUGUGGAAAAACAACCAUUCUACUUCACCACUUCAAAUUUGGAACGGAGGUUGGAUAUCAUGACUGGGCACUCUCCCUUCUCAUCAUACUCGUUGAAGUCCUCUCCAGACAAGUCAAUGUCUUCAUAUUUUGUCCCUGCAAUCUGCAAAAAUGACUUGCUAUAAGUUGGAAAUAUUUAUCAAGAAAAGGAAAAGACACCGAACACUUCCAGACAUGUAGUGAUUCAAGACAUUGCAUAAAGAUUAGUUCACAAAAAAGAAGCAUGGAUAAUUUGCAACUGAAGCCAUACACAAUAUAGCAAUAGCAAAGUUCAUCUAUUAAUAAAAUCAUAAGAGGCUAAGAGCUACACCAAUUAUUUAACAAAGAAAGUAAACAAAUGUUUGUGGUUCCAUCUGCUGGAUAGAAAUUAGCUGGUUUCAUUUAAAUCUUACCAGUUUUUGUUCUGUAAGCUGUAGGGUGUAUAAUGAAUCCAAAUUUCAACUACCAAAGACUUAGAAAGAGCAAUUUUCCAUUCUUUAAGUUCUUGAACUUGUUGUUUAUCACUCUGUUCUGUUGUUCUCCCACCCCACCUCAACACACAUACACAGGUGCAUCUCAUGCAAUUCAUUGUAAACAGAGAGGGAGGAGGGUCCACCUUUAGUUUUGACAUGAAGUAUAUUUAAAAUCAUUGGUGUUCACCAAGCAUGUAAACCUAUUUUGAACGACAAAAGAUAUGUCAGAUAUAAGAUAUUGAUAAAAUGGUGAAUACACUAAUGUGUUAUGCCUACCAGUUCCAUUCCCUUACAUAUCUAGCUUGAACACAUGGUUUUUGCAUUCUAUAACAAUGCAUGAUAAAUUUCUCCAUCUUAUCAGUUUCAAAUUUGCAACUCAGUAAUGGGCACCGAGAUUGAUCAGAUUUUUUUCAAAUCCACCCUGGAUAUAAAGCUUUCUUCCAUAUAAAUGUAUCCCAGUUUGAGAAUGUUUAAAUGCAAAUGGGUCUUGAAUGUUCAUAUGCAGCACAAAGUUCAAAGACAACCACGAAAGGAAAAAAAACAAAAUAGCAUUUCAAAUAAGAAGUCUGAUAGUAAAAUGGUAAGCGCAUGCUCCUUCGGCCCAGCAAUGAUGGAGAAAUAAGCUUGAGCACAGUAUUCCUUUAAUGGAUUUGGAUCAAGGAACACAAUAGAUCAUGUUCAUGAAAUCCAAGCCAUUUGAAAUCAAUGGUUAGGAUUUCUUCACAAAAUAAAGUAAAUACCAUUUUAAAAAAAAAUAUAAUCACGCACUAAUUUGUACGAAUGAAAUCAUAACUGUUGAUAUUCAACCAAUGGCUUGGAUUAGAUCCCAAUCCUCCUUUAAUGAUCCAUUAUUAUUCCAAGGGAUUAAACAAAAGAAAUGCACCUGAGUCACAUUGUCCUUUACUUCACAAAUCCACAAAUUAUCCAUACUUUUGAAUGAUUAAUGUUCAGUAAGAGAGUUUCAGGAAAAGAAACUUACAGAUUCAGCUGUCCAUGCACCACUGAAUACAAAACCCUCUGGCUCAUAACCUCUGAAGUCAAAUAACAUCAAUGGGGCAUAUUUUCCUCCCUCACUCAGUUCCUGGGUCAGUGGUUUGCCUUUGCCUGGGAUCAUUGUCACAGUUCCAUCCCUCCCACAAAACUUGCACUGUUCACGAAAAAAAAGGCUCAUAGAAUCAUCAUUCAGCAUUUGAAGAUGAUAUUUCAUACGAAAUACUGCCAUUACAUGAUGCCCAAGGACAGAAGUAAGCUGAUAUAGCCAAAUAACUCAAACUGCUAUCUAUUCCCCAAACCAACCAGCAUAUAAAUAGUCACAAACAAUCAUUAUGAAACAGCAAGUACAAUUUACGCAAUUCAUUUGCUUUUCACACGACAAGGAUCAUUCAAUGCACAUCUCUAAUUAUAGUUUGCUUUAUUUAGCUCAAAUACAUACCACCCUGUUUCCUGAUCAAAAUUUUAAAUACUUUCAAAGCUUAAUACCACAGCCACUAAUUAUAAAACACCAGGAAAAACCUAAAUAAUAACAUCUUGUUGCUUAAGAAUUCUCACAAGACUUGAUCCUACAGAUAAUGACUAAACAUAACUCAAGAACCUAAAUAAUAACAUCUUGUUGCUUAAAAAUUCUCACAAGAUUUGAUCCUACAGAUAAUGACUAAACAUAACUCAAGAAAUUUCAACAGCUUCUUUUGUUGCUGCAAAGGUGAAAUGGUCACGACAAGAAAUCAAUAACAAAAGUCCUAGCUAUGUUUGAAUCACAUUACACCUGAAAAAAAAACCAAGAAAACAUAGAAUCAAGGUCAACAGAGCCGUACUAUGAAACACCAUGGUAAAUGCUGUGCUUUCAAGAUCACAACUUUCCCUUUUUCGUUCCCAGCAACCAACCAGAGCAUCAUUUCAUGAACUAAACAAACUCUCCAUCUCAAUAAAUCAAUUCCACUACUAGCUAAUCGCAUGAGCUUGUGUGAUUGAUUUUACAAAAAUAAAAGGAGCAAUGAAACAAAAGAUUACCUUCUGAACGAGAUGAGCAGUUCCCUUUCCCUGAAGAAGUGGAACAGUGUCAUUCAAAGUCACACAUGUUUCUUUCUGGCUCACCUCUCCACACCUUCCACAUUUAAUCUACAUCUCCAACAAGCAAAACAUAUAAAUAAAUAUAUAAAUCAACAAACAACCUAGCAGAUCUCACUAGUGACUAUAUUCAAUAACAGAAGGAACAGAAAAUAGAAACAAAAAACCAUAAAAAUUCUAAACAUUAUACAAUAUAUAUGUAUGACCCAAAUAGAUUGAUGUAAAAGCAAAGGAGAUUCAAAUUCCCUUCCAAACUUCUAGUUUUUGCAAGGAAGAUGACCUGAUGCCACCUAAACAACAAAGCGAAGGAAGGGGCAUUAUGCCCUCGCAAUCCAAAAAUAGCAGAUUAAAAGUCAAAACAUGGGCUCAAAUGAUUUCUGAUGAAGAUGAAAUUUCCUCACCAGAAGUUAACAAUUCAACCAGUUCCUCAGCCUCUUGUUCGACCAUACCAAAUAAUACCCAAACACUUGUUGACAUAGGUACAAUAAAGGUUCUUCUGUUAAAAGCCCAAUUGUUAAUCCAAUAAUUAGUGUCUUCUUUUGCUAAAACAAAAGAAGAUUCCUCAUGGCAUGAGAAACAAAUUUCUAUCAAGACAAGUAAUCUUGAACUUGAUGAAUCAAAAUCAGUUUAUCAAAAUCUUUCAAAAUCCAAAGGGUGUGAUGGUUUUAAAUUCCAAAUAGUCAAAUACCCCUCUUCAAACUGUUUUCAGGUGGUGACUUCAAAAACCCCUCAAAAUAAUUUUCAGAAACAAAACAAUUUUCAACAAUAUUUUUCAAAUCAAAAUUUUCAAAAGAUUUUGCUAAGAGAACAUGGGUUUUACCGUAACAAUCCAAGGAUUUUUUGCCAAAAAUAUUUUCCCUCCAAACUGGCAUUUCAAAGCUUGAGAUAUAAGCAUGUCUUGAAAUUAUUAUGAAAAUAUAUCGAAAUUGGGCCAGUCAAAAUCAAACACAAUACACAAAAAGGCCAUUCCAAUUUUGUAACCCAUUCAUUCCUUAGAGUGAACAAAAGCAUACCAAAUUUUUUUAACCAAAAUAACACGAAGCUAAAAAGCCACCCAACAUUCAAUUGUUGGGACCAUGAACAAGCCUAGUUUAAUACCUUUAUAAUUCAAAAUCAACAUUUCAAGCACUCUUGAAUGUUUUACUGAAAAUCAAGAACAAAAAUCCAAUUCCCAAUUUGGUUCAUUUAAUGGUGGUCCUGAUUUGGAACCAACCUAGAAAUUCUUCCAGAAGGAUAACAAACUUUUGGCAAUAAAUUUCAACCAAUUCCAAAGAAAGUAUCUUUUCCAAGACUUCUCCAAUUUUGUCAUAAUUUUAGUAUUUUAUGGAUCUGUGCAUGGAUUUUGAAAAAUCCCCAAUUAUCUAAAACCAUCUAAGUAUCAACCAAUAAUUCUCUCCAACAAAAAUCUUCAAUUAAUGCACCGCUAGAAGCCACAAAAUUCAAAGAAUAAUAUUUUUAGAUUAUGCAAGAUAUCUUGGCAGAUUUUGUCUCCAAUUCUUCACAUGAAUCUAAUGACCCAUUUACAAAUUGUGAAUUAGAUGCAGAAGUUUUGGUCCCAUUAAAUCAUCAUUUUCAGUAAAAAAGAAAAUUUUUCUGGGCACUAGAAGACAAAUUUUUUGAUGUUCAAGUACUUCUACAAUAACAAACAAACCUCAACAGUAAUGUUACAGUAUUUUUUUCUAUGUAGAAUUCUUGUACCAAGAUUGAUUUCAAUUGCAUAAUUACAUCCAAUUGCAUCCCUUAUUUUCUUUAAUUACAUACAUUCUCAUCUAAUGGAUGGCCUUGCUGCCUAAUUUUUAUUGGUUUGCUUUAAUUUUCAUCAAUUUAUUUUCUUUGUUACUUUAUCAUCCACCUAGUAAGGUCUAUUAGGUAUGUGGGAGGGCCCACCAGGUCUUACAACUUAGCCUAUCUAUUGGUGAUUCAGGUCUUACAACUUAAUGCUGCACAUUCCUCCCAAGCAAGACUUGAACCCUAGUGGCUCUGAUACCAAUUGGACAACGUCACCAUUUUGCUAAAAGCUAUAGCUGGCAGUGAAGGCACUUCUUAAUCCUUUUAGCCCAGAACCAAUCAGGUAACGUCUCUCACUUUGGAUGUCCUAUAUGGGGGCCCACUAGGUCUUAUGACUUAGGCUACCCACUGAUGUUCAGGUCUUACAACUUAAUGAUGCCCAUUCCAACCGAGCUUUGAUAUCAGAUAAUAAAGCAAACAAAGAAAAUAAAUUGAUGAAAGUUAACACAAACGAAUAAAAUCUGGGUGGCAGCGCCAGCCACUACAUGCAAAUCUAUGCGAUUGAAGAAAAUAGAAAAGAAUUGGGCAACAGAGCAGGCCACUGGAAGCAAAUAUAUGCAAUUGAAAUUAAGUUGAAAUAAAAAACAAACAAAUUGAUUUUGAACACAGGAUUGAACACUUACGAAUAUAGUACCAAAUUUGAUACUAUUUAUCUUCCGAGUUUUGAGAGAUUAGAAAAUGAGGUUCCGAGUUUUGAGAGAUUAGAAGAGAAUGGAAUUUUCUCCUAAUGUGCUCUUGAGAUUUGGGAAGUGAUUGUACUAGUAUCAAAUAUCAGCAUGCCAGACUAACAAAAGAGGUAAGAAUCCACUCUGAAUUUUGUAAUUGUGAGUCGUGAUUUGUAGGGUCAACACAUCUAAAAUAUAUUGGUCCACUGUAAAAGACUGGACUCUAUGGUUACUAACAAAGAAUCAUUGAAUUCUAGGAACCUACUAAGAACCAUAAGAAUUGCAAUAUCAAGUCCUUAACACCAGCUUGAAAUAAAUCCUACAUAGAUGAAGUUAUAUUUCUUACUAUGAUGGUUUAUAGAACUUUGAGACAAAAUUCUAAUGGUUACAUAAUCAUUGAACAGAGUAAUAUCAUGUUCCUCAGUUUUGAUGGUGCAAUCCAUUUUGUCAAAGAAAUUGAAACUGCUAUGGUCGUAGAUUUCUUUUUGAGCAAUUUUUGGAAUUUCUCAAUUGUCAAAUGGCUUUGCUAAAAUUCUCAGUAUUUAUUUCUUCUUGGUUGAUUACUCUAUUGCCGGUGAUAUUACAGGCGGGGGAAGAAGAAGCUCUAAAGUACGAGUACAUCUUGUUGUUUCGUUUGGGCUACCCUAACAUGAUCUCCUACAAGAUAAGAGCUAAACCAACGGGUUCACUGCAUUCUCGGACUUGCUACCGGGACCACUCCUAUGAGCUUAGAUCCACCCGUUUCAAAAACCAAAACAAAUUGAACUAGACUCACAUUCCAUCCCUAACCCAUGGCUAAAAAGGCUCUGAUACCAGGUGGAUAUCAAAAAACAAGUAAAAAAGUAAAAUAAAGUAACAAAAAACAAACAUCAAUUUAAGUAAAAUGAAAAACAAUACAGAUUUAAAUAACAACCAGACAUAAUAAUAACCACUAAAAUACACAAAAAUGCACCAAAAACACAAAACUUAAGAACAGUAAAGAGUAUAGGAUUUGAAGUAAAGAAUCGAAAACCGAAAAUAACCGCUGAUUAUGCUAAUUAUUCACAUUAGAAAAAGAGGAUGCAGAUAAAACCACACACAAAAAGACAAACUAAACAAGAAUCUGAAGAAGCAGAUACAGUAAGAAACCCUAACAUAUGUUAAUUUAAGUGUUAAGAAUAUUGAUAGGAGAAAGAGAGUGGACCUUGAAGAAGUAAGAGAAAUCAGGAUCAUCGCAACCGCCUUGAGGCUGGAGGCUAGCGAUGUUGUCGAAAUCAGCUGUUAUCAUUAGCAUGUGAUUCACCAUUUUUCUCCCUUUCAGCGUCAAAACCAAGCUCUCCUUCUUCUCUCUCUCUCUCACUUUCUGUUGUGAUUAUCUUUGUACUGUGAGUGAGUGGGUGAGUCAGACGAGAAAUGCGUUUGGGGUUUUGUAUCCACGUUUGAGUAAAUAUCAAAUAUACUACCGCAUUACAAUAAUUAUGAAAAGUCACAUAAUAAAGAAUUAAAGUACCAAAGUUAACCUGAUGGAUGUAGCUAUCGGCCUGAGUUUGCUUUAUAAAGUAUACUUGUCAAGUUUUAUAAAUUUUAAAGUAAUUAAAAAUUUAUAUAAUAAUUAAUUAAAGUAUAAUUUAUUCAAACAUUUAUGUUAAUAAAAAUAAUAAUAUCAAAGUUAACAUAUCUUCAUCCAUGAAUUACAGUCAUAAAAUGAAAAUCGCUAGAAGAAUUAGUCGGAAUUUUUCUCCUUUUAAAUAAUUGUUUAUAGAUAGAUGGAGGAGAUUGACACCGAUAAAUCAUUUUGGAUCUUUCUUCAAUAGGGCCUAGCAGUGUGACUCAUUUUUUCAUUGAUUUGUGAUAACUCAGACUCAUCUUUAUGCUCAAGAUGCAAUCAAUUUCCACAUAGGUAGCCUGAAUUUGAAAAUUUGUGAGGGCUUUUUUUUUGUCGGGGUGUUAAUGUAGUUAUAGUUGCUUUUCAAAGUAUUUUUUACUUGAAAAGCAUCAAAAUGAUAUAUUUUUAAUUUUUAAAAAUUAUUUUUGACAUCAUUGCAUCAAAAUAAUUUGAAAAUACCAAAAAAAUAUUAAUUUGAAGAAAAAAAUAAUUUUUUUUUAAUUUUUUUCAAAAUCACUUUUAAAACGCAAAAACAAACAGGACUCAUAGUAAUUUAUUUGUAUAUUUUUUAGUAUUAAUUAGUUCUGUUGCCUAUGCUAUGUAGUAUAAUGAUGUGCUAGUAAUGUUGUUGGGAGUAAUUUAAUUUUCAUUUUAAAUAACAUGUGUAAACUCAUGAUAUAUCAAAUUGACUUCAUCAAAACCUGAUUUAACUAAAAAAUAUUAUAAUACAACGAUGUCUGAACUUUGAUUUUUUUUUAAUAUGAAAAAAUAGGCAGGUUGUGGAGACCUUUUUAGCAGUGUCGUUCAAUCUGACCCAAUUAAUCAAAUCUCCCAACUCAAUUCCUUAGCUAACGCGAAUUUCGUUUAAAUUGUAUAAGAGUUGUCACGAUGUGACAAAAUUGAUUUUUCAUAUCCAAAGAUAACUUGGUUGACCAGUAAAAAUAUUGGUUGACUUAAAAAAAAAACUAGGAUGCAAUCUUUAUUUUUGAUAUUGAGAAGUCGAUAUAUUGAAUCACUUCCAAUUAGUCGGGGUUAGCUGCCAAAUUCAAAACCUAGGUUAACCCAAUUGACUGACUGUCUCUUCUUUUUUCUUUUUUAUUCUCACCUUAGUUGAGUUUUCAUUGGGCCCGAGUACAAUGAAUUUAAACCUAAAUUGAAGAGUUACGAGAGAGUUAAAGACUAAAUUAAAAAGAUAGCUUUGGGCAUAUAUGAGAUGCAAUCCGAUACUUAAAUGAAGAGUUAUUAUAAAAUAAAGAUCAAAUUAAGUGAAGAAAGCAAAAAUUAUUUGGCGCACGUGAGAGUAGCUGCCAUAUUGGGGGUGAUGUGUGUGGCUUUCUCCUAACUCUAAAGAUGACCUUUCUCGGUGCGCUAAAAUCAUCUUGAUGGGGCUUCCUUUCAUGGUGACAUGUGUCGAUUAUGGAGCUACGAUGUGGCUUCAACAACCAAUUCUCCCUCUCUUUGUAAUCCAUUUAGUUUUAAUCUUUUAUAAAAUAAAACAUUUGAACAAUCUAUCGCAAAAUAGAGUGUCAACCCAAUGACAAUAUGCUUUUUCAAUCCCGUGAGAAACCCACAUCAAGCUUAUCGGAAUAAUAAUCAAGGCCAAUCUCAAAUAAAAUCAAUAUAAAAGGAUCAAAUUAGAAAUUUUUUUUUCAUUGAUGACAAAAAAAGUUGCACUAUGCAAAUCCAAAAUACAAUUAGUUGAGGCUUACCAUAAUUGAGAUAGUAAAUUGCUUAGCUUUUUUAGUAUUUUGUUAACAAAAAUCUUAUUUUCUUUUCUUAAGAAAAUAAAACUAAAAUAAAAUUUAUGAAACAAAAACCUGUAACAUUAAAAUAAAUUAAAACCCAUUGGAAAAACACUAUAACUCCAGACUUAGAGUUACUAUUCAUUAGAAUAGUAUGAUGAUUUUGCCCCUUCACUAAAAAAACUUAACCCUGGUUUUUAAGAGCAUCGAAGUCAUUUCAUAAGGCCCAUUAAUCAUUACAAAAUUCGCUAGGGACAAUGAGUCUUUUCUCAUCACAAUUACACAGUGAAAUGACCAAAAUAUCUUUAGAAACAAAAAAAAUAGCGUGAAAGGGCAUUUUUUUCUUUUCACAAUGUUUUAUUUGGUUAUUAUAAUGUAAGCUGAGGGGCAAUUUGGUAUUUUUUAAAAUAUAAAAAAUAAUAAACAAUUAAAAUACAUAGUAAAACAACCAGAAUACCUUUAAAAUAAUAAUAAAAAAACUUGAGUUAAGAGGCUUCUUGGUCUUUUUACAAUGAUUUUUUUAUAUAAUUAUAAAAUCAGCUUAAGAACACUUUGGUAUUUGAAUAAAAAAAGGACGUGCAAUUGGGAGGCGCCCACACCAUUUAUGCUGUGCAUGCGGUGCCUCUCGAAAUCUAACAAUACCCUUCUACUGUGUUGUUGGAAACAUCACUGUAUCCUUUUCAUGUUGGCGCAGUGCAUGUCUCUGAUGGUAGUCCAGUUUGUCAUCAUGAGCUUUUUUUUAUUUAUUUUCUCUCUCAUCUCUCUAAAAUUAUAACUUGACCUUCUUGAUUGUUGGUAUUUUAGCUUCAAUUCUUAUUUUUUAUUUCUAAUUUCUGAUCUUAGUUCUUUUGUAAAAGUUUAUUUGUUUCUAAUUUCAUCAUUCAAUCAAAAUUUACCAAAUAUUAUAUUUUUCAAUUUGAUCCUCAUUAUUUGGAUUUCUAAUUUUUUACCUUUUCCCUUUAAUAAAAAUUUUAUUGAUUUUUAAUUUUAUCAUUCAAUUCAAAUUGAUGGUAUUAUAUUUUCAAUUUGGUCCUUAUUAUUUUGAUUUCUAUUUUUUUUCUUGGUCCUUUUGUAAAAGUUUUUUUUUCAAUUUCACCCUUCAAUUAAGACAUUGUUUUGAUUUUUCUAUGUCAAUUUUGAUCCUCUUUCUUUUGAGUUUUUUUUUCUUUUACUAAAUUGAUUUUUCUUUUCAAUUUCACCCUUCAAUCAAAUAUAAAAACUUAUUUUUUAUUUUAAUUUUAAUCCUUAUUCUGUAAUUGCUAUUUUUAAUCAUUUUGUAUAGUUAAAUUUUUUGUUUACUCCUUUAAUAUUUGAUUGAUUGGAAAUUAGACUUUAUGAUUUGUCCAUAUUAAAUGCUUCGGGUUUAAUGACUAGGAUCACGUGUUUAAAAAGUUAAUACGACUUUUUUUAAAAAAAAUUCUAAUUCUCUUUAAUUUUUUCGGGUUAUUUCAGCCUUAUUAUCUUAGUUUGGAUUUGGUAGGAUAUCUCAGGUUUGCUCGAUCCUAAUUAUCAUGAUUACAAGUUUUUGAUGAGAAAUGUUUUUUAUGUUUUUUUAGCCUAGUUCAGUAUCUGAAAAUUACUCUUUACAAAAAAAAAAAAAAAAAAAAAACCAGGGCAGUCAUGUGGCAAAACACAGAGACACCGAAGCUACUAAAAUUAUAAACACUAUGAAAGGAAGACCGAGUUUCUUUGACAUGGAGGGACAGAAUUUAGCUCUUAGGGAUUUUAAGAAUUAAUUAAUUAAUGAGUUAUACAUUCAUAGGUACAUCACCAAAAAUAAAAAUAAAAUGAUAAAGGUACGAGAUUGAUGAAUUUCUCUACUACCCUUAAACAAAAGAAUAUUAUAUAUUCUCAACAUAUCCAAAACUAUCCAUAAAAAUACAGACUCUAUGUGGAAAUAUUUAAUUUCACAACAAUAUUUAAUUAUAUGGUAAAAAGGAAUUUACGGUAAAUACAAAACAUAUUGUCUUAUCUUAAAAAAAUCCUACAUACCAAAAUUAAGAAAUACUUUUAUUCUAUAUAAAGAAAAUAUUUAAUUUUUUUUGUGUGUAUGAUAAUACGAAAUAUAUACCAAUAUUCAAUUUUAUAUAUAAUUAGGAAAAGACCAAAACAUAGGGUUAAUCUUGUUUUUCAACAUAUGGUAUUUAUAUAUCAUAUAAAACUAUAAACAAUAUAAAAUAAGUUUCUAAAGUCACAUCUAGCAUAUGUAGAAUCUUAUUGACACUUUAUUUUGAUUAUGGAAACUCUAAAAAAGGCUUAAAAUUAAAACCUUUUUUUUUUAUAUAUAUAUAUAUAUAUAUAUAUAUAUAUAUAUAUAUAUAUAUAUAUCAAUUAGAUGAAAGGAAAAGAACAUUUUUUUCAAGAUUUGUUUUUGUGAUGUUACUAAAAUAUAAAAUAUCAAUAUAAACAAUUAAAAAAAAAGGUUACAAGUUAUUGUAUUUUCACUUUUUAUAAUCAUUCCUAUUAUUAAAAAGACUCCUUUAAAUAUAAUGAUUCAUAAAACCUUCACUCAUGCCUAUAUUCUUUUCUUUUUUUUAGUUCAACGUGGGUGUCCGGGCCAGCUUACGCGCACCUCGACUAAUCCCACGGGCCCUGAAGUUAACGACCAUGUAAGCCUUCAGUGGCCAUCAUAUGAGCAACCACAUGGCUCAAACCUGAGACCACAGAUGGAGCAAACCUUUUAGUUUCAAACUUUUACCACUGGGUCACCACCUAUAUGGUUAUCAUGCCUAUAUUCUUUACUUUUAUUCACUUUAUAUAUCAUUAAAAUUAAAAUAAUUAAAAUUUAGUAAAUUAUUAAAUUAUAUAGACCUUAGUUUUUUUUUAGAGGAUCCUUAGUUACUGUCUUGUGUUACUUUUUAACUCUUUUAGAUUAAAAGUUUUAUUCCUUUUGACCAAUUCUACUAAUAUGAAAAAAGAAUUCAUUUGUCAAAAGGUAACAUAAAAUUUCUAUUCAAGCCUAAAUCUUUAUUAUUUUACUCACAAAUAAUAAGGAUGAACUCUUUAAAAUAAAUGAAUUCAUAAAAACUACAAUGCUAAUAUUAUCAAGUUAAAAAUUAAAGAAUUCUGAACAAUUUUUUUAUUCACACCAUACACCUUAUGCAUUUUUUAUAUAUUGAUUUUAUUUGAACAGAUAACUUCUUUAAUAAAACAUAAUUCACAAAUAUUUUAAUAUAAUAGUAAUUUUGGUAGGAGAAAGCAUUUUAAUUUUAUAAUAUUGAAAUAUAAAUAUAAAUAUUUGAGGUCCAAUAUCAUGUCAAGUUUCAUUUUUAUCGAUUUUUUUUCAAGAGUUUUCAAUUAUAGAAUAUAAGCAAUUAGAAUAAAAAUGGUUUAGAUUAAUAUUAAUUUAUCAUAUUUUUAGUUUUAUAUUUGAUCAUAAUUAGUUUUAUCAGUUAACCAAACUAACUUUAGUUUUAAUUAAAAAAAUGAUAGAAUUGUUAUUUUUAGUUGAAACGAUUUUUUAUGUACAUUGCAAGAAAAAAUGAUGCUCUUUCUUUCUUUUUUUCUUUUUUGUUGAAAAAAUGACAUUUCUUACAAUAGCAUGAUAUAAAGAAUAUUAUUUUAAUCUUAACUAUACUUAUUUUCAGGAGUUAUUAUAAUAAAUAUACAUAGACUUUGUAUUUUUCAACUAUUAACUAUUGAAUUAAUUCAUAAAAAACUAAUAAAAAAUAAUAAAUACACAAUUGAAUGGUACAUGUGCGGAAAAAAAAAACCAGUAUAAGAUAAAAAUUAAAUACAGGAUCCAAUUGGAUACCUAUGACUUAAACUGACUCUAGUUGAAAAUUCUGAUCAAUGUGCUAUAGAGAAUUCCAUUAUAUUUUUUUUUUUUACGAAAAAGUUCAACCAGAUACAAAAAGAAUUUCAAAACUACUAACAAAGAACAAGACUUCAGCUAAAUAUUUCCGUGCGCGGUUGAAAUCACUGCAGCCAAUUUCCGAAGUUUUUCAAUCCCGUUGCCAGGUUGUUGAAGUUUUACACCAAAGGCGUUGGACCCGUGAUUUGGUUUGAAGAUUUCAAGUGUUCUUGAUGGGAUUACGCUUAAAUGUUUUCUGGAUUAGGUUUUAGCAUAAAUUGAUGGGAUUACAAUAUGAAAAACAGCAAGAAAAGAUAUAAUUAACAUAAAUGGAUCUAAUUUGAUUUCUACACUUCACCUUACAAUUACGUGUUUUGAUGAUGGGAAUCAUGAUGGUGUUGAUUACCAAGUGGCAAAGAUUGUAUGGUCAAAUUCCCCGGACUGUAUGUGCUGGGAAAUGUUCUUUCUACUUAGUCAAGAUAUGGGGAUCCAAAGAGUUGCAACAUAAUAUCAACAGGAGUUAGGUUAAGCUAUUGACAGCUUAAUUGCUCAUCUCAAAAGUUGGUCACUACAGCCUCCAGGUUUGGUCCCAGAAUGUUCCAAAAUUAUAUUCUUCAAGAACCUACUGUAUAUGCAUGUUUCACAUUUUGCAUAUCACAUGACAUGAUGGAAACGUAAAAUGGAUGAUUAGAAGGUGUACCAUACCAACUCUGUGUGCUUUUGAAUUUGAAAGUACUUGGAAUGUCCGCAUGAUUUGAUCAUCAUCAAGUGAUGAUUACAUCACAUUCAAGUUCAUUUGUCAUUAAUGGGGCAGGGGAUUAUGUGAAGCAUUGUUUUUUCCAAGAUUUACUAUUGAUUAAAGUAACUUUUUCCUGUAAGAAAUGGCUGGAAGCUUCUGUUCUCGCGGUUUGCCACUUGAAGGAAUGGUGAUUCUGUUGGGAAUAAUUAUUUUUGGUUUUGGGAUCGGGGAGUGUAACUUGAUGCCGGGAAAGAAGAUUUUGGAAGUCAGAGAGAAGAUAAAACACCUCAAAAGCAACACAGUAAGCAGACUUCAGGUACAAGUUUCCUGCUAAAUCUGGGGACUUCUCUUCUGUUUGUAGUGGAACGGGUAGAUUAUUCAAUCACUGACAAUAUUUGUGCCUGUAGAGAGGAGAUGGUGAUAUUAUAGAUUGCAUCGACAUCUACAAGCAGCCUGCUUUUGAUCAUCCUGCUUUAAGGAAUCACACCAUCCAGGUCAUAUUUUUACUAUUUACUUUAGCAGAAGUCCUUUUCUCCGAUUGUUUUUCUAGCUUAAAUUGUUUCAACUUCAUUUUUUAUUCAGAUGGCACCCAGUUACGAUCCAAAUAUAGAGGAAACAACAACAAAAGCAAAUAGAUUGCAGAAUCAAGACUCUUCAAUGAAUUUAGCAUCACGACUAUGGCAGAAAAGUGGAAGCUGUCCUAAGGGAACAAUUCCAGUCCGAAGAUUACCGCAAAAAGUACCGCUUAAAACAAAUUCACUUGAAGACUAUGGAAGGAAGAAGCCUUGUUCUUCUCCUCCGCUUACUCGUAUCAAUAAAGACAUCAGCUCAAACCUUCAGCAGAGUAAUCGCUCGGUAUAGAACAUCGUUUCUAAUUAAGCAUGUAUGACAUUCAUUGUGUCCUACUUGAACGGUAUCUAAUUUUGCGCUAUGCUAAUCAGGUGGCUAUACUGCUCACAGAAGGGUAUAGUUAUUCAGGGGUUAAGGGAGACAUAAAAGUUUGGAAUCCUCAUGUUGAAUCUGAUGAUGAAUACAGUACUUCUCAAGUUAGUCUGAAAAGUGGUCCUUACUAUGAUUUUGAGAGUGUCGAAGCUGGAUGGGCGGUUAGCAAAACACUGUUAAUUAGUACUGUGUUUGAUUUACAUAACUCAAAGCUACACAACUGCAUAUUGUUUGUUGUCUCCGUGCAAUGUUCAGUUUUUCUUGCACAAAAUCUGAUUUUCCAGAACACUUCUCAACUUUGCAGGUAAAUCCAAGUGUUUAUGGAGACAGAAAAACUCGAUUAUUUGUGUACUGGACUGUAAGUUCAAGCCAGGCCUAUCUUGUUGCACGCAAGCUCUAAAUCAAGAGAAAUGUGCUUGUCGAAGCAUUACUUAACUUCAUGAAUAAGUGACAGUGUUAAAAUCUCAUCCAUUUUGAAAAAGCCAGCACAAGUCUUGAUUCACUAUUUUCUCUUCUGUCUGGAAUCAGGCUGAUGCAUCAAAGAAAACAGGUUGCUUUGAUCUUACAUGUCCUGGUUUCGUUCAAACUAGCAGUGAAAUUGCUCUUGGUGCAGCGAUAUAUCCUCUUUCAGUCCCUUCUGGUCUCCCAUAUCAAAUAACCCUUUUCAUAUUUAAGGUCAGAAAAGUUAAUUGUUGGUUGAUGGUGGCCUUUUCCCCACCUCAGUCACCCCCAUCAUCUGAAACAUCUCUCUCUUUUAUCUUAUUUUGUUUUAGGACCCAAACACAGGCAACUGGUGGGUGCAGUAUGGAGAGAAAAUUAAUCUGGGUUACUGGCCACCUGACUUGUUUGCUUGGUUGCGUGGUAAUGCAGAAACAGCUGAGUGGGGAGGGGAAGUGUACAGCUCAAAACUGGAGCAUCCUCCCCAUACUAAGACAGCUAUGGGUAAUGGACAAUUUCCUGAUUAUGUAUCAGGCAAUUCCGGUUGUAUCAAGAGAAUGCGAAUUCGUGAAAAUUCUCUAGUCUUGAAGUUCCCAGAGUGGGUCUCAACUUUCUUACACGAGUACAGGUGCUAUGAUGCUGAGUAUAUUGGUGAUUACAUAGAAGAUCCUGAGUUCUAUUACGGAGGGCCUGGUCAGAAUCCCCUGUGCCCUUGAUCAUAACUUUUAAUGUCUGCUAGGAUGCAGGUCAUUUCAAGAUAGAUUUUACUGUACUCAAGCUAUAUUUAAUGGCAUCCUAUAAAUUAUAGCUUGUCACGUUAUCUUCUAGUUUUAAUAUGGAUGAUCAUAAAAAACCACGCUGUAACUUGAGCACCAUGCAAUUUCUUUAUUUGGACCUGCCUAGUUGCUUCAAUUGAGAUUGUAAUGUAAAAGGUGGCAACAACAAAUAUCUUAUCAAUUCCCAAGUGCGCUGAAUUGUUGAAGAUUGACUUAUUUCAGAUUCUUUGCUUCUGUAACUCAUAGGUUCUGUCUUGCCAAAUGUAAAUGCAUACACGCUUCCCUUGAUAAAAAGAUUCAUGCAUUUAAAAAUAGAAAACAUAAUCACAUGAAGAAAUCAAAUUCUUAGAACACUUGGCAGAAGAACUUUAAGAAUCAGAGAAUGCAGUUGUUCCUGUCUUGUUUCUAUGUGCAACAGCAAAACUGAAUUUGACCAUGUCUCCAAUAAAUGCCGUUUUGCAUUUGGGAGUUUUAUGAUAAUAACAUUUGGUUAUUAUCCCGGGAAAAACAAGACUGCGAGGAUAAAAAUGUGUUUAGUUAAAGAAAUAAAAACAGAGACAUAAAAUAAUGGUUUCAGAAUAAUUUUUUGUAUUUUCAAAAUAUGAAGUAACCAAAUAUUGUAUAUGUCCAUUUUCUUCUUGUCUUUGCCUUGCAUUUUCCUUUAUUAGUUGUUAAUUUUAUCUUCCUAGACUCCGUCAUGAAAUCCGACUCAAAAAAGUUAUAUUAUGCUGACUUAGAGGGCUAAUUAUAGGAUAAGGAAAUCACCUGCUGUCCAUAGGACGUAAAUCUUGAUCUUUAUCGUAAAUCCUACAGCGGGAGAAUUUGGUAAUCUUUUCAUGGAAAGAAAAGGCGAUCAUAGUGAUAUACAAUCCAAGGUUUUCGAAAUAGCUUGGAAUGCAAUUAAUGUUUUCCAGGACUGAAAAAUCUUUUCUGUUUUCAAAUUUCAACUUCCUUUCUGGGGAGUUCAUAUGCCUCUAUAUAUGUUUCUGGGGCUGUCUUUCCUCCUGCUCUGAGAAAAGAGAGUCUAUUCGUGUUCUUCAUCUUAGAGUGCAAGAGAGAGAGGAACAGAUAGCUAGAGAACAGAAUUUUCAUACAGAUGGAGAAAAGACUUUCCAUGCUUGUGUUGCUGAUACUACUUUGCAUAUUGAGCAAUGGAGUAAAUGGCAAAACUAAAGCUAGAAAACAUCGAUCUGAAAUCAAUAGGAGGUUAAAGCUUCUCAAUAAACCUGCAGUCAAGACCAUUAAGGUAUAUGAUGCCAUGUAGUUAUAUACACUAUCUUCAAACAAACAUUAUCAUGAGCCAGUGCUGACAUGAUUUUCUUUCUUCUUAUCAGCUAAUUUUCAUACUAACACCCUCAGAUGCGUAAUUGUUUUCAUAUCAAUUUCUUUUCAAAUGAUGUCACUCCAUCGAGUCUCAAUGUAUGAUGAAUCUCAUCUAGAGAUGAGGUUUUUGCUACAAGAUUUAGGAUUUAUAUAAGAGCUUCUGGAUUUUACACUAAAAGAUUGCAUGAACUCACUGCUUAUGCUUUGGGCUAAAUAUUGUAUUGUACUUCAUAAAUUUCCUCUUCAGAUCUCACCUGUUGGAGAAGAAACUGUAUCUUUUAGUCCAAGUUUUUUAGCUUGUUGAUGCAACAAGAUUUCCAGGGACAAAUUAUUUUUCUUAGUCAUUAUUAUUUCCUUGUCUGAGUUUUUGAAACUCAGGUUGAUAAGCUUAAAUAAACGGAUCUUUAGUUCAGGGAAAUAUUUUUUUUAUGUUAUUUUUUUUCUAUUUAGUUUAAGAAAUCAAAUUGGUUGUUUUAUAUUUUUAUUUCCUAUAGUUGUUUAGGUUGUGUUUUGAGAUUAUUUAAGAAGUUAUAAAUUUAUUAAAAAAUACUAACUAUAUCAAAGAUAUUUUGCAGUGAUAAAAAUACUAAUUAGGGUUAUAUUUAUAGCUUGUUGUUUUCUGGUGUGUUGUUUUUGUUUGUGCUAAGUUGCUAUUAUUGAAAAUUCAGUAGUGAAACCCAAAAUGGAACAAUGCAUACAAAUAUAUUAUAUUAGGAACCAUAAUAAAAUAACUGCACACAAAGGAUGUUCAUGGAGGACGGUAGUUGACUGAGGUAUGAACUCGAGGUUGACGUCUUUCCAACUCGAGAGAUUGAUGCAUGAUUUUUUUUUAAGAAAAUAAAUAUUUUUAUUUGUUAAUUUUAUUUUUUCCUAUUUUUUUUAUUAUUCAUUAUUAUUAGACUUUUUUAUUUUUUUCUAUAUAAAAGAUUGUAAUAGCUUUUGACAAGUGAAGACAUGAAUGAAUAAAAUUAAGUGUUUGAAAAUCUCUUUAUAGUUAUGGUGUUCUUGGUCUUUGAAGAUUUUGAUAAGUAAGAAACUCCAUUAUCUUUUGCUUCCAUCUAUGUUAAAUGAUAUCAAAGUAGUUUGAUUGGAUAUACACCGAGAUUAAAGCAAAAACAUUUUGAAUUCGAGGGCGAGUUUGCUCCAUCCAAGGGAGAUUGAUACAAAAUGAAUUUUAGAAAGUUAUUAUUUUGCUAAGUGAUUGUUAUUUUUUAUUUAGUUUAGAAAAAUAUUUCUCUUUAUAAUUUUUUCUUUCUUAUUCAAUUUAGAAAAUUAGAUUGAUAAUUUUAUUUUUUAUUAAUUUGUUUAGAACUUCAAUUCUUUUUUCUUUUCUUUUUUUAAUUUUCAGGUUUCCUAUAUUGUUUAAGUUAGUUUUUGAUUUAUAUAAACCUCUUAUAAAGAAAAAAUAUAUAGAGUUAUUUAUGCGGUAAUAAAAAUACCAAUUAAGAUUAUAUUUGACAACCUCGAUCGACUUCAAUUAUGUCUAAUUAGUUAUUUUCUAUUGUGUGGUUGUCAUCUACAUCACUUGUUUUUCCCAUGUAUCCAUGGAAGCGUUUAUUCCAAUUUUGCAAAUUAAAAUCUUGACAAAAUAGAAUUAACCCCUUGUUUUUUUACUUAUUAAGCCAUGGAUAGUAAGCCUAAUGUAUUGCCACUUGGUAUUGUUCUUGCAGAGUGAAGAUGGAGAUAUUAUUGCUUGUGUUGAUAUCUACAAGCAACCUGCUUUUGAUCAUCCUGCUCUGAAAAACCAUACUAUUCAGGUGAAUCUCCAAGCUCCAUUUCAUAAACCUUUCCCUUUAAUUUUCGUACUUAAAUUUGCAAUAGUGAUUAGUGAAUCUGCUAAAAAAAGGCAUGAAUCCUUCCAUGAAAAUCCAUGUUCUUUGCGUAUGGUCUUGUUUUUACUAUUAUUCAUUUCUUCCUCCCAAAAUCCACCAGACAGUGUCAACUGUUAUCUCUAAGCUUCCCAAAAUAUGCAGAUGCAACCCAGUUUUAUUCCUUCAACAGAGACUCCAAAUGGAGAACGCGAGAAUUCUCGGCCAGUUGUGUCUCAACUUUGGAAAAAAAGAGGUAGUUGUCCAAAGGGAACUAUUCCUAUCCGCAGAAUCCGAAGGCGGGAGUUAUUGAGAACUAAUGGGAGAAAGAGCCCUGAACAUCUCAAAGGGACAAAAAAAAUAGCCACUCAGGAUCGCUUUAUGCACCUCAACAACACCAAAGGCUCAAUUCUUUAUCCUACUCCAGAAAAUCGUUCUGUAAGCAUCCUUUUAAAACCCAUGAACUUGAUGGUUGCAUGUACACUAAUCUUAUGCUAAUGAAUAAUCUGCAUGUUCUAUAUAUACUUUUCAAAUUUAUAUAUCACAGCUAUGAAAGGCUUAAAUAUCAAGAGCAUUCUCUUCUUUUUCGGUCUUCGACUAGUAUCAGGUACAUGCUUUUGUUUAUGAUGACAGUCGCACACCUGUACUGAAAACUUUCCUGCUCCAUACACAGCAACUAAAACCACUUCUUUGUUGUGAUUCUGAUGCUAUAUACUAUAGUAAUCAUCUCCGUAUCAGCCCCUAUGAUAAUACUGAUGUCUAACACUAAAAAUUGAUUUUCUUCCUGAACCAGACCGCAAUCCUUUUGACAUAUGGAUACAAUUAUGUUGGAGCCAGUGGAGAAAUAAAUGUCUGGAACCCACAUGUUGAAAGGUUACCUGAAUUCACUACUGCUCAAAUCUGGCUUAAGAGUGGUGCAGUGAACAAUUUUGAAAGCGUGGAAGCAGGAUGGACGGUUAGUUCAUCAAUAAAUAGGAUAGUGUAAACCUCCGGUUGUUCUUAUAGAGUUAGUGAUCUUUAUUCUGAAAUAGCUUGAUGUCCUUAUUCUGCUCUCCAUGUUACUAAUUUCUUUCCAGGUACACCCUGCAGAAUAUAGUGAUGCACGGACUAGAUUUUUUGUGUACUGGACUGUAAGUUCUUCUGAAAAAUACAUAUUUGCAGAAGAAUGUUCAGACAACAAUAUUUCUACGUCAGUUAUUGACAAUUUUCAUGCCCUUUCAUUUUCAUUUUCUGUUAGGUUGAUGGAUACAAGAAAACAGGUUGCUUUGACCUUACUUGUUAUGGAUUCGUGCAAACUAGCACCGAAAUUGCUCUUGGUGGAGCUGUUGAGCCCGGUUCUAGUUCAUUUCAACAACAGUAUGUUCUCCCAAUCAACAUCUUCAUGGUAAUGAAGUAAUCUUUUCUUUUCUAUCUUCGUUGAAACAUUUACUAAUGAUGUUGCAAUUGACAUAAGUUUCAUCUGCUGAACCACAUAGGAUCCAACCACAACCAAUUGGUGGCUGGUAUUUCACAACAUUGCUGUUGGAUACUGGCCUGGAAGUCUCUUCUCUUUGCUAAAACACAGUGCCACAUCUGUUGAAUGGGGAGGACAAGUUUAUAGUGUUAAUGUCAGGAAAACUCCCCACACAAAGACAGCCAUGGGAAGUGGAUAUGACGCGGAGGAAUUGUAUGGUUUUGCAUGUUUCAUUGGACAGCCAAGGAUUCUGGAUUAUUCUAAGUCAUACAAGUACCCUACCUUUGUUGCCGUUUGGAAAGACGAAUAUAAUUGCUACUCUGCAGUUAAUUACAAAGCAGGGAAUGCAAAUGAUGAAGCUACAUUUUUCUUCGGAGGGCCAGGUCAAAGCUAUCGUUGUCCAUGAGAGUAUUGAAAACCUAAAAAAUAAAUGUCUUGAAACGUUUUUUUUAAUAUAAACCUAAAAAAUAAGAGUCUUGAAACGUUUUUCUUUGAAAUAUGGUUUGGAAAAGAUGUUUAGGAGAUUCAUCCAGCAGUCCUUUGAUCCGUCAUCAACUUUAUUUUGAAUAUAAACCUCAACAAUAUGAUUGUUGGUUUACUCUUUCUGAUUACGCUCAAACUUGAAGAUUACUUGUGGUAUGAAUUGAAUAUCACCAGAUUUGCAUGUGAAAUUUUGGCAUGGCAGUGUCCUUCAAAGUGAGAAAAUGCAAGUCUUGGCUCUUGCAGCUACUUGAAAUCGCAAGUGACGCAAAAUCAUGUUACAAAUCCUGGUUUCUGAAACAGGAUGGGACUUCCACUGCACUGGAUAAUUGACCAGCGAAGACAACUUCAAAGAAGAAAAUUUUAGAAAUGCAAUAUUUUUUUUUAAGUGAGAGAGAGAAUCGGAAGUCGUCAGUGCAGAAUGUAUCCUCCCUUUUUAAGAUCCAUAAUAACUCUGUAAAAUUAUUUCAGCACAGUACAAGCAAGUAUACAACAGCAUGAAGACCACGACAUUCAUGUUACAUCGCUGUUUUCUUACAGACUAUCUACAUACAAAUAGCCUACAAUCAGGUCUGAAAAGAGGAGAGUACAUUACACAUUAUACCAAUAAAAAAACCGAGGAGCAAAUAACCAAGAACCAUUAGCAACUCAGAUGUGUCUCAUGUUGUUUACCAACAAUUGUCAGACACUAAAAAAAAAAGCUAAAGAGAGUCGUAUUGUUUUCUCCCUUCCUGUAUGGAUUGGAAAAUUCGAGCUACUGAUUCAGUAGCAGAUCUACCAUUGUGAGGCACAACCUUGAUCACUUUCGACAGCUGGUCUGUCUCUUGAUGCUGAGGGGCUCCCUCAGGGCAAGGAGGAGUCACUGGGAAAGGUGGGAACGCAGCUCUUCCAUCAGCGGCUUGAACAGUCCCAACCCCUUGCACUCUGCCACUGGGACUACUACCUGUACUUCCUUGUACCGAAGUGUUUUUAGAUGCCCGAAGCUUCAUACCUUCUAAAACAGCUUCACUCUUUUGAGUCCGUUCAUUACAUGAGCUUUGAUGUGGCAUGUUCGAGCUCAAAAUGCCUCCUGGAAACUGAGCAGUUUGACCACAGGAACCAGACCCUGCAGAACCUGAGAUGGCUGGGUUCAUUCCUGGCAUGCCAUAUGGGGCGAAGCAAGCAUUACCAACUGGAGGAGCACCUGGUGAGACCCCAAUACCUUGAUGAUAAUGAGAUGUUGGAAUCGCAUAAGCUGAAGUCAUAAAGUUGUCUGUCAAGGGAAUUGGCCCAAAAGGUCCACAUCCUCCACAACCCGAUCCCAUGAAUCCAGGGGCAGUGUAAGGCUUAUAUACAAAUCCUUCUGAGGGGGACAUUACAGGAACUAACCAUUGAAGUCCAGGAGGAGGAUGGAAACACCAAGGAGCCAUUUUGGUGUCAGAAGCCAUGGGAACUGUUGUCGGUCCUGCAUGGGGCCCGAAAUUUGGAGGCUGACCAUUUUUCACAGAAGCGAAGGGUGUCUUCCCAACUGCAUUCUCUGCAAAACAUUCCAUCUUAUGGUUUGGGUUCUCUGAAUUAUCUUUGUGCUUGGCAACAUGAACUGGAGGUGUUACAGCACAUUCUGAUGGAAGGUUCUUACAAGGAGAGCCCUUCAUAGGAGGUUUGGCCAGAUGAACCUCUUCCUCAAGUAAGACAUGUGGGGAUCCUGCGAUCAGUUGCUGAACCUGUAUGAACGAGAAUUUUUAAAGGCACUGUCUUUCCAAGCAAGCAUAAAUUCAAUGAAACCCAUUACCGGGCUAGAACAAGCUACUUAACAAGGACCACCUUACCUUUAUCAGUCUAUGCAACUCGAACAGUUGUACGGAAAACACUCUUUGUUGACUGUAGAAAGUAACAGGAGUUGGAUCAAGGACAAAAAAGCCACAAGAGUUUGUAACAUGUUCUGGUAAGCACAUAGAAGGAACAGCAGAAUCAUCUUGCCUCAACAUUUGUUCACAACCAGGCACAACGUAGCAUUAUUCUUUAAAGACCUCAAUGCAGACCAGAAAUUAAAACCAGGCAAGCACUUGGUUCAAAUAAAAUUUUAAAAAGUUCACACAGGCCAUUUUCUGCAGGAAAUGCAAAAUCUAAUGUUUGAUUUAUUAGUUGAGUGGUUAGUUUUUGUCUAAAAAACCAUGAUGCCUAUUUCCAUGAGGCCACCAAAACUUUGAAGCCUUCUACAACUAUACUUACAAACACUUGGCAGAAAUCAUAUCAUUAUGCACUACUAUACAAAUAGAACCACAAUGGCAUAUUAUUCUACUGAAAACAAGAAGAUAAUGUCACGGGAAAAGAAAUAUACACAAAAGGGGAGGGGAAGGGUGAGGAAGAGAAAGAAACAACACAGAAUUCAAAACUAGAAUACAGUCACUGAGCCAUCCAAAUGUAAAUGUUGAAGCUUCACGCACUGAACUAACAUUUUGGUUCAGAAUAAUACAUGUUUUCAGCUCUUCAAUUUUCUGGUAAAUAAAUUCUUAAGCAUAGUUGCAUACUCAAAACAUAUUCAGUCCAAAAAAUAGACAGGACCUCAAGCCAGCAUUGCAGUUGCAUCAUGUACAUAAUUUACAACUCUGUUUUAAAUUUAAAGAUAUAGAAUCAGUUUAGUUAAAAAAAAAUGAGUACAUGUGCAAAUUGUACAUCAGGAAAAUCACGAAAAAUAUUGGCACAAACAAAAGGAAUUCUGGCCCCAUAAAUCUUCCAACUUAAAACACCAAAGACAAAACAAUUAUAUUCACCACCCAGUCCACCAAUAAUCCCACACUGGCAGUUAUCCUCCAGUUUCUCUCUUCCAUGACUCGCCCAGCAAUAUCACCUGGGAUCAUCCACCACCCCUCGUUGCCUUCUUGCGCCAAGCCCUCGAGUACCACAAAUGGAGAAAAAAAGUUGCAGGGAAAAUUGAGCAACACCAAACCGAGACAGGAAUGUACCCAAAAGCAGAAGCAAAAGGGCAUUUUUGAGAUGAUCCAGUCUCGGGGGCACAUUGACAAAGUACCUCAAAUUAGUAUUGUCCAUCUCCCUGCUGUCAGAUGAUCCGCCAUUAAAACGCUAUCGAGGGCCUUCGCACACAUAAACAUGCCAGAUUGGAAGAGAUCCUGGGAUUCCACACUAGUGAGUUUUCCCUUACCCAUAGCCACGUUUACAAGUCUUCAGUUCAAAAUCAAAGAAUCAUUCCAUGUUCCUAAAGUUAGUAUUCCACGUAGUAUUUCAACAAUAGAUCUACAUUUUUUAAAUAAGAAGAAAACUAAUCCCAAGACCAAGAAAAUGUAGAACCUUCCUGGAUUCCAUUUAUCAUUCUCUUCCCCCAUAGAAAAAUAACAUCACCUUAUGUUUUCCAAUCCUAUCAGGAAAACCCCAAAAUUCUACAGUAAACUUAAAUCAACAACUAUAAUUACAGGCUGCCCUAAUCCAAGAACAGAGGCGAUUUUUACAAAUAUACAGCCACAAAUAACAUUGGAACUAUAGCAAAAUUAUUUUAGUGUUCUGAGAAAAAGCCAUUUUUAGAACAACAAAAAAUAUGAACAUAAAUUCUGAAAGAAUAUACAUACUCUCAUGUUUCAAAUUAAGAGAACACAAUAAAAAUGUAAGAGCAUCAAGAUCAAAGCAUCAAAAUCAAACUCACUAAAAUCUAUAGUGGAGCCAAAGAAAUCUGCUAUGUCUGUAGAGUAUAUUUUUGUGUUUCCCUUUGACAUGAGACAAACUCAAAGGGGAAUGCAAGGCCACAGACAACAAGAUGAGAUUUUUCCAUGUUCUCAUUUUAAAAAAAAUAUGACACUGCAAAAAUUUUAUGAAGCCAAAACCUGUAAUAAUUUCAUCCAUUAUAUAAGAAUAUGCUAUCAAUCACCACAUUUAGAAAAACCUUUCUGUGCAAACCUAAAAUAUGAAUUUUCCAUGACGAAAAAAUCAUGAGUAGCAGUAAGUGAGCAAGAAGACUUACUUGGCAAUUGCUCUUCUUGCUUUCCAGAAAUGUUUCUGACCAAUAAUUCCCACAACAUCAUCUGGAGAAAUAUCCAACACUGAUACAGAAUCCACCAUGGAGGUCUCAGAGGCAUCAUUGCUUUUGUCUCCAUUUCUGAAUUGCAGUGACCCACAAGUCUUGUCUCCAAAACAUUCGCUGUCAAUUUCAGGUUCAUUGGGACUACUACAAUCCUUCCUCAAAUGAGAGUCAUUUCCAGGCUGAAAAAUGUUUAUUUUCUCCUUUUGCCUCCUCGACUCAGGAACAUGGUCACCAUGUUCACUGUGAUUUGAUUGCAACCUAGCUGAAGUCUCUUGUUGCAAACAAGUAUCAUUUUCAUGUAAUCUGGUAAAAUUAGACACAAGGUUAUUUCGAUAUUGCUGAUUUUGAGAUGCAUUGCCUUCUUCAGGAAUGUCAUUCUUUUCUCUGGUUCGCAAAUUUGUGGAAUGUCUUGCUAUAUGAUCACUACUUGAGACACACACUUCUAGGUUAUCUUCACUCUGGUUACUUGUGUCUGGUCUCAGAUUGAGACCUGUGGAGCCAAUAUGACCAUUAUCACCAGCAUUUUGGAUUCUCGAUGAAUGACCCAAAUAAGUAGGGCAGAGGGAAGCGAGUUUUUCCUGAGCAGCACUAGUCUGCAUUUUAGUCUGACCUUGACCCUUCCCGGAAUGAACAAAAACAGGAACUGUAAAAUCAUCUUCUUCACCUACCUUCUUUCGUUGCAUCAGCGGUGCCACUGGAGUGUUCAAAUUUCUUCCAUCAGGCUGGCGAGAAUGGUAUUUCUCAGCCACAUCAGUGGGUGUUGGAGAAGGGACAUAAUGAGGGUAAGGAAAAUGUCUUUCAAGGCCACUGCCCUGCAUAUCAAUUACUCAUGACGAUCAGAAAAGGUAAAACCACUAUCCCUAUUAAAAGAGAACAAAAGCAAGAAGCAGUCACAUGCACGCAUCCAAAGAAUAAAAGUUUAUAUCAGACCACCAUAACCCCUUCCAGUGCUUGAAACUUGUAGGGAACCAUUAUGUAAUACAAAUAGUUUCUCUCAGGUGAAAGUUUCUCUUAAACAUCCCAAUAAAGACCCAGUAUCAACCACCAUCAUUAUCUCUCCGAGGAGCUAAUGGCAUAAGAAUGCCUCAUAGUUAAGACAUCAUAAAUACCAACUAGCAGCAUCACCAUAUGGAACACAUUCAUUACCUUCUAUGGCAAUAAUGUUCAACCUAGUCAUAUUACUCAUUAAACAGAAAAUAGCUUGUUGGCUCCUUCACCAUAGUCAACAACCAUAGCAUCAAGCUUAAGGAAAAAUAAUGCUAAACCACUUGUGCAUGCUUCCACAUAGAAACCAUGCUUUUAUUCUUCUAAUAAGCAGUAACGAGAAGAAAUUCUGAAAGACAAUACACAAAUAAACCACCUUAAACAUGACACGGAAAAGGACCAAUUUAAGUGAAGGGUUCCUCAAACUAUAAAAUUUACAACCAAAAACAACUCAACAACCAUAUAACAGCCAUGGUAUGAAAUUAAAACAAGUCAAAAGACCAACUCUAACGAACCAGAAGCAUUCUAGAUCAUUACUAAAUCUAAUUCCAAACCAGAACUUCUCUUGCUCAGAACCAACUCUAAUAAACAUCACUUGCAAGAAAAGUCGCAUAGAGAGGAAAAAUCCAUAUCGAAAGAUAAAUAACAACAGAUAUAAAUACAUCAGAAAGUACCUGGCUUGAGGAUCCUGUAGGAGCUAAGUCGCUAGUAUUACUCGAAUUACGAGGCAAAACAUCAGGAUUAAACCUUUGAGAUGGAAUACUAAGUUGCUCAUAAAGAGCCAUCUUGUUCCUUGGGGGAGCUCUAGGCCCUCCUUUAUCUGUAUCAUUCACAUGAAGCCUAGGAAACAUAGGCCCCAUUAUCUUAUCAUAAUCUUUCCCUCUCUUCAUCUCCAAAUCUCUCAAUUUGUCUCUCUCUAUCUCAAAUUCCACACAAACUCCUAAUAAAAAAUUUUAAUUUCACCAUUAACCCACCAAAUAACCCAUGAACCCACCACUCCAGGAUCAAAAAAAAAAAAUCAAACUUUAACCAAAACCCGCUUCAAAAACUGAAAUUUAUGCAGAUCCAGAUUCUGAAAUCAGUUCCUCUUCUCAAAAACCAAUCAGUUAACCGAGACCUCCAAAAUCAAAACCCACUAGGCCAAAAUAUCCCAAAUUUAUCAAAACCGACUCAAUAUUUUAAUAAUAAAACAGAACCUCAAGUACCCAGAUAGACCAUGUCUCCAAAAGAACUAAAAUCAAAGCGACCCAGAUGCCAAAAGGGGUUGUUUUAGCCAAAUAAGUGAGUAAAAACGUGCUUUGAAGCAGGAAUAAGAGAAGGAAGGACAGAACAUAAAGAGUGUGGCAUUUAGGGUUAAAAGAGACCGGAAAUAAAAAGGAGAUUCGAGAAACGAUAGGAUUGGUCGAAAUAGUCUUUGAAAAGGGUAAAGGGCAAAAAAGUGCUAGAUGGUGGACCCCUUUUGGAUAGAACGAGAACAACUUUAUUGUGUGGUUCAUUCACCUUGCCUCUUGCCAAUUUGUAAAUUUUUUUUUUUUGGUCCUUUUUGUAUUAAUAUCUGUUGCAGACAUGAAUCCAAUAAAUAUCGAACAUCCCUUUCAGUGUUUAAUCCAUUGUUGGAGUGGAUAAGCAUGAGCAUACAAAAAUCUAUAGUGCAAGUUGUUCAAACUUUGAUGAUCGUAUCGUAUAAACCAAUAGCUGGAAAUCCAUUGGAAAUGGAUUCUGAAAUUCAAGACAUCAGCAUCAUGGGUAUAAUUUUUGUCUAAACAGUUCGUGAAAGCAAAUAUAUACUCUUCUAUAGAUGUGAGCAGCCACGUCGAGGAGAGAGUGGACUAGUGCCAAAUUUCGUAACAUAUUAUAAAAUGCAAUUCGAUUUCAAAAUUGACAUGUGAAAAGCUUCGGUAUUGAUUUGAGUUGAUAUGAACGAAUAAAAAAAAAUUAAAAAUUAAAAUGAUAUCGAUUUUUAAAAAAUAAAAAUAAAAGUCACUGAUUAGAGCAAAUAAUAAAAGGUUAUUAGAGUACAUCUUAUUUUCUUUCACUCUUACUCUCUUUGAUAAAUAAAAAUAGGAUCCGUGUUUUGUUUUUUUUUUAAAAAAAAAAGGUAGAGAUCUAAGGAUCGAAAGAAAGCUACACUUGUGAUUUAAUCCAUGAUCCGUUGAAUAUCUCUUCUAAUAAUAAUAAAUAAACAAAACAAUUCAUGAAAAUGUUACGAGAGAGAAGUUGGAGAUCUUGAAGUUUCUUUCUCCUUAAUUCGCAAAUCUCACCAACACCCUUAGAUUUUCAUGCCCUCAACCGAAUUAGAGCAACCUUUAUAUAAUAAACUUCUGGUUUAAUGAAUAUUCUAUUUCCAUGCUAGCUCUCUCUCUCUCUCUCUCUCUCUAGACUGGAACUUCACAAUCACCUACCUGUAGACUGUAGAGCACUGCCCUCCCUCGAACAUGCAAAAGAAAAUACCAUACUCCCUUGUCCCUGCACUCAUUGCCAAGCAAUUCGCAAUUUACACCAUUUGUUUUAUGUUCCUCAUCCUUAGCAUUGCCUUGCCUUAAAUGACAGCUUAUUAUGCACAAAUUUAAUAAACUUGGCCCGAAGCAAGGCUGUAUAAUGAGUUCUGUGAGUUAUUUUGGGUUGAUUUUGAUAAAUCUAAAACAAUAUUAUUUUUAAAUUUUAUUUUUAAAUGUUAAAACUACAUUAUUUGAUUAAAAAAAGGGGGGUUUGAUAGGAUCAUUAAUUUAAUUUAAUUUACUUGUCAUGCUAAUUAUGUCAUAUCAAAUCAAAUUUCACUUAAUUUAAUAUAAAAUAUAAUUUAGAUUGAGGAUGGGGAUUAUGGUAAAAUUAUCUUUUUAUUAUUUUUUAAAUAUAGUAGAAAGUCAAUUACCUUUAAAAUCAUUUAAAAAAAAAUGGAAUCUAAAAGUUUUUUAGUUUUUUUAUUUUUUUAAGCAUAAUAAAAUAAUUCAAUUACCAUAAAAGCAAAAAUUUUAAAACUUGCUUCCAAAAGCUUUUCAUUUUUUUCGUUAUGUUUUUUUUGUUAUUAUCGAGUUGAAUGGGGGCAAUUUAGUAUUUUAAUUAAUAUAAAAUAUUGUUUAAAUAGAAAGUGGUUGACGCGUGCAACAUAAGCGCAAGCAUAUGAGAAGCGUUCACGGUCUUUAGGUAGCUAGUGUGGCGCUCCCAACAAUAAAAAAUUACCUUUUGCCGUGUUAUUGGAAUCCUUGUGGUGUCUUCUUUCUACUGGUACGGCGCGUAGAGGCAGCAGAGGAAUAAUUUUUGUAGGCAGAGCUUUCUUUUUUUCCCUCUUUUUUUUCUUUUGUCCUCAAAACUUACGCUGACCAUUCAAAAUUUUAGAAUUUUCCUUUUAGUUAUUAAUAUUCAAUUUUGGUUAUUAUUCUUUUAAUUUCUAAUUCUUGUUCUUAUCGCUUUUAUACAAUUCUUAUUUGUUUUUUAUUUCAUCAUUUGAUCCCAAUUUAUGAUAUAUUAUUUUUUGUUUUCAAUUUGGUCUUUUUUUUUUAUUGUGUCACUUUUUUGGGUUUUUUUUAAGUUUAUUUUUCUUUUUAAUUUCACCGUUCAAUUAAAAAAUAGCGGUUGUCAUAUAAUUUAUUUUUUAUUUUAAUUUUGAUCCUUAUUCUUUGAAUUGUUGUUUUUUAUUUUGGAUCCUUUUGUAUAAUUUGAUAUAUUUUUUUUAAUUUUAUCCUCUAACAUUUUAUUAGUUGGGGAUUGAGCUUCAUGCUUUUUUCAAAUAUGGUGUUUUUAAUCUAACAACCCAAGUUACAAGUUUAAAAAGUUAAUGCGGGUUGACAUUGUUUUUUUUUACCUAUUUUCUUUUUCGAUUUCAUCAUUCAAAAUUUGAUUUUUUUAAAAAAAAAUAGGCUUUGUGGUUUUCUCUAUGUUCUUUUCUAUUUAGUUACUCUGAUCUCUUGAGUUGGGUGUAAGUUUGGUGAGCUGGCUCUCCCCUUAUUACCAAAGUUAAUGUUUAUUAUGUUAACUCAAGUUGAGUCGGACUAAUUUUUUUAUUCUUUUUUUUACCCAACUUCAUUCUUUCAUCCUUAAUUAGCUAAGAAUUAAGCUACAUUAUUUUUUUCCUUUUGAAAUUUUUUUUUUUUUCAUGUUAUUAUGAUUAUUUUUUUUUAGUUGGUUCAUUUAUUAUCACUGUCUAUUUUUUAAUCAUCUAAUUAAAAUAAAGCAACUUACUUGACCCAAUCGGGUCUAUAAACCGAGUCACAAAUUUUUCUUUCUUCUUUAAUACGUGCUUGAGAUACUUAAAUAUCAUUUUUUAUAUAAAAAAUUAAGCCUCAUGUCAUAGAGCGGGCCCACGUCUAGUGCAAUUCUAGACAUAACCUUAAACUAGGUUAUCUUUGUGAACUAAACUAUAUAUUUCUCCAAGAUAUUAUUGUUGGGUUUUUCAAAACACAUAUACACAACAUAAAUGGUGAGUUUAAAUUUUUUUAGGAGUCUUAGGGAUACUAUUAGACAGAUCUAGAGUUAUUUAAGGUUUAUUUAAAAAUUACUCGAAGAUUAGAUGUUCUUUUUAGUUUUGAAUAAUUGUUCAAAGGUCGAGUUGUCGCAAACCACAAGUUGUUAAAGUGAGAAAUCUUUUGAACCCUUUUAAGAGAGAGAGAUUGUUAUACAUUUGAGUGCUAACUUUUUUCUUUUGUGUUUUUCAAGUGUUAUGUAACUUACAUAGUUUUUGUAUUCUUUUCAACAUAAAAAAUAAGAAACAUAGCAUUCGAUAUAUAAAAAAAUCUAAAAACCCUAUAAAUGAUAAAAUAUCAAUUACCCUCUGAAUAAUAUCACAUGUUAUUUCAGGACAAUUUUAGAAAUUUAUUCAAUUAAGUCCAUACUUGAUUUUUCUAGGUCUAAAACUAUAAUUCCUUGUUUAAAUUACAUCAUAGUCCUCAAUUUCUAAAAUUUAUUUACAAUCAAGUCACAUUUGAUUAAUUAUCCCAUUUUAAUAUCUGAACAAUGAUUUUUAUAUGUGUGACCAAUUAGGUUCCUUAAUAAGUUAGCUCAAAUAUGAAUAACAACUAUAAAUAAAAUAGGAUUAAAUAAAUUAAUUUAUUAUCAAUUCAAUAAUUGAUUGGUUUAUAUUUGAAGAUCAAAUGCAAUGUUUAGCAACCAAUUAGGUUCCUCUGACAUGUGUUUAUUCUUCUUAUAACUUUUUGGUGACAAACUCGAAGAUAAUCUGAAAUAGGCUGCAAGUGGAGUACUCAUUGGCUUACGGUCUUGCAUGCCAAAAUACUCAAGUAUCUUCUUAAGAUACUUUAUAUGUGAUAAGUAUAACUUGUUAACACUUUGAUCUUUAUAUAUCUCCAUCCCAAAACCUUCUUAGCUGCACCUAAAUCUUUAAUCUCAAACUCACCAUUAAACUUAUCUUUCAAAUUGUUGAUCAUAGAUAUGUUUUUAAAGGCAAUUGAUAUGUUGUCAACAUAUAACAACAAAAACAUAAAUGAACCAUCUAAAAGCUUUAUAAAAUAUACAUAACUAUUAUAAUCACUCUUAAAUUAACCAUAUUCAAGAAUAAAAGUAUCAAAACUUUUAUAUCAUUGCCUCGGUGACUACUUCAAUCUAUAUAAUAACUUCUUCAAUAAGCAUGCAUGGUUUUCUUAACCUUAAGCAAUAAAACACUCUGGUUGAUGCAUAUAGAUCCUCUCAUCUAACUCACCAUAUAGAAAAGUUAUAUUGACAUCUAGUUGCUUAAGCUUUAAGUCAAACAAAGCUACCAUAACAAACAAUACUCAUAUGAAACUAUGCUUUACAACUGGAGAUAACACUCCAUUGAAGUCAAUACCUUUUCUUUGUGCAAAACCCUUUAGAAACUAAAUAUGUUUUAAACCUUGCAUCCGCAACCCCUAAGAUUCCAUCUUUCAUCUUGAAAACCCUUUUGCACCCAAUAAUCUUAUGGCUAUUUAGUGGUGUAACAAACUUAUGUUUGAUUAUUAUAAAGAGACUUAAUCUCUUUAUUUAUAGCAAGAAUCCAGUGAAAAGAUUCUUUGCAAGAAAUUACAUAGUUAUUAGAAAAAGACUCAUGAUUAUCAAUAUUUUUUGCAAUAUUCAAGGCAAAAUCAACUAGAUCAGUAUAAUCAUACUUGACUAGUGCUUUUAUUUAUCUUUUUUGUUUUCUUGUAGCAAUAUUGUAAGGUUGUUCUUCAAGUACAUUUUUAACAACAAUAUCCUACACCAUUUCCUUAACAUGAUCUAUUUAAGCAUAUUUUUGCACUAUUUUUGAAGCUUCAACCUCAAACUCCACAUGUGUUACUAGUACCCUGAUCAAUCUCAACAUCAAUACCAAUCGAUUCCUUUUUCUUAUGAAACAUAACAUACUCAUCAAAGGUUACAUCGUUGCUAGUAAUAAACUUAGAUGACUUGAGAUCAACACAUCAUAAUUGUUAUUCUUCCACCUCAAAUACAUAGCUUAGGAAUAUGCAUUUCCUUACUUUUGGCUCAAGUUUAUCUUCCUUAACAUGAGCAUAAACAAUAUGGUAUAAAGAAAAUGACACCAAUAAUAGUUAAGCUAUAGCAAAAUUAUUUUGAAAUAAGUCAUUUGAUUUACCUGAAUAUGUCAUGUAUGAUCUCUCAAUCUUUUAAUGAUAUGAAUAAUAAAAUUAAAACUUAUUUGGUCGGUUGAUAAAAACAAAAGUUUCCAAUGAUUUAGAAUUUUGGUAUUUAAAUCAUGUCGGUUUGGGAUUUGAUUUGAAUUAAGUUUAAAAAAUUAAAUGAAUUGAUCUAAUUUAAAUUAGAUGAACUCAUUGUAAAUUUAGAAUCUUAUUAAAACAAUUAUAUUUUAACUUUUAAAAAAAUUAAAAUUAAAAUAAUAUCAUUUUAAUUUAUAUAUAUAUUAACCCAUCCAAUCUAUAAAUUAGGUUUUGUGUCGGGUCAUAACCGGUUAUGGUUUAAUAACUUUUCCUUGGUUGACCCUUGAAAAGAAACGAAUACAGGGAGAGGGCCCUUAAUGAUUUUUAUAAUUUGAACUUUGGAUUCGCUUUCACACCAGAAUUAAUAGCUUUCCUUUUUUCCAUUUCCAACAAAAAAAAAAUUAAAAAGAAAAAUUAAAAGCGAGACAAGGCAAGGCCCCAAGGAAAGGCAGGGCAGGUUCAAAGGUAUUAUUUUAAGAAAGGAAGGGGAAAAGGGAAAUUGAACUUGAUGGUUCAAUCGCAUGGCUUCCUCUUCUUCUUCCUCUUCUCAUCAGACUCGCGUUCCUUUCCCUUCCGACCCAGGUAAUUCCUUCUCUCUCUCUUUUUUACCAUUUUUUUUAACCACAAUCAAUCCAUAAAUUAACAUUUGUGAUUGUGACUGUAUAAAUUAUACGUGAUCAAAAUUAAAUUAUGCUUUAUGUGAUUUUAUAUUAGGUUUCCAUCUUACAUUUUAACUAAUAAUUAUUGAUUAAUUACAGGUUUAAUUAAAUCUUAAUGCAAAUUAUUCUAAGUUAGCUAGCCUCCUUUUGAAGUUACUGGUUUUGAAAUUUCUAUGUUCAAAUAAAAUUCAUGCGUUUUGUGUUAUGGAAAGCAGGCGGUAAACCACUAGAUCAUGAUGUUCCGAUCCAUGUUGUCACCGAACCUUCUCAGCUUCCGGUCGAGUUCCUUAACCCUUCUGCCGCAAAGCAAUUGAUCAUUGGUUUUGACUGUGAGGGUGUUAAUCUCUGUCGUCAUGGAGCUCUCUGUAUUAUGCAGGUCAGCUAUAGUUUAGUGUUGUUCUGUGCGCGUAAUAGAAAGUAUAAGUUUAUAAUUUUGAUACUGCAUUGUUUUUUUGUCAUUGGUUUUGGCAGCUUGCAUUCCCGGAUGCUAUCUACUUGGUUGAUGCCAUUAACGGUGGAGAGUCGCUUAUCAAAGUGUGUAAGCCUGCACUCGAGUCGAGUUACAUCACAAAAGUUAUUCACGAUUGCAAACGGGAUAGCGAGGUUUCUAGUUGAAUUUGCUUGAUUCUAGAUGUUAUUAGCUUUUUAUGAUGUGCACUAGUACCAGCCUUUUAUCAAUGUAGUUAAAAAUCAAUUUUAUUUUGUAGGCAUUAUAUUUUCAAUUUGGCAUCAAGUUGCACAAUGUUGUUGAUACCCAGGUGAGUAACUAAUAGGUGGAACUGGUAUUCUAUUUGGGAAUUUUUUUAAUAAUCCUUUAUGCACCAUAGUGCAUGUUCUUCAAGCAUCGACAGUAAGCACUGAGGAUAAGGUUUUUCUGUUUAAUUGAUAUUGUUAAUUUAUCAAAUUAUCUAUAGACUAGUGGCAGACUGUUAACGAGUCUUACUGAAUUGACCUGGCAAGAGCAUAUUCUGUGCUCUUUAUCUCUUUUGUAAUGCACAUUUAAACUGCUCUUUUUGGGAGCUGGGGGGGUUGCCAUUUGCCAAGUUGGAUGCACACUAAGUUAACUUUGGGGUUAAUCUAGAACCUCUUUGGUGAAGACUGUAUGAAUAUGGUGCUCAUGAGGGCUUGAGAGUUACACUUAAAAAAUAAACAAAGUAGAGUGUUGCGAGGACAUUAUUUAACCAUUUAUAUUUGAUUUACACUUUGAUGUAUGAUCAGCUUUAGGUGUGCAUCAUAAUCUCUAUUAGUUGCUUUUAGCAAAGAUCAAUUAUAAUUGAUACUGCUAUGCCUCUCUUUUAGUUUUUGAGAUCAGAUUUGAGCAUUCACUAUCGUUGUGGUUAUUGCUUGUAUUGGCAUAGAGAAUUAUCAAUCUGGAGCUGUCAUUUUAAUUUUAAUACAUAUUUGUCAUUUUGCUUGUAGAUUGCUUAUUCUCUUAUAGAGGAGCAAGAAGGACGGACUAGAUUGCCAGGGGACUAUAUAUCAUUUGUUGGCCUCCUUGCAGAUCCACGCUAUUGUGGUACUUUAUAGUCUGUGGUAUCCAUUUGUAUUAUCUGUUUCAGGGCAUAUAGCUUGAUUGUUGUGUGAAUACAUUCCAUACUUGCUAAAAGUUUUUGAUAUAACAAAUGGAAGAUAACUCCGAUGUCUUGACAUCAUUUCCUGUCUUUCUCCUGUUAAAGGACUAGUGUUGCAUUAAUGCCUAUAGUUUAAUUAUGCUCGUGGGUGCAUCUUGAAAGCUACUCUCCGUUGUCCCUCUUUAAUAACAAAAAAAGAGGUUGGGAAACGAGUCUUAUGAAAUCUUUAGCACUCAAUUGGAAUCACAUUGCAAUGAACUGAUGGGAUUAAAGUUGUUUUGGAUUGAGAAGUAGCUUCUAGACAUGAUUCUUACUACAAGGAGGCUUCUGACUUCUGUAGGGACAAUUUUUGUCUUUCCUAUAUUUCCCUUCUCUUCUCUUUUAAAGUCUGCAUCAUAAUAGCAUUUAGCUUCCUGGUCUAUGUAUUGUUUGUUCGGUAGGAAAUGCAGUAGCUUUGACCGACCUUAUUUUUACUUGUGAUUAGCACUUUGUAGGAAAAUUGAUAAACACUGCAACCUUUUUCAACUACUCAAGCAUUUCCUACCAGUUUGCGCCACUGGUUUUUCUUCUUUAAUUGAAAGUAGAUUCGUAUGAGAGCAGCAUUUGAAUGUUCUGAUUGGACUUGUUAAUCUAAACUGAUGUGGGACAACUCUGGAUUUGUGUCCUACAAAGGAUUUGUGGCGAGAGCUAGAUUUGGGGGAUGAAUUUAUAAAAAAGAAAGAAAAAGGUUUUUGACCGAGGUUACUUUAGUGAGAAAGCAGUUCAAGAAAAGGAGGAAAAACAAGAAGAGAAUAGCACUUGAAUAGAGAGGAAGUUCUCAGGCACGAAAAGCCCUAAUGGUACUAAACUAAAUGGAAAUAGAAAUUUGGAUAGGAAAACAAAAUACAUAACUAAUAGAAAACUCCUCAUGGUAUUCGAGUUCCCAAAUAAGCCAUAAUUAAUAUAUAAUAAAUUCCUGAACAGAAGCUUCUUUGUUCUUGGUUACAUCAUAAACCUUCAACCUUCCUGAACAAAUUAAGCUUACAUAAAAUCUAGAUUAUACAGAUUAAAAAUUAAGGUAUUCAGAAACUUCUUUGUUCUUGGUUAAAUCAUAAACCUUCAACCCAGAGUAAAGAUUUUCUUGGUUUGUCUGCAAUAACUACUAAUAUUGUUCUCCUUUUUUUUAUUUUGAAAACAAGAAUACUUAUCUGCUCUUAUUCUCAUUGGCUUGCUAUUUGCUUUUGACUGGACAUACUUUGUGGUAUCUAGUUGGCAAGAAAAUUGACUUCCUGCAUCAUUCAUUGUAUUUCUGAUUUUUAUAUUUUGAUGAUUUGAAUGCAGGUGUAUCUUAUCUGGAGAAGGAAGAGGUUCGUGUUCUCCUCCGACAGGUUAGUUUAAGCAUCUGACUCUCUCUCACUCUUCAAGUAAAGUGGAGAGAGCUAUAUUGAAAAAGCUAUUCUCUAAUGCCUUGGUUUUGAUUCCAAAAAAAACAUUUUGGCUCUUUGGGAAGAUAAAGUAGUGGCACUAGCCAGUAACAUUUGCUUUCACUCUUUCUUUGACUUUGAACACAUUUGCCUCUCAAGUUUGCACUCCUAAGUUGCUAUCCUUCUGUUGCUAGAUUGGUGAAGGAUGCUUCUGUUGUGCAAUUUAGAGUUUCGUGAUGUGCUGGCAUGUGGCAUUCAGCGUUUAGACAAGGACUUCUUUAACUUCUGAAACUUACAAGAGAGUUAGUGUCUCUUUUCUAAUGGUUGGUUGAAGAUAUAGUAGAGGCAAUGCUGCAAGCUAUGAGAUCAAACCAGCGACCUUAAGGAGUGCAUUCUAGAGUCUCCAUACUUAUUUUUUAUCCCAUGAAUAUUAAAAAGGAAAUAUACCUCAGCAUACUUAUAACAAGAUAACCAAUGGUGUUUGUACUUCAAAAAUUUUAUUCGAGUUCUUGCACUCUAAUAUUUUCUAUUUAAGUUUUUGUGUGCAUUUAAACAAUGUUCAAUCAAGUGCAUUUGUCCUGGAAAGACCCUUUUGAUCACUGAUGUGCAAUGCUCUUUGGAAUGGUAUUUUCUGAACAAUUGCACUUGAGUGAUCAUUUUUUAGAAGUUAAAAGACAUUCUGAUAUAAUAGAGGUAAUCAAUUAGUGAUUUGGAUAAACUACAAGAACCAAGGUUGUGAGUAUCUCUUUUUAUGAUUUUGACUCUGUGUUUAUUUGCACUUGCAUCUUCUCUAAGAGCUCAAGAGAAAUUUGUUCAGCUACUGCACACCCCCUUUGCGGCAACACCCUGUGCAUUUUCUUACAGCUGGUAUUUCCUGACAUUAUUGUAUCUUUCUAUUACUUUCAGGAUCCUAUGUUCUGGACAUACAGGCCAUUAUCCGAAAUGAUGAUCCGUGCAGCUGCAGAUGAUGUUCGUUUUCUUCUCUGCAUCUAUUAUAAGAUGAUGGAAAAGCUGAACGAAAGAUCGUUAUGGUAUCUUGCAGUUCGUGGAGCAUUGUAUUCUCGAUGUUUCUGCAUUAAUGAGAAUAAUUAUGCUGAUUGGCCCGAUAUCCCUCCUAUUCCAGGUUUUAUGUUUUAUCAACCUAUCCAUUCUGCACUACUUCUUGUUUCCCAAUCUUCCUGGAAUCGUGUUACCAACUCUGUGGACUUGGUUUGUAUGCCAUGUUGUUUUUAAUAUACAUCCAAUAUGGAUAAAAGAUAAAAGCGGUGCCAAACUCUCCAAAUUGGAUAGUUUUGCACUACAUUGUAUUGGCUUUAACUAUUGGGUUUCAUUGUUGGAAACUAUGGGAAAGGAUUUCCAAUUGAGAAAGUUUGUUAUUUCCCACAAGAUAAUGUCACUAACAAUCUAAAGAUUUGAAAUGAGAUAAAGUUCAAGUGCAGUGCAUGCAUGUGGGUCUAGAUUUUGGAUAAGAAUGGGUUGUGUAUAAGCAAGCUUUCAGCACACCAACUGUAAAUGCAUGCACACCCUAAAAUAAGAAUGUAUAAAGAAAUAUAGCUUACUAGCAAGUAACAAGCAAUCAAACUGAAUACCUGGAUCUUGUUUGACUUGUUGUUUAGCAUGACCUAUUUUGGAUGGACUUCGUAAAGGAAGGUAAUAAAAAUGCUUGACUAAAUUGAAUACUGAUCUAGCUGUGCCUUCUCAUUAUAGAUAACCUCAACAUUGAGGACAAUGCCCCCGAGGAGGAAAUCCUUUAUGUUCUUGAUGUUCCCCCGGGAAAGAUGGGACGUGUUAUUGGAAGACGAGGAGCUUCCAUUUUGUCAAUAAAGCAAUCUUGCAAGUAUGUCUCUCUUCUCCCUCCCCUCACAUAUUCUUUUGUAAUCCAUAUCAUCAAUUCGGUUCUCUUGUUCUUUAAUCUGAGCAUGUGCUUCCUUUUGCAGUGCGGAAAUUUUCUUUGGAGGUGCGAAGGGUCCACCUGACAAGGUAAGUCUAUCAAAUUAAUGAUGAUAACUAGCUGCCAGGUGAUAACCUUAGCCUUGGUCAAAAUCUAGCCAACUUAGAAUUCAAGUCGAUGCAAAAUGAAACCUGCUUUGAGAUUUCCGUAUUCAACCACCAUAGAAAGCGUGGGAACCUUCUUGUAUUUUGAUUAUCUCAAGAAAAAUAACAUUAUUAGAGACUCACAAGAUAAAGCCGUGGAAGAUAAUCCACGCUGUCUUUGUUCAGGAUUUACUUGUAUUUAUUUGUUGUCAUCCUCGCGUGUAAAUGUCGACUAUUUUCUUGUAGGCAUUCAUAAUAGGACCAGUGAAACAGGUGAGGAAAGCAGAAGCCAUGCUGAAGGGGAAAAUGGUGGAUAUUUACUAGGGAGCUUGAUGUUUCAUACCUGUUCAACUUAAAUGUAAUAAUAGCAAGUUUGAGAGAGAAUUUGCCUGCCUAAACUUCUGAUGUCUUGCCUUCCUAAUUAAUACUAACUUGUUGAGUGUCUGCUGGUUUCGUACAAUUAUCAGCAUCUAUCUUUGCAUCUUGGAGGCAAUCUCAAAUGCGAAUAAUUCUGAAAAUAUAACUUUUGGUUGGCAAUUUAAGGAUGACAAUCUCACCGGCCACUUUCUCGCCAAUUUGCACCCGAAAGUGUUUAUUUAACUGUAAAUGCAAAAAGUUAGCCAUAGGAUGUAAAAUCCAGUAAUUUCUCCGUUGAAUCUAAGGCAGAGAUUUUUUUUAGGAAGGCCAAAGUAGAAGGUCCCCUUAACCAUGGGUCCUUGUACAUUGUGAAAGGCGGAGCUCCUAACAUUCUCAUGCUCCAGUUCUUCAUAAAAACAGUUUCUAUGGGUGCCUGUUGCUAGACGCGGGCUUUUACGAAAACAUCCUCUACGGUUUUGUAGAAUGAAAGGUGAUCAAAAGGCUACCUUUCAAGUUUCAGAUCUAGCUCCCUCUGUAUUUUUUCCGUUCCCUAUUUCUUGUUCUUGAUGCAUUGCAUCUGUUAUUGGCCUUGAUGCAAAUUCAGAAAAAUAGCAUACAGUAAACUCCAGGUUUGAAUAUAGAAACAGUUUUGCUCUCACACAGGCAGCGAAAAGAGAUUAAAAAAAACCGCAUCUCUUAACUACAAACAAAAGUGCCACCACAAUGCAGGAGGACUUAAUAAAGACAAUUUUGCAAUCUUUUUGAAACAAGUAAUCUAGUAAAAACCUUGUCAAGAUCGGUGCAGAAUCAGAUCACCGUGUUGUUCUCUUGGAGUUGUGAACAAGAGUGAGCACACCAAUAAGGCAGCACUUGAAAUAUCUUUACCAAACGGGCAAAAGAAUAUGCGGGCAUAAUGGGCGAUAAAGGCCACUUGACAGAAUUUACUUAAAAUUACCAAAGUGGUAUUGUUGGCCACCAAGGCUUGAGAAGAAAUCAUCUCCGCCAGUUGCUUGUGACUGUGAAGCCGUUAACCCGGAUUUACCAAGGCCAGAUCCCAUGCCCAUCGCUGUUCCCAUAUAGAAUGAAGUUGGAGGUCCCUUUUCCCUUUCAUCUAAUCCAUUAGUAAGAUCACCCACGACACCAACAUCUACAAGAGACACCUUCUUGGCUGCAAGGAGUUCAAGUGGCAAGACAAUUCUGACUGAGCCUCAAAGCAAGAAGUACAAUGUUAAAGAAAAAUUGCAGACACUCGCACAGAGAAACCCCAGACAAGAAUAUGGAAUCAAAGUUCAUCUCCAGAACCCUAGACAAAAAUGGUAGUACGCAAACAAAGAGCAUACUUUUAAGACAAUAUAUUUUUUUCCAGAAAGUUUAAAGAGAAGACCACUCCAUGGCAUGGUUGUUACUCCACCAACAAAAUCAUGCCAUUGUAACAGUUUACUUUGAAGCAUUAUUAAAGUAACCACAUUGCUCUCUACCCACGACCCUUGCUAGAAUUUCAUUAGAGAAGAAUAUUGUAGUGUAUGCAUAUUAAAACACAUGAAAAGCCCUGCAUAUUAGGUAUAUAUGCGCAUAAUGAAGCAAAACAAACCAAUUCCAUAUUUGUGGGGAAAAGCCUUGCUAGAAUUUCAUUAGAGAAGAAAAUUGGAGCAGAGCAUGCAUAUUAAAACACAUGAAAAGCCCUGCAUAUUUGGUACAUAUGCAGAUAAUGAAGCAAAACAAACCGAUUCCACAUUUGUGGGAAAAAGCAUCCAGCAUAAACCACAUAGAUAAGCACCAAUAAGGAAGCACGUGAUCCAGUUCUCUGCCACCUGCAUGUGAGCCUCAAAAAAUUGCCUAGUUCUAGCAGUCACUAGGAGCCAGCGAUAACAAAGAUUUCCAUACAACCAUAACAAUCCAAAAUCACACACUCCCAACUAAACAAUUCCGUCCAUGAUGCUACAUUCAAAUGGUAUGCAUGCAGAAUGAAAGCAUCCAGCAUAAACCACAUAGAUAAGCACCAAUAAGGAAGCACGUGAUCCAGUUCUCUGCCACCUGCAUGUGAGCCUCAAAAAAUUGCCUAGUUCUAGCAGUCACUAGGAGCCAGCGAUAACAAAGAUUUCCAUACAACCAUAACAAUCCAAAAUCACACACUCCCAACUAAACGAUUCUGUCCAUGAUGCUACAUUCAAAUGGUAUGCAUGCAGAAUGUUAAGACAUCACACAUGAGAAUGAUGAGCUCAAGUUCUGUUAGAUGUAUAAAAUAUAGCAAUUAAAAUCCAUCAGAAGGGAUUUUGCAUCGUAUUAUUGUCCCACACCAAGAGCAUUUGUGUUCCUUUUGCAUAAUAUCAUGGUUUAUAUAUUUUUAAAGUUCAAAGAUGACGUAUGGAAAUAAAAGGAACUCAGUAUUCAAGCCUCUUUUGACAACUGAGCAUCCUGUUCUUUGUCCGUGUUGUUUGUUUAAGGGUGGGAAAAAGGGAGAUAGUAUGGAUAAAAUUGAAAAAGUUAUCAUGACUCGCAUCAACAUCUGUGAAGUUAAAAUAAAAUUUUCAGUGUAAGAUUUCGAGGAGAAAUUACAGCACGUCCAUAUAUUCUGCAACCAUCCAAAUCUCUUACAACCAGUUUUGGUCAUGUCUAUCUGUGUGAUCAAACAAGACUCUUAGUAAGCCACUCUUGAGAACCUAUUCUUAGUGGUGUUAUCAAAAAAAAAAAAAUCUAACUUGCUUCAUGAAUUCAUGCAUAAAAUAAAAUCAAUUUAAUUGAGGUAGAUCACAUAUAUAGCAUGCAUAUGGAGAACGUUUCUGAAAGGAAACAAUAGUAAGCGAGAAAGAUAUGCUUACGAGCAGAUAUAUUAAGAUCAAUCAGUCCACGGCUAAGCGAAUCUGCCCAUAUUCCAGACUUCACCUGGAAACCCUCCUUCUGUGGAGGAUUGGAGCUUGCCAAAGACUUCCCAUCCAAAUUGUCAAGGCUGCCAUCUUUAAUAGGACUUUGAGUUGGUUCUGAAGAAGCUGGAUUAGAACUAGAAGUGAAUACACCAAAAAGAUCAGAUCCAUCAAAAUUGUUCAUUGGAACUGCAGCAAAUGGGUCAAAGACAUUAGUAUUUGGAGGAUCAGAUUUUGGAGUCUUGAUCCCGGGUUGUGCGACUGGUUCAUCACUAGAAAAGAAGUCAAAUGUAGAAGGAACUGCAGAAGGGUUGGCAGGUUGGGAAGUGAACAGAUCAACCUUUGUCUGCAAAACAAGUCACAACAAAAUUUAUCACCACAGAAUAUCCAAGCAUCCAUCAACAAAGCAUUGAAUUCUGAGCAUAUAUAAUCAUGCCCUCCAGAAAUUGCAAAUAACAAAAACAUUCUCCAACUUCUCGAUAAUAAAAUUGUGAAGCAAAUGUUAUCCAAGAAACUCUAGCAACAAUUCCUUGAAAAUGAUGGGGAAAGCAACUUCUGUCCAUCAGGACACAGAGCUCUACACUAAAGGUUAACUACCUUUGUGAAGCUAACACACAUACUUCAAAGACAAAAGGAACAAACUAAAUCAAAAUCCUUCUUGGUUGACACAAAGUCAAAUAAAUAACAGCUUUCUCCAAUUUGAAAUGGCAUGCAAGAGCCAAAAACUAAAACACAGCAUUUCAUUUCCAGAAAUUAAGAUAGCAAGGUAUCUUACCUGAGUCUGUGAACUUGCUUCCUUUCCAGCUUGGGGAGGUGCUGAUACAAAAGCUGCAUCAGCAAACAGAUCAACCUCUGCAGAAUUCCCAUUCAUGACUAAAGCUUCUGUAGGAACAGAUGGAGGUGCAUCCAUGAGAUCACCAAUCAAACUUUCUCCAAACAAAUCAACUUGGUUUGAGGUUUGAGAAGCAGACUCUGUCAAUGAAGAUAAAAAAUCAAAUAUAUGAAAAUCUAAUGUCAAAUAUAUUAGAAAACAGGAAGGAAUCAACAACUUGGUAUCUUCAGUAGUAAUUUCAUUGAAAGUUUUGUGUUAGAUAAUAUAGGAGCAUGAUUCAUAUCAAAAUUAUUAUUGAGAUGCACUCGUUUCAAUUGAAAUGCAUACCACUGAACAGUAUUAAAAAAGACUUGAGCAUUAAAAGGCACAAAAAGGAAACAACACACCAAAGAGGACUUUGCUGCCUGUUAAUUUCUUGCACAUUCACAAAAACAUAGCUGUCUAAGACUUGGAACACAGGGCAUGGCUUCUUGUCCAUCGGACAACUACAAUGCGUAGAGCCCUCUGACACUAUGCAUUCAAACCACUGCUUCAUCCAAGUAUUGCCACAUGCUCAUCCCAAUUUCUUCACUCAAUUUUUUCUUUCACAAAUACAAGAAAAACCACAAUAUUCUCACUUCAUAAGAAAGCAUCAAUGGUUUUUCAAGGUUCAUUUUGCUUUAUGGAUGGAGUGUGGUAAUUUAUAGUUUCUUAAAGUUACUGAAUCAAGAGUCUGAGCACAGAUUUUAUUGGUUUCAAUAACCAUGCUUCUAUUUAAUGUUUUUUGUUCUAAAUGUCCAGAAACAGAUCUGAGCAAGUAUCCAGGAAGCACAACAUCCCUCUUUGAAAAAAAAUUACUAAAACAUUUUACACUUAAACAGCCCUUCAGUGUUGCUGAAUAGACAGAACACGGGAUAAACAAAGCAAAACUUGAAAAAUAUAUUCAUCCCGAGCAUAUCUUUGACUAAGAUGAAGCAAACGACCACACCACGCAUACAAUAUUCAGAAUACUUACUAGUGCUGGAGGUUCCUCGGGGAUCAAAAUCAUCAAAAUCAUCGUCAUCAUAAUUACUUGAAACUGAGUUUUUCUUAUCAGAGGCAUUUAGGUUAGCAGAUGACCUUGAUGCACGAGAAGACAAAUUAUCUUGAUCCUUGCUGCAAAACAAAUAUUCUGAAAUAAACAAAAUAACAAAACAUAAAAAAUACAGAGGCAAGUCAUAUCGUGUGCCUGCGUUUGUGCAUAUGGCAGAGAUUGUAGUGGAGUAGCUUGUCGUUCAUGGAAAAUGAUACUUAGAAGAAAAGAAAAUGGCCAACAAACUGAAGUUGUGUUUGGUAUUGCGGUCUUGGAUCGCAAAUCCAGAUUGGACGGCAUCGAAGUAUGGUCAGCCAAAGCAUCAACGAUGAAUGUUAUGGUCACUUACAACACACAGGAUCACGAUAAAUUUUGGACCAAAAUGCCAAGCACACUCCAAAUAAUCAUAUCAGCAGUAAUGUGGGCAUUGUUCUCUUUAAAUGAUAAAUUUACUAAAACAAUCAAGAAGUAUAAAAGUAAUGACCACGAAAUUGUAGCUAUGCCCACACAUGCAUAAGGAAAAUAAACUGAGAUUUUCCAGCAGACUAAUGAUAAAAAAUGAAACCUUCCAAAGCCUGCAGAACCCUUUUUCAAGGUGCUGUCUUGAUUGUCACUUAUACCCCUUCGAUGUGACUUCGUGUAGGAAUCCUUUCGACUCUUUUCUUGUUUAAAACUAUCAUAGCUAUCUUCAUCUCCCGUACCACUUAAGCCACCUCCAUACCGAUCUCUACUUUGGAAGCUGCUGCUGCUGCUUCCAAAUGAGGCUGUGCUUGACUUAUAAGAUAUUCCACUAGAUGAAAGACCAACAUACCUAAAAUAAGGCAAACAGUUUAGUACCAAUACGAAAAAGGAAAGAAGCUCAAGUCUAAUACAAAAUAUCAGUUCGUGAGCAUGAACUUACUUAUCACGGUUAGUAGCAGCCUUACUCCUGACUUCGUAUAUUUUAUCCUUAUUGUUCAAAAGGGAUACAAUAGUUUCAGCCUUCUUCCUCACAUUAAGUCCUGAGUCCUUUCCGUUUGGCUCAACAUAUUCGAAACUUGUGAGGGACUUAACCAAAAAAGAAAAUAGGGGAGCUGAAAUGUUAGUGAAUAUUCAAGCUUACUUUGAACAUUGUAGAGACAACAGGCAAUUUUACUUGAAUAUGAAAAUAGUCCUUACUGAUAUCUGGAAUGUGUGUUCUAUUAUGUCAUCAACAGCACGAUCAGAUCCAUGUGCCACCAAAUAUUCUAUGACAGCCAAUGCCUGAUAUCAAAAUGAUUUAACGAAUUAUAGGCUUUAAAAGGGCAAUGUAACAGAACAAGGUCAGGAAGUAUAUAUGAAACUUAUGCUUUUAUAAUCAAAAUCAAAAACUCUAAAGCAGAAAAUUUAAAAAGUCUACCUUGUAAACAAGACGCCAGUCCUUGCCCGUCUCACCUAACCUCGUCCACAGGACAUUCAUGAUCAUUUGACAUUCCGUGCUACACCAUAUUGCAAGAAAACAAAUAAAUAUACGAAAUCAACCCAUCUCCCCUUAACACAAAAUACACCUAAGCAAACUACUUUAGUAAAGGAACAUAAAAACAAGCCAUAACUCACAAUUUUUUAGUAGCUUGCGCGAUCUCAGCCAUUGCAGAGCCAUGUGGACCCCAAGGUGCAUCAUCAGUGGCAUCCAACACCUGUAUUAAUAAUAAUUCACAAAAACAAACGUCACUUAUCAAGAAAAAACACGUACAAAAUCACUAUGAUAGAGUCCAGCAGGCGGCAGAUCCACUAAUAAUUUGAAUAGUUAAUACUUUGAGGCCUACACUGUUAAAUCGAAACAGAAAAUAUGUUCUGUUUAAAAGCCUGUGCUGUUAUUAUGGAUGCUAAAAAAUUUCAUCGAAUCAGAAACUCAAGCAGCACAAAUCAAGUUAAUGCUGUCAGAUUAGCACAAAGGCAGCAUAGAUCAAUAAUGUUUACCAAAAAAGAAAAAAUCAAUCCUAUACAAAUUUAUAAAAUUAGCAUUGCACAAAAUACAAAACUAAUAGGCACCAAAUUGCUAUCGAAUUUUAUCAAUUUAAUUUGAAAAAAUAUAUAUAAUCAAUUCAUUUACGAAAUAUUUAUUACCUUUUGUUCGAUUUCAGGAACCUUCAAGACCUUGAGAUUGACCUCUCUCUUUCUGCAACCAAAAACAGAAAAAAAAAAAAAAGCAUUAGAAUUGAAUCAUAAUCGAUCGAGUUGCAAGAAAAAUGGAAAUGAGAGAAUUGGAAGCUGACAUUUCGCGGACUGUUUGAUCAAAGACUUUGAUGAAAUCCAUGAUGGAUCUGCAAAUCGGUGGCGUCUGAUUAAGAUCUGAACGAAUUGCAGGAUGGAGAAAUGCAGAGAUUUGGUAAGUGAGGAUUGUUAAGUGGUGAGAUCUUGGAUUUGGUCGAAGAGAGGAGAUGCGUAAUCAGGCAGGAAUGUUUCUGUGGUUUUAAUAAUUUUAUUAUUUUGAGGAGGCAGGAGAACGAGGCUGGAACUUAUGUUUUGAGUACCAAUAUCGCUUCCUUUUCUCGAUACUAAAUUAUUAGUAUUGUCUAGUUUUCUUUUUUUCUUUUUUUUUUAAAUAGUUUUUUCUUGCAUGAUUUGAAAUUACCAUGACUUUCGGAAAAAUUAACUCUUAUCCGAGGAACGUAAUAAAAUUGUUUUUAUUUUUUGGUUUAUCAUGCGUAAUAAAAGUGUUUUACUUUCUUUUAUAUAUAUUUUUACGAUAAAGGUAUUUUUUAGUCUGCAAAUCCAUAAAAACUAGGUCUUUUUUAUGAAGAUCUUAGAGAUGCACUUUCUAGAUCUAUUUUGUACAAAAUAAUAAUAAUAAAUUCUUUUAAAUAUUAAUUUCAAUAUUUGAAUGUAAAAAAUUAAAAUAAAACUAAACUUUCUCGUAUAGGUGAUUUGCACUGCACCACGGAUUUAUCUAUUUUUUUUCCAACGGCUAAGACAAUGAUAGCAUUGCUAAAAAAAAAAACACAUCAUUAACUUAAUUGAAUUUAAUAAAAUCAUUUAAUUUAAUAACAUUUAAUAAAAAAUACAAUAAUAAUAAAUAAAUUGGAAGAAAAAUUAACAAUAAAAAAAUGUUAAGAAAACUUGAUUAGGUUAGCACGUCAAAUAUAUGGCUUGGUUGUGAUACCGGGGUAACCCCGUCAAAAGCAAAUUGAACAUAAUCAUAAAACUCAAUUAUCAAACAACUCAAUGUUAAAGGGCUAAACUAAAAGGAAAAAAAAAGUUAACUUUAAAAAAAAAAAUCAAAACAAAUUAAUCCACCAACCCCGUAAUCAAGGGCAUAGGAUUGAUAUAGCCCCGUAGAAAAAAAAAAAGAAAAAACAUGAAGAUCAAUUAUGAAUCAAUCAAAAAAUAAUUUUUUUUAAAAAAAAAACAAAUGUUGAAAGAUAUAAUAUAUCAAUGAAGCAAAAAUUAAAUGAGAACAUGAUAACUUCAUAGUAAACAAGAUUGAAAAAACAUACAAUCCAAAAAAAGUCAAAGAAGAGUCCAUCUUGGUUACACAUGCAAAAUCUAUGACCUAGUUGUGAUAUUGAAGCAACCCCGUUGAAAGUAAUUUUAAUAAAACAAUGAAGCUUAAUUAUCAAACAACCUGAUGUUAAGGGGUGAGAUAACAUCUUUUUUAAAAUAAAUGAAAAAUCCAAUGGAAAACAAAUAAAAAAUAAUAAUAGAGCCCAAUCUCUAAUUAAAUAAAUGAUGAAACUGAAAAACCAUAAGUUUUUUUUUAUAAAAAAAACGAGCAAACCUGAGAGAAUCUUUUAAACCUUGGUUAAUCUCUCAAACUUACAACCUGUGAAAUCUUAGACCUGAACUUAAUCAAAAAGCCAAAUUAUCAAUCAAUUUAAUGUUGAAGGAUCAAACAAAAAAAAUAUCUAUUUAAAAAAAUCACCAAGUAAAAAAAAUAUUAAUAAAAAUAAGGAUCAAAUCUGAUAAAAAAAACUCAAAUAAUGAUGAAAUAGUAAAAAAAAAAUUAAAAUUACCUUAGAUAAAACAAAUAAUAUUCAAAAUAAUAGAGACUAAAUCUGGCAUAUGAAAAAAAAAAUCAAAUGAUGAUGAAAUUGAAAAAAAAAAUUCAAUUCUAAAAAUUAUUUAAUAUAAAAAGAAAAGUAAUCAAAAGAAUAUGAACCAAAUAUGAAUGAAAAAAAUUAAAAAACUGCUUUAAAAAAUUAGAGGGUCAGUCUUGAAAAUUAAAAAGGUUAGAGAAAAUAAGAGGAGAAAAGGUCGUUGGCACCACACUAAAGGUUCGUAGACCACAUACGUUGCAUAAGAAUUAAAUGGAUGUUGAAUGAUUGAACAAAAAAAAAAAAAGGGCUUAAAGAAAGAAAUAAAAUGAAGAAACAAACUUAGACAAAUCUUCUAUAACAUAGAUAACUCUUUCAGACUCACAACCCGUGAAAUUCUAUACUUAGACUCAAACAAAAAGCAUAAUUCUCAGCCAAUUUAAUAUUGAAAGAUUAAAUAAAAAAAUAUUAAUUUUAAAAAAUUACCAAAGUAAAAAAAAAAUAACAAUCAAAAUAAUAAAGAUUAAAUCUAAUAAAAAAAAGAAGGAUAAAAUAGUAAAAAAUAUUCAACUUUAAAAAUUAUCUCGGGUAAAACAAAAACAAUUAAAAAAAUAUGACUAAAUAUGACAUAUAGAAAAAUCAAAGGAGAAAAAAAAAUGGAAAAGGUUAUAACUUUACAAAAGAAAUAGUAAUCAAGAAAACAUGAAUCAAACAUAAAUAAAAAAUAAAUUGAAGGACUGUUUUAAAACUUUUGAGGGUCAUGCGAGAUGAUCGAGGAGGAGAGAGAGAGAAAAAAGAAAACGUCAUUGGCGCCAAAUAGAAGAACAUUGCUAUAUGCACCAUAAAAAAAUAGAGGGGUUAUCGAGAUGAUUCAAACGCUACUUUGAAAACCAGCAUUUAGACUUCAAAUGACACCUCAUGCACCAUCCAUAGAGUAUGGCCACCGCCCACACGCCAACCACCUUUCUUUGAUAAUAUUUAUGUUUGUUAAAUUACCAGUAAAGAAACCCAUUAUAACAAAACAAAAAAAAACAUGAAUGAAAAGAUAAAAGGCCCUGAAUGCAAGUUAAAGAAAUUUUGAUUUCAUAGGUUAUUCAGUCAUUUUACCUUGUUUAAAUUUAAAAAAAGAAAAAAACCCCUUAACCUAUAUUUAAUAUUUUGUGCUUUUAAGGAUAAUACACGAUAAUUGAACAAAAAGUUAUUAAAAUAAAAAUAAAAAAUUAUAAUAAUAUUCAAAAACCAUGUAAAAAAUAAAAAGUAAAUGAAUCUGAUAAAUGUUUUUUGAAGUGUAGAAAAAAAGAAGCGAAAAACAUGCGAGUAGCAGGUCAAGCCUGUGUGUCUGAUCCUAUUUUAUUAACCCGCGAUCUAGGAUAACAUAAGUGGAAGAAAAAUGAAAAAAACAACCAGAAAAUCAAGUCUCAACAAAGCUAAUUUCAAAAGAUAAAAUUGAUUUUUUUAAAAGAAACAUGAAAAGUAAAAACUCAAGCGGAUUCACUCUACCAAGCUAUCAUAAGCUCUUUUUGGAUGUGUUUUUUUAAUAUUUUUCAGGGUCUUGGAAAGCAUAAAUUUAGAGCAUGUUUGAGAGUAUGGUUGCAAUUGCUUUUCAUUUAAAAAUGUAUUAAAAUAAUUAUUAUUUUUUAUUUUUUAAAAAUUAUUUUUGAUAUCAGCGCAUCAAAAUGAUCUAAGAACACCAAAAAAUAUUAAUUUGAAAUAAAAAAAUAAAAAUAAAAUAAAUUUUUUUUAAAAAUAUUUUUAAAACGCAAAAACAAACAGAGUCUUCAAUCAAAGAAAAAGGCUGGAAAGAAAGCUUGGAUUAAUCUCAAUCACAACAGCCCAGAUAGUUUUAGAUCCACGAAUCCACUUCAAGACCAACCCCUGAAACCUCUAGAAGGUCUCUGCUUAUUUCGGCCCCAAGCUGACGACUGGCCUGCAACAACUUUACAAUAUUUCAUUUCAAGGAGAUUUAUCUCACUCUCUUUAAUUAAUUAAUUUACGAAUGCAGUAGACUUGCCAUGCCAAGAAUAAUUUUUUCUAAUUUGCACGCAAAAAGAAUUUUGUAUUUGGACAAUUAAUUCUGUAAGGCAGAAAAAUAUUUUUUUUAGUGUAUUUAAGAGUGUAGUUGUGAUUAUUUUUUAAAGUGUUUUUUCAUUCAGAAAUACAUUAAAAUAAUAUUUUUUUUAUUUUUUAAAAAUUAUUUUUGAUAUCAGCACAUCAAAAUAAUCUGAAAACACAAAAAAAUAUUAAUUUGAAGUAAAGAAAAAAAAUAAAAAAAACUUAAUUUUUUUCAAAAACGCUUUUAAAAUACAAAAACAAAUAAAUACUUAUAGCUUUGUUUUCUUAAAAAACAUAAAACAACGGCUAGCGAAACCUUGAUAUAGUUAUAAUUAAGAUACGAUGACACAUUUAUUUAUUUCAGUUAUUCUUAGAAAUAUUUGCUCAAUGCUUUUUAUUGGAGCAAGUAAUUUUUUAUUUUUUUUAGUCAUGGGAUUUAAAUUUCAAGACAAUAGUGAAAAUUUUAAAUUAUAAAAUCAUAGCAUGAAAAACACUUAGCUAUAAUAUCGUUGGGUAAUUAGAGUAUAAGACAUAAAUCUAAUAAAAGGUUUAGAUACUAAAUUUUUAUAAUCUAUCCUCUUAGAUGCAUUGAAGACUUAUCGAUUUUGAUAUAUGUAAGAAUGAUUUUACUUCUAAGUUUUUACACAUAACAAUUCGGAUAAAAAUGACUCGUGAAUAAAAAAAGAAAUGAAUUUUUAUUUAUAAUUUGCCUUUUAUUUUGCCAUUACUUGAAGACGUUGCAUUUUACAAUGUGCAACAAAUUAAGAAGCUAAAGGAAAGAGAGAAAAAACCCUCACUGAAAAGGCAGAAGCAAAAGCUGAAAAGGUCGAGAGGGCGAAUGACAGAAAGGGUAAUAUUAGUAUAUUACUCAAGAAAAUGAUUUAUCCCGUUUUGCAAUGGCUCUGAAAUGAGUCUCUCUUUACCUUUUGUUUUUCAUCUAAAGGUUGUUUAAUAGUAAACCUUGUCAGAGGUAACUCAAUUGACAAAACCUUGAGUUUGCUCUUCAAUGGUUAUGAAUUCGAGUUUUUUCAAGACUACUUGAGACUUACAUGGUCGUUAAUGUCAGGGCUCGUGAAAUUAGUCGAGGUACACGCAAGCUGAUCCAAAUACCAAUGUUAAUAAAAAAAAUAGUAUUGUAGUGAUUUUUUUUAAAAAUAAUUUUGUUCAGAAAUAUAUUAAAAUAAUAUAUAUUUUUUUAUUUUUUAAAAAUUAUUUUUGACAUCAACACAUCAAAAUAAUAAAAAAAUAAUUUUAAAAAAAUAAAAAUAAAUUUUUAAAAAACACAACUUCAACCACGUUUCAAAACAUUAUUUUAAUAUUUGAAAUAUGAUGUCUUUUUCCCCCCGGUAUAUUUGCUGUUAUGCAGGUGCCCUAAAAUGGCUCUAGAGGCAAAGAAGCUUUUGCAUCAGCAAAUUGAAAAUAAUAGAAAUAGCCAACCAUGCCUUCAAAAUCAGGUACGAAGGCUUACAGAAGAUUUCAUUUCAUGAUAACCACUCAAAUUCAAUUCUGUGAACCUUUAACCUUUCAUGAAAUUUCAGAUAAAAAUGCUCAAAGGUCAAAGCUCGAGCUUAAAGAGUUGACGCCCAAAGCACUGGGCUCCUAGGAGGGAACUUGGGCUCCCCUGGGCUACAAAGAGCUAGAUUGCAUUGCCUUAGAUCCAGCUCAUUAUCCUCACACACCCUUCUAUUUUUUAUUUUUUGAAAAAUUGACAAUUAUAUAGUUUGUUCGAGGCUCGAGUACAUGCCAAACAAUUGAAUCUUGUUCCUUGCUUCCAAGGAUUUCUUUUAUUUGGAUGAUAGAAAAUUUGCUUUUUUUUUGUGCAAUUAAGUCACAGUUAGAAAAUGAAUUUAACUGGUCAAUAUAUAUAUAUAUUGAAAAUAUGAAUGGUUAAGACACCCAUCCAAAAAUAGAAAUGCAUGAUAAAAAUCUAGUGAAUCAAAUUGAGGGGGAUUUAAAAAUAGUUCUUUUAAUUAUUAAAAGAAUAUUGUUGACUUUUAAAAAAGAAUACUGUUUGAAUUUAAUUAAAAAAUAGCAAAUUAAUGUGUAAGAAGUUGUAAAGGCAUGUUUUUUUCACCAACUCCUCCACCUGGUUGAUUCCAUGGACUGUAAUUUAGCCAUUUAAGACUGUGUAUGACCGCCAUAUAAAAUUGUUAUCACGUAGUUAAAUCUCUAUAAAGUAAUAUUCUUGGAAUUAUAUAAAAAAUUAUUAAUUAAUUGUGAUAUUAUUAAUUUAAUUAAAAUGUUUUUAAAAUUUUAAAUUUAAAUUUAGAUUAAACAAAAAUAUUUUUCAAUCAGAGUAUCAAUCUCUCUUAAUUAUUAUUUUUCUUCAAAAAACACUAUUUUUUCUGGCUGGCUCACAACCAGAGAUAAAUAUUAUUUAGUAGAAACUGCAAAACCAUUCUAAAUUUUAAAGAUCAAUUUUUGUUCGGAUUAAAAAAUAAUGAAUCUAAAUUAUUUUGGUUUUUCAAAUUUGAUUUUCACAAUUUUUAAUUCAGUUUGAACCAAAAAUCAAAUAAUAAUUAUUAUUGUUAUUGCUGUCGUUAUCAUCGUAAAAAAAAAAAUGAAAAUCUUAAAUACUUAAAAAAACUUCAUCAAUUAUCAAUUACCAAGAACUAUUUCUAUAAUUGUGGCCAUAGGGAUUUCAGGAUUGAGAUUGUGAUUUUUAUAAAUUGCGUUUGAUACUUUAUUUGGGUAAGUGUAUUUUAAUUGCUAAAUUGAGAUUAUGAAUUAAUAUCAAUGCACAUAACAAGUCAGUCUCCAAUUCCAAGUUCUUUUUUAUUUUGAAGCAUAAAUUUUAUUUAGAAAAAAAAAUUGUUGAUUUUUUUGGCAAAACCUAAACGGAAAAUUUUCAAAAUCCAAACUUAAAUAUAUCUCAGGUUAGGUUGAUCAAAAACCAAACUGAAAUAUUUGAAACUAAGAUUAUAUAGAUGAUAUAGCAUUUGAUUAUUAUUUUAAAAUAGAAAUAAUAGAAAUAAUAGAAACAUGUUCUUUUCGCAUUUCAUGUUUUGAAAGUAUAUAUAAAAAUUGAUUUUAAAAUUAUUCAAUGACAUUUAUUUUUAUAUAUAUCUCUGUUUUCAUUUCUCCAAUCAAACACAUUUUAUUUUCAUUUUUUUUUUAUUUUCAAAAUAAUAACCAAACCCUAUCUAAGACCCAAUAACAUCCAUAAACUCAAGAAGCUAAAUUUUAGAGUUUCCAGGGUUUGUUUUUAUAUUAUUUAAAUAUAUCCUUGAUGUGUGUAGUGUGUGUAUAAUAAUGCAAAUGCAUGUGUUUGCUUUGCUUUUUCUUCUCCAACAAUUUUCAAUCAUAUGCAAACAUUUCCAACUCUUUCUAAAUGGUUAUUUUCCUCCAUUUUCUUCGUAAUUCCUUCUUUUUUUCCACACCAUCACCGUGUCUAGCCCUUAAGUUAAACAGACUCUCUUUCUCUCUCUUUUAUUAUCACUUCUUUAUCAAGUAGUGAGGUCUUUGUGAGUUUUUUCCUUCUUUGUAACCCCCUACAAUUAAUCCUUCACUUCAUGAAACAUAUCUUUAAUUAUUGGUAUUUUUUUUUAUAUAAUCGAGGAAAUAUUUUGAACUUCAAACAAUUUUUAUAGGAUAUUGCAAUCUAUCCUAAACUAACUUCAAGGUUAUAGUCUCCACCCUCCAAACAUCAAGAAGCAGGCAUUCAAUUCUGUGCCAUAGCCAUACGAAAGGUGCUGGGAAGUGUUGAAUAUUCUCAUUAUUAUCGAACCACCUUCUCUUGUUGGUGUCUGAAAAGUGUCAAAGAACCAUCUCAACCUAAUAGCUUAAGCUGUUAGGUGAGGUCCCAAGAUAUGAAUUAUAUUAUUCUCUAACACACCCCUUCAAGUGAAAGCCCUUUGGGCUUAAAACUUGCACAUGCCUACUUUACCUUGUGUUUAAUUUUUAUCAAAUAAAUGGGGAUUGUGAGAUUCGAACUCGUGACCGCUUGGUCAUCAAGGCUCUGAUAUCAUGUCAAAGAACCAUCUCAAUCUAAUAACUUAAGCUGUUAGGUCAAGAUACGUGUAUUAUUCUCUAACAAAAAGCACCUUUCAUUGCACAACUAAUUAUUGGUCUCAAAGUAUAAGCGCGUUAGGCGUGGGGGAGAGAAGAAAGAAUUUUAUGGCUAGCUAGAGAUCAAUUCAAGAUGAUUCACCGGAUUCCUGACGUCUAAUAAUGCUUGAAGCUCCGGCAUCAUGAAAUACAUUCAUAUCAUGCAUGACUAGCAAACUAGGGAAAGUGACAUUACAAAUAAAAGUCAUUGACCUAGAAAACAAAUGCGUGCUAUAUAUAUAAAGUUGUCAUUACAAUUGCACGAACCAUAUGAUGCCUCCAUGAACGGAAAAUAAAAAAGGAAAGAAAGAAAUCAAAGUGGGGGACCAUGGCUGGCUAGAUACAAUAUUAUGCUAAUACAAAACUAUCAAUGUCGUUAUUUUACUACCUACUUGCUUCAAGAUUUUGAAAAAUUUAUCCAAGUUCAAUGAUGGCUUUAUAUACAGUAAUUUAAGUCUUGAGGUUGUCUUUUUCAAAAGAUAAUCCAUUCAUUGACCUGAACUAGCUCUGUAAUGGAGGCAAAACUGAAAGGGACUUUCUCAUUUUAAUAGUAAAUAACUUCGACGUUGAUUAAUUAGUUGAAUAAUUAAUAAAGUUGUCCAAUUCCAAUAUAUAUAAUGCAAGGUAUGCUAUAGAAUUUGAUCAUAUGCAAUAUAUAGAAUUAGAGCAAUAUUACAGAUAUAAUAAAUUAGUUACCGGCUCGAUCUUUCAGAAUCCUAGCUAGGUUAAUGAAGUAGGCCGAUCUGCUCUUUCUAUGGAGUAAAAAGUAUAUUAUUGUUUGGAAUUCAAUCACUAUCAGAAAAUUAGAAAAAAAGCUACGAAAACCUCAACAUAAAAUACUCUAUUGUCUUUCGCUGAUGAGAAUUACUUUGAUGAAAAACUUUCACCGGUAAUUCCUGAUGAAACAGUGAUGCAAUAAAACAUAUAUUUCAUUGUUUUUUUUUGUUGAUAAAAUAAACUUUAAUGAGAUUUAAAUUAUAAUCGCAAGUGAUUAACAAAACUCUGAUACCAUAUCAAAGAAUCAUCUCAAUCUAAAAGUUUAAGCUAUUAGAUGAGACCUCAAGUGACAUCUUGAUUGAAACAGUAUUUUUUUCUUUAACAGUAUUUUCCCUCAAGUGAAAAGUUCUUUGGAAUUGAAACCUACACGUGUUUAUAUUACUUUAUGUUUUAUUUUUAUUAAAUAAAAUAGUGAUUGAAAGAUUCGAACUCGUGACUGCUUGAUUAAUAAAAUUUUAAUACCAUAUUAAAGAACUUUUUCAAUACAAUAACUUAAGUUAUUGGAUUGAAAUGAUUUUUUAAUAAUUUAUAGCUAUAUAAGUAAUUUGUUUAUCUGAGAACAAAGACUGGUGUUUCACCUUUUCAAGCAUUCGGUGUUCAAGACUUCGAAUUAUAGUAGAAUCCUGGUUAAAUUGUUGCUUUGAAAAAAUCUCUCUCCCCUUCAAUAUAUGACUGCAUUUGUUUGGAUCAUUUUUGCAUAACAUUGGCCAAGAUGUCAUUUCCCUUCCUGUUUAUAUAUAUACUUUUUUUUUUCUAUAAUGCAAGUCAAUCAGGUGAAUGUUACUUGAUUUCUUUGGCACCAAAGCCUUAAUUGUUGGCAUAAUAAGAGCAAUCAGGCCUCAAUCAACGUAAUUUCUCUAAUUUUAUUUCUUUUCUUGUCUGAGCAAUGUACUGAUGCAUGCUAUACAUGAAUUACAUGGAAUGACAGGAUACAAGUUUUACAUUUCCUUUGACAGUAAGGUCCUAAAUUGUUCCUUUUUUUUUUUUGCAAAUAAUUUCUUCUUUGGUUGCUAAUAAGAGUUGUAACAAUGACAAUGUGAUGAAAACUUAAUUUCUGAAUUUUUUUUAUUAACGUGGGUGUCCGGAUCAGUUUGUGCUCACCUCGACUAAUCCCACGGGUCCUGAAAUUAACGACGAUGUAAACUUCCAAUAACUAUCAUAUUAGCAAUCAUAGAAUAUUAGCAAUCAUAGUACUCGAACCUGAAAUAGCAAUCAAUUUCUGAACCUUGUUCAAUGCCGUGUAGGCACUGAAUGAAAGAAACGAUUCUUUCUACAGAGAUGUAAUCGACUGCUUACUUUGGAACUAGCUCUAUUAUGGAGGCUAAAACUGAAAGGGACCCUCUCAUUUUAAAAGUAAAUAUAACUUUGACAUUGAUUAAUUAAUUGAAUAAUUAAUAAAGUCGUCCAAUUCCAAUAUAUAUAAUGUAAGGUAUCGAUGGAACUUGACCAUAUGCACAUUAUAAUAAAUGUUUGUCUGCUAAAAUAUCUAUUUCAUUGCUUUGUUGUUUAUUAUGUUUUGGCCACACAAUGUUUUUUUUUUUUAACAAUAAAAAUAAUGGACAUGAAAAUACAUAUAAAAUAAGAGCAAUACUGCAAAUAUUAAUAAAUUAGUUACCGGCCCGGUCUCUCAGAAUCCUAGCUGGGUUAACGGAGUAGGCUGAUCUGCUCUUUCUAUGGAGUCAUAGAAAGUAUAGUAUUAACCAUCUAGGUGGUGACCCAGUGGUAAAAACUUGGGAUCAAGAGGUUUGCUCCCUCUAUGGUCUCAGGUUCGAGCCCUGUGGUAUAAAAUAAGAGCAAUACUGCAAAUAUUAAUAAAUUAGUUACCGGCCCGGUCUCUCAGAAUCCUAGCUGGGCAAGCUGGCCCGGACACCCACGUUAAACUAAAAAAAAAAAAAGAGUAUAGUAUUACUUGGAAUUCAAAGCCACCUAAAGUCUAAAAGGAAGAAGAAGGGUAAUUGCCCUUCGCAUCUUCCAGAACAUACAUUUUCUCGAUUGCCAAAGGCAAUUUGUAUCUUUGGGUCGAUCCAAAGACAGAAAUGUUGGAUUUCUUUCUUAUGAUAAUAACAUUGAUAAUAAACAUCGCUUGAUUGGUAGAGUUUUUCAAAAUCGUUUUCAUAAUAUUUUGUCUUGAUUUAUCGAAAGAAUCAAUGGAUUUUGAACUACGAAAUAAAAACAAUCAUCUCCCAUCAUAUUAUUAUAAUUGAGAAAGAUCAUGAUUCCUCGACUCCACGUUAGAAGGACUUCCAUGAGAAUAUUAUUUUAGCCUGUUUGGAAGUGUAGUUGUGGUUGUUUUUCAAAAUAUUUUUUGUGUCUAAAUGCAUUAAAAUGAUGUUUUUUUUAUUUUUUUAAAAUAAUUUUUAAAAUCAGUAUAUCAAAACGAUCCAAAACAUAUAAUUUUUUUUGAAUUUUUAAAAAACGCGGUUUGCAAGUGCAAAUGAUCUGCCUUAAUUUCCCUUUUUAUUUUAUAAACACAAAUUCGAUGGAAUUAUGUGUUAAAAUUAGCAAGUGCAUGAUUUCUAUGUUUCUCUGCAAUGUCAAUGGGCUCGUAAAUGUAAGGAUCAACAAUGUUUACAUGUGUUUGUUCUCAAAGAAAAAUUAAUAAUCUGUUGGAUCCGUACUCUCGAUAUGGAGGAGUAAUAUCUCUGGUCCUCAAGGGCAUAGCAUGAUGAUAAAGGAUUUGAGAUCUGCACAGUAGGUUUCGAGUUCGAGUCAGGGCGUGCACCUCUUGUAAGAGCCUGGGACAACCGAGGUUUUACUCGCUCACUUGAGCUCACAAAAUAUAUUUUCUGAGGAGUGAGGUUUCCUCGAUUCUAAAAAUAAUAAUAAUAAUAAUAAUAAUCUCUGAAUGUUUAGAUGCUGCUGGCCUCAAGUUGAGUGUUAAGAAGAAGAUCAGGGACGUCUGAUCCCAAUCAUCCCUCCAAGUGCUUCAACAAAAACUAUAUACUAGUCAAUAUUACACCACACAAAGUUAUAUUAUUAAGUGGACUGUGAAAAGUUUCUGUAAGAAUUUAAUAGAGCAUUAAAAGUAACAAUAAAUAAUUGAACUGUCCAUUUCAAGGCUGGCCACAUUUAUGGCAUCCAUGUUGGCUUGUAUUUUUAUUUUUUUUAAAAAAUUAAAUUAAUAUUUUUUUAUACAUGUGUUAAUAUUAAAAAUAAAAAAAAAUUAUAAAAAAUAUUUUAAAAAAUAAUUUUUAUUACCUUUCUAAACAUGUUUUAUAUAAUAAAACCGGAUGCAUCUAGACUGUGUUUAUAUAUAUAUAUAUAUACUGUGUUUAUAUAUAUAUGUUGUGUUGAUAAAUAUAAUUGAGCAGGAGAAGGAAUAUUCAGCUACCUACGCAUAAAGCCACCAAGAACUCGAUAAAGGAAAUAAUGAUUCAAUGUCUAAAAAGUCUUAAGGUGCAAACAUUAGAGGGAACAAAAUGUCUGCCAGUUUUGAGGGACCCCUCAAAAUAAGAAACCUUAAAACUUCUGUCCAUGCUUUGAAUUCUUGUGAAUUUCUUAUCAAGGCGGUGUGGAAUAAGAUUAGUCAAGAGAGCUAUUGGAGGCUAUAUUUGGCCGCCCCAUGACCAAGAGCAUGCCUACGGCUCCCCACCACUAAUGGCAGACGUUGAAAUCUGCUUGGAAUCACUUGCUUUAGCUCUUGCGUUUAAGCAUAGUAAAGAUUGAAAAUUCAGAGUAGCGGGUAAUUACUAAAUUAACUCUUUCGUAUAGCCAUAGUAAAACGUGUUCUUGUCUAGAAGAAAAUUAAGCUGGCAUUUAAUCUGGCAAGGAAAAAAUGUUCCUAUACCUGGCAACUUGUCUUGAUGGGAAAAUUCAUGAGAGGAAAAUGCCGAUCCAGUUUGUAUGUUUAGUUCUCGAUCUUGGCUGGAAUGUCAAAGACACAUAAUGAAACUUAAAACCCAGAUUAAAUAUGACUUUUUUCCUGCUUGUUCUUGUAUUGAAAGGGAUAAACAUGCAUUGGAUGGCUUCUCUGAUUUGUUUUUGAAUUAGUUUUAGGGUAGAAGGAUAAAAUUGCUCAUCCCCGAGACUUGUUCAAAUUCUCUUGCUUUGUAAAACCAAGUGACGUUAUUAAACAGUACUGAUUCACGUAAUCACUAAUCGUGCUUGAAAGAGUCUCAUCUUUGAAAGGGGCAAAUUGUGCUGCACAUCCCAUGGAAGACGAUGAUGCACUGUGAUGACAAUCAAGAGGAAAUUUACAGGCAUGAAGCUGCCAUAUGUGCGGGCGAGAGAAUCUUUUAUUGUUAGCGUUCGAAGGAGACGUUUUCAAUGCACUGAGCUUUGAAUAGGCCAGAGUCCCAUGCAACUUUCGUGAACACUGACUGGCCAGCCAGAAACAGGCAUACAUGCUGAUGCCAUCGCUCGCACAUUCAUGUGCACCCUCCCCUUCGAGAUGGUAAAACCAAAAUUUGAAAACCCCUAAAGCUGACAAUUCAGGGUACCUUGAUUGGUAGAGAAAGAGAGUUAAAAAUAGCAAUAAAAACUAGAUCACUUACACUGUUGUGGCAUUACAUUGAUGUUCCUAUCGUGCUACAGAAACAAUUAUAAAGCCCAAUUCAGAGAACAAAUGCUUUUCCAUGCCUAAAACCUAAUAUCUAGACCUCAUCAGUUACUUGGAAGUGAUGAAAAUAAUCUGAGAGACCUGGGUUCAAAUUACAUGUGAAAGAGAAACCCACUAGCUAGCUAUACUUGAAAUAAUCUGAGAGACCUGGGUUCAAAUUACAUGUGAAAGAGAAACCCACUAGCUAUACUUGUCUCUUUCCGUUUCUGGGACUUUGUCAAUAUUGGUUAGUGACGCCUCGAUUCAGUCCUUACGGCUUAAUAUCAACAUAGCCAAAACCAGCAAAAUAUUGGUAGCAAUUAGUGGCCACUUCACUAGCUUUGUCUUGAAGCAAAAGGCCAUUGAAAAAAUCACUAGGAAAACCAGGUUCGGAAUCCAUAAAUAUCCCAACAUCCUCAAGACCACCGUUAGUACUAGGCACUGAGAGACCCUUGUUAUCCAUAGCAAGUGAAGAGGAAUCUGAAAUGCUCGAACCUUCUUGAGAUGGAGAAACAAUGUGAGUACUGUUCAUUGAAAAUUCAGACAUGUCAAUGACCCCAGGGAAACUAGAAAAUUGGAAUUGGUUUGGACUCAAGUUCUGGGCAGUGCUAUUGAUAAUAGGCUCAUAACCAAUAUCAGAUAAGGCAGGCAAUGUUCCUGAAAUUUGAGUUAAUGAAUAAUGAUCGGAGAAGGUGACAGAACUUUCGGUUUCAGCUUUAGGGACAUAAAGAAUAGGAGAUGUUGAGCAGGGAAUGGCAGGAAUAUUAGCAACGUUAACGGGGGCAUUGAUAGGGUUGUUCUUGAUUGUGAGGCUUAUUUUUCCCGCAAGAAUCUUCUUUUUCAAUUUGGUGUUCCAGUAAUUUUUCACAUCGUUGUCAGUUCUUCCAGGCAGUUGAGCAGCUAUGAGAGACCAUCUAAACGAAACAACAAGUUGGAGUAAUUAAUUAUGAAUCAAAUGGUUGCAUGCCAGAUAUAAACAAAUUCCAUACAGUAAAAAAGGACCAAACGAAGCUUUGUAUAUAUAGACAAGACACAUACAAUAAUUAUGUAGAAUCGAAUAAGGCUUCAACCAAAAAAAAAAAACAAAUUAAGUAGACCCGGAAACUUACCUGCUUCCCAUUUGACUAUAGAGAGUGCAUAUGAUGUUGUCUUCUUCUUCAGUAAAGCCUCCAUGUUUGAUGUCUGGUCUGAGAUAAUUAAGCCAUCGUAACCGGCAGCUCUUGCCGCAUCGCUUAAGGCCUGCGACCGAUAAGAUCAUAAAUCAAGGUUUAGCUCUUGAAUAGGUAGGAAAUUGAAGGGGUUCGACUACUUACUUGGCUACACUACAAAGCAAGAAAGCAUGGACAAUUGGCGCAUUGCCUUGCGUGCAAAUCAAACAUAUGCAAAGAAAAGCAAUUCAAUAUUGUAAAAUUAUUUCAAUUAUGUGUAAUACAAAAGAAAUUAUAUAUGGGCUAAAGACCAAUUAACUACUAAAUAAAUUGAGCAAAUGGCCCUAAUAAUUGGGCUGAUCAAACCUAGGAAAAGCUGCUCUAUUCAAACUUGAAAUGAUGUAGGAAAAUAUGAGUAAUACCCUGGAACCAGGAACCAAGAUCAGUACUACAACAAGGAGUCAAACCACAGUCUGCCUUUUCUGACACAGCCACAGUACACAAGUCCAAGAAAAGAAAUCAGUAGCACCGGAAAGGCUUGUUUUUUACUGAAAAUGUUUGAGCAAACAGGAAAAAAAACACAGCACUAAUUGUUGAUGGUCAAAAUGUCUGCAAUUAGCACUGGAGAACAAGAAUGUUAAUUUGAUAAGAUGGAAGAGAGGAGUGGGGGAAGCAAGCAAGACGUCUUCCUGUAUUAUCUUUUGAUGCAUUUGCAAUAUUGUAGAUGAAAAUAUAUAUGGAAAUUAAAUGAACACAAUCCCUCUAGGCCUCUCAGCAUCUGACUCGACUGAUAUUUAGUAAUUAAGCUAAAAUCCUAAAUGAAAAGAAAAUGAAAAUUGUUGUCAGGCAAAACCAACAUGUGUGUUUGUGUUCGAGAGAGAGAGAGAUUACCAGCUUUUUGAGGCAAAGCAAUCCAGUUACCACCAGUGCCAUGAGUCUCAAGGUAGCUUUUGAGAGUG
rnacentral:lncRNA from 1 species